rnacentral:lncRNA from 1 species
UCCAAAAAUGUUAUAAAUAUAUUUACAUUAUAGUGAAUGUCUAUCAAGAUCUACUUUGAUAUCUAUUAUGAUUUGGGGUUUUAUCCAUUGUAUUGACAAUAAGAUGAUCUCUCAUUAGAAGAAAUAAGAAUUACUCUCUCUUCUCUCCACUCUUCUUCUUGUUCUUUCUUGUUUUAUAAUACGUUAUCAGCACCAGACUCUACUAUCUCAAAGCGAAGGUAAAAAGAUGUACGUACCUCUAAUUCUGAGACUCUACUAUCUCAAAGUAAGGGUGUCAAACGGGGCGGUUAAAACCGGCCCGAUUUGACCCGGCCCGGUAAGCCCAAGGGCUUUAGGGGUUCGGGUCCCGGUCCGGUUGGGUUUUUGAUUUGGGCACGGUUAACCCAGCCCGGACCCAACCCGAUUUGGGUCCGCCGGUUAACCGGCCCGGUUAAGAUUUUUUUUUUUUUUUUUAAUUCAGAAUUUCACAAACUGAAAUUAAAAACUGAGUUUUAAUACAUUAUUAAUUUACUAUCAAGUAUUAUUAAUUUAUUAUAUUAAGUAGCAUAUGUUUUAUACUUUUAUUUAAGGUAGUGUAUAUAUUGAAUGGUAUAUAUAUAUGUGUGUGUAUAUCUUCUAAAUAUAAAGUAGUAUAUAUUUAACCUAUACAUGUAUAUAUAUUUUAUAAAUUAGUAUAUAUAUCAUUAUGUAAAGGCAUAUAUAUUGCAGUAUAUUUACUUUAAAGUAUUAUAUAUAGAUUGAAUGGUUCGUAUAUAUGUGUAUAUAUCUUCUAUAGACUCUAAAGUAGUAUGCAUAUUUAACGUAUAAAUGUGUAUAUAUAUAUUAUAAAUUAGUAUAUACAACAUUAUAUUGUAGUAUAAUUUAUGUAAAGUAGUACAUAUAUAUUGAAUGAUACUUAUAUAUGUGUAUAUAUAUAUCUUCUGUUGACUCUAAAGUAGAAUAUAUUUAACGUAUACACGUGUACACAUUUUAAAAAAUGGUAUAUAACAUAUAUAGAGAGUGUCUAUAUAUUGUAGUAUAUUUUAUUUAAAGUAGUACAUAUAUAUUGAAUGGUACGUACAUAUCUGUAUAUAACUUCUAUAGAUUCUAAAUAGUAUAUAUUUAACAUAUACAUGUAUAUAUAUCAUUAUAUAUAGGUAUAUAUAUUAUAGUUUAUUUUAUUUAAAGUAUUACUAAUAUAUUGAAUGGUACGUAUAUAUGUGUAUAUAUCUGUAUAUGUUUAUAUAUUUUUUAAAUUGUAAUGUAGUUAGUACAUACUAUAUAUAUAGUGUAUAUAUAUUGUUUAACGUAUUUAUAAUGUAUAUAGGUGGGUAUAUAUAAUGUAUAUUGAAAAACAGUUUUUUUUUAAUAUUUUUGACCGGGUUUGACCGGUUUUUUAAACGGGUUUGAUCGGGUUGUGUUAAGUGGACGGGGUUAGGGUGGUUUUUGAUUUUUUUACUGUUGGGCCCGGACCGUCCCAGCCCACUUAGACCCCAAACCGACCCGACCCGGCCCUCAACCCGGUUAAAUAACACGGGCCAGUUCCGGGUUGGCCCGGCCCGACCCACUUGACAGCCAUAUCUCAAAGCGAAGGUAACAAGAUGUACGUACCUCUAAUUCUGACUUUGAUAUGUUAGUAUUAAUUUGAUGAAAAAAAAAAAAUCUACUCUAGUAAAUUUGGAUCCAAUCAAAUACCCACCUAGUAGGGAAUAUGCUAAGUGACAACUGCAUAUCGCAUAAUUCUUUCUCAAAUAUAGUUACAGUUGGUUUCUACUUGUCCAUAAUAUGCAUUGAUGAUACAUGUCAGUUAGAUGCAAUUGUCUCAUAAUGGGUCAAUUAUAUAUGCUUAAGUUGAAUUUUUGGUUAGUUAAAUUUAUGCUCCUGUGAAAUCUGGGAAGUAAAAAAAAAACUACUUUUAACGUGGACAUUACAAUGUUGCUUGUGCUUGUAUUAGAUAUUGUGUUUAUCCAAAGCAUGUUGGAAAUAAAUGUUCAUGAUCUCGAGAACUGACUGUUUUUCUUUUAUAUUUAUGGAACAUAACAUAAGUUAAUAAGAAUAAUCACUCAAGAAUAGUGAUCUAUGUCGAGCCAUUAAGAUGGCAACAUUUUAAUAGGCACAGCUUUGAGUUUUGUUAUAUUUUGGACUGUUAUAUUUGGCCUAUUAUACAUUGAGUGCGUAACACGGUUAAUUAAAGUUUUACCGCACUAAGAUAGGAUAUCGAAUUUAAGUCCCGAUACAUUGAUGUACUAUAAUAAUAAGUUGUUGGGUUCAAGUACCGUCGAGUUAUUGCCUAAGACGUCUUUUUAUAUGGAUAAGAUAUUGAGUUUGAAUCUCAAUACACCAUAUUGAUGAUAUUAUGAUGGCUAAGACAAACUAAUGGGUAUUUAAUGAAAAGUCAUGAAAUUCGACCGAUUAAAUAUGUUCCAUUCCAUGAAGUGAAUGUGGUAGCAAUAUAUAAUAAGUCUGAAAUAUGACAACUUACUUCAUUCUUGAGGUGUAUGUGGUAGCAGUGCAUAAUAUGUCUGAAAGAAGACAAGUGACUGAAUGCACUGAUAUACGCGUGGAGAGACAAUAUGAUAAUGAUCAUCAAAAGUGAUGAUAUUUUCGCACGCGUAUUAUGAUCAUAAGAUAUGUUAGAGAAAAAUUCUAUGGAUCAUAUGUAUGCCUCGAUUUACUUCUGAAAUAGCAAUUUCAUGACAGAGGUUAUAAGCUACCAAAAUUUGAUAAGACUUAAGACACGAUUCUAUUCUAUUCUUGGGGAAUGAGAAUUUUGAUUAUUAUAAGCAUAAAUCCAUUCCCUGGUGUGAAUGUGAUAAUAUUUAGUGAAGCUUAUUAAUAUAAACGUGUACUUGAUUGUGAUGGUAUGACAAUUCACUUCCGAAUGAGGAAAAAUAACUGAGAAUUGAUUGUGAUGGUAUCAUAACUCACUUUCGAGUUCCGAAUGAGGAAGAAUAAUUUGAGAAUUGAUUGUGAUGGUAUCACAACUCACCUCCAAAUGAGGAAGAAUAACUGAGAAAAGUUAUUUUGAAAUCUACUUCUAAAGUAGUAAAUCUGAAAUUUAUUCAUAUAAUAGUAAAACUGAAAUUUACUAAUGCAAAAACACAUAUCAUGGUAAGCUUGGAGUUUACUAGAUUAAAAGUUCAUAAGUUGAUAUGAACGAUUGUGACAUCUCGAAGAUGUGCAUAUUAAAUAUUAGACAUGUAUUGAAGAACUAGAAGAUUCUUCGAGAAUUGUUUAUGUCGUUUGUUCUCAAGAUAAGUUGGUUGGACCAACUAAUAUUGGGAUUGGAUCCCUUCAAAUCUGAAAAGAAUAAAGGGUGAAUAAGGGCCCGUUCACCUAUCAUAUGAUAUGUUGAAAAGAUGCAUGAUCACAUGUAUAUUCAUUGUCAACCAGCAGUUUGACAUUCAUAAAGUUGUUUGCUCAAUAAAAUUGAGUUAAGAACAUAAUUUUCAGAUUGUGCAAUCAAGAAAGUUAUCUUGAUGAUGAUGGUUUGACAUUGAAUGUCUUCGAUAAAUAGUUAAACUAUCGCUAAUGAGAACAAAGCUUCAUGUGUUGAUCUGAAAUAUGAUAUGAUGCAUACAAUAACACUUGUAUGCAUUAGACCAAUACAUUAUGAUUAUUUCUUCCUCUCAAUUGGUUCAAGGUCAUGAACCAACUAUUCCAUCUAAUAGUUUUGAUAUGCGGUAUACGAUUAAUGAAUAUACCAUGAUGCACAAAGAUGGAUUCCUCAAAGAAGAUGGAGGAUGUAUGUUAGCUUUCCUAAUAUAAGGGGGAGAUUAUAACCAGCUAUGAAAUAUGUUAGGAAUUAUCAUCGGAUCCUCAUUCAAAAGAUAAUUCAAGUCCAAUGCCGAAAGCAUCUCAUAUUCAGCUGCAAGUGCUCCUAUUUUGUGUUCCUAAAGUAUUAAGUCUAUGCAUGCGUGAAGUAUGGUAGACCAAUCGGAUCCAAAUGAAAUAAUCCUUAGAAAAGGAUAAGGAGCAAAUAAUCAUGAUAAGAAGACAUUGUGCUCUUGAAGAGCCUACGACAUAACACUUGAUGAAACUUUAUGAGAGGUUUAGGUACCUGAAAAUAAUGAAGUGAUGAGAUCUCAAAAUGUUAUGUCACAUUGUGAACCGAUAUAAAAUGAUAUAUCAUCGAAGAUAUUUUUGAUACAAUAUUGACGCAAUAUUGUGAAAGAUUACAAGGAUAAGAAUUCUACAUUUAUUUAAGCAUGCUGACGUAGAAAUAUUUAUCAACUGGCCUGAAAGGAUGCAUUUUAGUAAGCAUAAAACUUAUUUGAUUUGCAGUCCAAAUACUUGAGGAUGUCACAAUUGACAUGUUGGAUAUUGUCACUUGAUAAUAAUCUAUAUGAAAAUCCUAAAGGAUUCAAAAAUGUCUUAAGCAUAUAAAGUUUCUGGGAAACUUGUUUAUUAUCCCUAUGAGGGAUAAAUUGAUGGUUUGAAAAUCAUUGAAACUCUUGGAGAGUUUUCAAAAGCAAUAAGAUUAUUUGCUAAAAUGAUAAACAUACCGAAUUGGAUUGAUCCUGAAGUACCAUAUCUUAGUCCAAUUGGUGUACUAAUGUAUCUUGCAAAUACUAAAAGGCCUGAUAUAGCCUUUUCAGUCAGUUUGUUAAGCAAGACAUAUUUUUGCUCCUACGAGGAGACAUCAAAAUGGGAUAAAAUACAUGAGUUUAUUUUAUUCUAAAGAUUGUAGUCUCGAUCUUAUUGGUCAUGCUGAUGUUGGGUACUUGUCUGACCUACAUAAAGCUCGGUCUCAAAUAGGCUAUGUGUUCAUACGUGAUGGUACUGCAAUAUCUUGGAGAUAUACAAAGCAGUUUAUCGUAGCCAGUUCAUUGAAUCAUGCUGAGAUAAUAGCUAUUCAUGACGCAAGCUGAGAAUGUGUAUGGUUGAGGCCCAUGAUACAUUUCAUUCGAGAAAAUGUAAUUUGAAAUGUGACAAUGCACCAACAGUUUUAUACAUAGAUAAUGCAGCAUGCAUAGCACAUCUUAAUGGAGGAUUCAUCAAAGGAGAUAGAACGAAGCACACUUCAUCAAAACUUUUCUAUACACAUGAGCUACAAAAAAAAUGGUGAUAUUAACGUGCAACAGAUUCAUUCAAGUGAUAAUAUGGCUGAUUUAUUCACCAAAUCUUCUCCAAUUGCAACUUUCAAGAAGAUGUUGCACAAGAUCGAGAUGCAAAGGUUCAAGGAUGCUCUCAUUAGGGGGAGUUAAUACGCGCUGUAUUCUUUUUCGCUUAUGAGGUUUUGUCCCACUGGGUUUUCCUUGUAAGGUUUUUAAUGAGGCAGCCGAAAUGCGUAUUAUUAGAGAUGUGUACUCUUUUUCCUUCACUAGAUUUUUUUCUACUGGUUUUUUUAGUAAGGUUUUAAUGAGACACAUUAUCUACCAAUUAGACAUUCAAGGGAGAGUGUUGUAAAUGUAUUUACAUUACAGUGAAUGUGAUCUAUCAAGAUCCACUUUGCUAUCUAUUAGGAUUUGAAGCAUCUGUCUUUUACUCAAACUAGGAGUAAAUUUCUCCUAUAAAUAGAGGGGUUUUAUUCAUUGGAUUAACAUUAAGAUGAUCUCUCAUCCCCAAGAGAAGAAAUAAGAAUUACUCUCUCUAUUCUCUCCACUCUUCUUCUUGUUCUUUCUUGUUUUAUAACAAAAAACAAAUUUUAACACACUUUUUAAUAUAUAUAAUAGGUACCUCAGACCUACCACGAUAAGUGCAAAAUAAUUAUGUACACCUCCCAACACCGAUAAUAUAUACUAGGUAACUGUAUUCACCAAUUCACAUAAAGUAUGAUACAACUAUUAAUUAACAUGAAUAAUUUGUAUUAUUCACUUUGAUAUAAAAAGUAAUUAACCUUAUAUAUAUAUAUAUAUAGUAGAUAUUGAACUCGCUUUGAUUAGUUCGGGUGAGCAUUUUUAAACCUCCACAAUAAGAGUUUUUAAGUUCUUUCUUAUGGCAAAUUCUGAGCCAUUCAAAUCCCAACAACAUCAUACCCCUGUAAUCUCACUAGUAAAGCAGUGGCGCAACCAAGAUUUUCAUUGAGGGGUUCAACAGUAAAUAUAUGAACUACUUGAAGGGAGUUUAACAUUUUUUUUAAUUUUUUUUUGAAAAAUAAGGGAGGGGAGUUCAUAUCUACUAUAUAUGCAUAAAAAAUAUUUUUAUCUAUGUAAAAAUAAUAUAAAACAGUAUAAUUUUUCGUCAAAGGAAGUUCGGAUAAACCCUUGUAGCAAAGCUAGCCAGCCACUGCAAUAGGGUCCGGGCAAGUUAAUGUGCAUGCAGGCUUUACCCUACAAGGUAGAAAGAUAUUAAAUAAACAUCAUCACCAAAUAAAAAACUAGACAAAAUUCAAUAACUUUAAUUUAAAUUUAAUAUGUAUAAAUAAUCUAUUCAGAAUUUCAAGCCUAAGCUUUGGUCGAACUAAAUGUAAUGUAUGGGUUAAUUUAACCAUAGAUGGCAAGUUGUUUGUUUAUUGUCCCAAAAAAAGUUUGAUAUUUAAGGAAAGAAAAAUAGAAGAUUGAGUUCUACUAGGCAUCUAAUUUUUAAUUAAAGAAAAAAAUUGAGCCGCAUUAUAUUACUUUCUGUCCACUUAUAUUCCAAAAUAAUUUUAACAAACUUUUUAACAUAUCAAAAAAGUAUAUGUUAAUCAGAGGUCGACCCUGGGUAUGAAGAAAACUCUGUUGAGAGCGCUGUCACUUUAAUGGGCCCUGCAAUGCGCGAUUCGGAUUAGUCGGGGCUUCAAUACGGACACCGAACACCUGAUGAAAAACCAAAAAAAAAAAGAAAGUAUAUGGUUAGUAUUUAUUACUUAUUCUCUAAAGUAUUUUUUAAAAUCUAAUACUAAACGGUAGACACAAAUUAAUAUGAAUAUCUUAAUAAAAUUAGCAUAUUAACCAUUGCUUCAUAAAGGAUGUGCAAAGUUCAAUUUGGCAAAAUUAAAAUGAAUGGAGAGAGUAAUUUAUAAUUUCAAAUCAUAACUCAUUAUAGUUUUAUUUUAUAAUCAGUAAAAUUAUACCAUAGAAAAUCAGUUAGAAUAUUUUAUUAAAUUUUAUAACGAUUCAAAUUACGAAGCAUAAAUUUUAUAACGAUUCAAAUAUAUAAUAGGUACCUCAUAUCUCAUAUCUCAUAUCUCAUACCUAUAUUCAUCAAUUUUAAUAUACAUAAAAAGAAAUCAUUUUGUGUUUUAUUUUUAUAGAAAUUUGAACAUGAAACUUCACUAUUCUCAAUCGAUUACAUUAUCACUAGGUCAUGUCUUGGGAUAAUUGAAUUUCGAAUAGUGCUUUUUUGCUUUUAUGCGGCUGUGAAUUUUUCCAAAAAAAAAGUACUAUUUUAUUUUAGAAAAUCAAUAGUUUGUAUUCAGUAAGGAUUUACUGAUUAUGAUUAUUUUAUAAGCAGUAAAAUUACAACAUAGAAAACCAGUUAGGGAUAUUUUAUUAAAUUUUAUAACGAUUUAAAUUACAUCACAUAAACUAUGAUACAGCUAUUAAUUAACAUGAAUAAUUUGUAUAAUUCACUUUGAUAUAAAAAGUAAUUAAGUUUUUUAUGAAAUUAGUACUGUUCUUUCAUUUUUAGAAUUAAGCUGUGGUCGUAAAUUCGUAAUCUUUGGAAAAUCAAACAAUUAGUCAAAUAGGGUAACUAAAAGUGUGAAUCCCAAAUCUAUCUUUUUGACUUAAUCUUAGUUUUAGUUAUGUCCAAUCCAACUAUGUAAUAGUAAUAAUCCAUCAAAGUUCUCGAGUUUGAGAUUUGAAAAUUUAAUAUAAAGCAAGAAUUUGAAGUUUAUAUAUUUAAGUUAUUUUAUUCUAAAUCAAUUUGUACAUAUUUAAUGGAAUUUUCUAGACAAAUAUACACUUUUGGACAAAAGUUAUUGAAUUAUGUCGAAUCUAUAACUAUAUUCCAAUCAGGGGUGGAGCUGGCAUACAAUGAGGGGUUCAUCUGAAUCUUCUUCGACAAAAAAUUAUAUUAUUUACAUAAGGUUAAUAUUAUUUUUUAUGUAUGUAUAAUAAAUGUUGAACUCCCUUCGAUUACUUCGUGUGUGCAUUUUUGAACCUCCUCAAUAAAGAUUCCGGCACCGCCCAGUUUUUCCACUUCCCUUAGCGGAAAAAGAAUCGCCUUUGUGAGGAGCGUUCUAUCAUUCACUUUGAGGCUCGUGUGUGAAUCCAAAUAUAAUCGAAACUCAAUACGGAUAUCAGACAUCAAAUGGGAUACAAUUAUUCAAAAAUGAGUAUAUCUCUUCUUUUGGCAACUCUUUGAUCCCAAUCUUUUGCAUGUCACGUUUAAAUUCGUAAGAUUAAAACAUAUUUUGACACGUAAUAAUAUAGUUAGCUUAAGACUACAAGUUUCAAAUAUUUUUUUAAAUUUCAUAUUAAGUUAAAACCAAACAAAUAAAUUGAAAUCGGAAAGUAAAAGUGUAAUACUUCCCGUGUUAGAAUCAACAAAGUUUGAUUUUCCUUUAAUUAUGGAAUUUUUUUUUCAAUAUUUUAUGCUAAAAUAUUUAGACUGAAAAAUUGAUGUUUACGUGUAUUGUUUAAAAAAAAAAAAACACUUUAACUUAAAGAAAUUUGAAGUUGUUAGAUGUUUACUAAUGUUAGAAUAAUUAUCACACAACUAUUAUUUACUAGUAUAUUUGUUUUUUUGCCAUUAUUUAACAAAUGACAAAACAAAUAUUUAUUUCUAACAUCACAAGAUAUAUAGUACUCAUAGAAAAGCAAAAAUUCCUUUUUUUAUUAUGGGGUAUGAAAUUGUCUAUAAGAAAAAAGGAAAAGCAAAGGCACUUUUUUUCCUAUAUAUAUACACUAAAAAAGACAUUACUUAUCAGGUAGAAUAUAUCAGGAUUAAUUAUGAGAUUAAAUUUAUAUUAUAUUUGAUUGACGAUAUAAAUUUAUCAAUAUCCCAUCAAACUCGAAUUAUUAUUAUUUUUUUUUUUAAAAAGUGAGAUUCAAAAAAUAAAAUGAGAUUGCUAAGAAUUUUUCAUGCAUUUGUCUUUAAAUAGUUUAAUCAUAUAUUACUUAUUAUAAUACACAUAUUCUUAUAUAUACUAUCAGAUCAUUUAAAGAUUACUUACUAUAUAUAAUUUCUAAUAAUACGUAAUUGUCCAUAAAAAGUGAGACAUUUGUUAUAUUAGGUUUCGAUUGUAACUCACACCUUAAAAAUUAGCUCGAAGAUAGAAUGAUUGCCAAGCAUUAUGUAGCCCAUAUCCCGCCCGAAUUUGAACAUUUUAUUUUGGAAAAACAACAUAAAUCUCGACAAUUUGAAGCUUGAUUACAGAAAAUUCCUAUAUUUUGCAUAAUUACUGAAAAUCCUAAUUUUGCGUCUGUCGAGAUGGAUAAUUAGCUUCCGACACAUCCAACGAAGAUAUAUUUUUUCCUUUGUAAAGAUAUAUAAUCAGCUCCCGAUAUAUUUUUUCGAUUUUGAAUCUGCCGAGAUACAUAAUCAUCCAACGACGAUACAAUUUCUUCCUUUGUAAAGAUACAUAAUUAACUCCUGAUACACUUUUUUCAAUUUUGGGUCUGUCGAGAUACAAAAUUAGCUCCCAAUAUAUCCAACGAAGAUACAUAAUUAGGUGUUAUUUUUAUAACUACUUUACAAGAGUGGAAAUUUAUAUAAAUAUGGUAAGUUUAAAAUAUAUGUUUAUUGCUACUUUUUCCUUCUAUUUUUUCCAUAUAUAUAUAUAUAUAUAUAUAGCUUCACAUAUUAGUUUUCUUGGUCAAACAAACCAAAAUGACUUAAUUUUCUUCUAAUUUCUUAGCAAUAUUUUGCAUUUUGUUUGCUAUUUUCAGUUUUUUCUCAAAAUCAAAUGCUCAAUUGAAUUCCAAUUUUUAUUCAACUACAUGUCCAAAUGUUUCGAAUAUUAUUCGAAAUGCUAUAAAAGCUUUACAAUCUGAUGUGCGCAUUGGUGCUAGUCUCCUUAAACUUCAUUUCCACGAUUGCUUUGUUAAUGUAAAUAUUAACUGUAUUUUUUUGUCAAAUUCUUUGUUAAUCGCCGUGACGAAUUCAAUCAUGAGUUUGGGGUUCGGAAAAAAAUAUAGGUUGCCAUGAUAUACAAUAUAUAUACAUCUUAGAAAAAAUAUGUUGUCAUGAUAUACAAUAUAUCUACAUCUUGAAAAUACAAGAGCCUGUUUGGUCAAACUAUCGAAAUCAACUUAUUUUGAGAAGCAAUUUGUUUAUCAUGAGUAUUUUAGAAAAAUUAACAGUUUGUGUUUAGCUAAAUUACUUGAAAAGUGUUUUUGUUAGGAUUUUGUAUUUGGUCAAUAUUUUCAAAAUGUCAUUUAAGUUACUACUAAUUACUUUGUUAAAUAUGAAUUUUUGAUAUAUAUGAAUACAUUAUCUUGUCCUAAAAUCAUAUUGAUAAGUAAUUACUUUGUCACAAACAAUUUCUGCUACUACCCAAUCUUGGUCAAACAUCUUAUUUUUUCGAUUCAGAACCUAUAACGUCUAAAUUUUAAAUACGAUCGUUUAUCAAUGCUUGAAUUAGUUUAUUUUAUGAUUUUUUUAAAGGUGAUUAAUUUUUUUUAUUUUUUUUCGGUGAAUGACUAGGGAUGUGAUGCAUCAGUAUUGUUGGAUAAUAAUGCAACAACAAACAUAAUAAGUGAGAAAGAUGCAAGACUAAAGAUUAUAUCGUUGGUGUAUAAUAGCUCUAGUGUUGCUUAAUUGAAUCACUUUGUCCUUGUUAAGUGUUUUGGUGUAUAAUUUUCUUGUUGUUGCUUUUGUCUACCCCACCCCCACAACUAUUAGUUUCUCAAUACUUUAGCUGAAAUUUUUAUGGGGUUGCGUUUUUUGCUAUAAAGAUUUGAUCAUUUGUGUAUAAUGACUCUAUUGUUGCUUAAUUGAAUCACUUUGUCCUCCCCCCAUACCACACCACACACACACACAUAGUUGCUCAAUAUUUGAGUUGGAAUUUUUAUGGGGCUGUGUUUUGUGCUAUAAAGAUUAUAUCUUUGGUGUAUAAUAACUCUAGUGUUUCUUAAUUGAAUCACUUUGUCCUUGUUUGUGAUUUGGUGUAUAGUUUCCCUCUUGUUUUUGUCCCCUCCCCCGCGCCACAAAAAAUAAGUAGUUCCUCAAUAGCUGAGGUGGACUUUUUAUGGGGUUGUGUUUUCUGUUAUAUUGAUUAUAUCUUUGGUGUAUCACUCUAGUGGUGCAUGUUGAAUCACUUUGGCUUGUUAGUGGGUUGGUUUUUGUUGUACAGAGUGGAAUUAGGGCAAUAUAACAGGACAACGCAAUGAGAUUGGAAAAAUGUUGGUUUUGUUCCUCAACUAUAUAUCCAGGCCAUGGUAUUCAAUUUGUUCGAAAUGACGCAAAGGUAGGAUAUUAAUCUCUUUUCCCUUGUUGAUUUAAGUCACUUUAAUUUGGUUUUCAUUACUUUUGCUUGCCAUAGUUAGGUUUAAGAAAAUGGUACUUAAUUUGCCGGACUCAUUGUUUUCUGUGGUGAAAUUAUAAAAUAAGCAGAUUUUAAGUUUUGAGUAUUCCCAAAAGUCUGACUUAAUCUCAUGCUAUAAUGCAUACUUUCUUGUUUGAGCUGGCCAACAAUAAACUUUCACAAGCACUUGCAUUUGGUCCUAGAUCUCAAUAGAUGCAUCCGUAAAUUGAGCUAAACCAUUUCAAUGUGCCAUUACUCUGCGUGAGCUCUUGGUUAGGAUAGCUUGAGCUAAAAUUACUAGCGGAAAUGAAGCGGGCCAAGUUGCACGGACUCUUAAAAAUGUUGCCGCACCCGUGUCGGAUCUUCCAAAAAUGAACUGUUUUUGAAGGAUCUGACAUGUGCACGCAAUGUCACAUUUGAAGAGUCCGAGCAACAUAGGAAGCGGGUAAGUCGUGACCUUUUUAUUCAUGUAAAGACGAAGCCAAAAGUGAAACUCAUUCAUAUAGGUGUCCAGUAAGAACGGUUCACUCCAUCUAACCUAGCACUUGUAGUGUUGUGGACUAAUCACUUAAAAUAUUGUUUCAGAAAAUGAAUUGUUCUGAAUUCUCGGCUGUUCAUCAAGUAAAGGAAAAGUUCUCUGUUUUCUCUUUGUGCAGAUCUUUCGGUUCUGUAGGUCUAAGUGCCACAAGAAUUUAAAGAUGAAGAGGAAUCCACGUAAACUUAAAUGGACUAAAGCAUAUAGGCGGCUGCAUGGAAAGGACAUGAUUCAGGUAAACAGAGUCCCCGGUAUAAUCUAUGUGCUUUUAUUGGAUACUAAUCUUUGUUAUUUUCUUUUGGAUGCUGAAAUUCCUUCACGCUCUGCUGAUUUUCAUUUGAAGGACUCAACAUUUGAAUUCGAGAGGAAACGUAAUAGGCCAGAGAGAUAUGACAGGAAUGUAACUGAGAACACUUUGAAGGCCAUCAAGAAAAUUGAUAAAAUCAGAGUCGAUACGGAGGAGAGACAUAUUGCUAAGAGGUUCGUCGUGCUUCACUAACUUCCAUUACUUUUUAUUCAUAAUGUGCUUUUUCUUACUAUUAACAUUACUUGGAAAACCUUACAGGAUGAAAAGAAAGAAAACCAAGGAGCUGAGAGAAGCAGCGAAGGAGCUCGAGCAGAGCAUUUACUUAGUCCCGGUUCCAGAAAAGUCACCAGUUACACUGCCUGACAAGGUCCCGGUUACACAAAAGCAGUCGGAGGAAAAUCGCAUGGAGGAAUGAUUAUUUUGCUUCUUAUACUCUAUAUUUUCAAACUAAAACACAUAUCAUUUCAUGCUUAUUUUUGCAGAAUGUGUAAUGUUUUGCUUUCCCCAACUUCCCGAAUUUGUAUGGUUUGGCAACUUAGUCUUGUGAGUAUUGAAACACUCUUAUUAUAUUGAUCAAAACAUAGAAAUUUUGAACUUCCCAUAUGAGGAUUUGGAUGAGUAACUUGUAACACCUAGAAUUUAGACCAUCGUUCCUAUGCGUAUAGACCCGAGCUAAUUUUUUUUUAUUCCUUGUUAAUGUAUGUGUAGUGAUUACUCCUAUAGUGUGGGAAAACCUUUGAAUAUGAAUUGAGGUCGCAAGAAUCCCCUAACUCUAAGACGAGCUGAAAAUAAUUCCAUCAAUUAAGUUUUAGUGAACACUCCAACUUGGGUCAAUUUUCGUCAACUAUAACUUCUUGUAUACAACGAAUUAGAAGGCCUAUUAUAUAUAGAAUGAAAGUUCUUCGAAGUAUCUUUCCGACGGCACCAAUCUCGCCUAAAUUCAAUACCCGAGCGAAAAGUUAUAACUUUGCAAAGUCGAGUAUUUUCCAUCCUAUCUGGUUUGAUCUGCUUUUCAACUGCUUCAGCAGAUUGGAAGUGGUUUGGACGCAGUUUGGGGGCAGAACACACUGGUUUGAUCUGCUUUGCAACUGCUUCAGCAGAUUUGGAAGCAGUUUGGGAGCUGACUGGCCAUAGAUUAGGGUCAACUUCCAUCGACAAUAACUUUCUGUAUAUAACGAACUGUGAGGCCUAUUAUAUAUCAAAUGAAAGAUAUUUGAGUCAUCUUUCUAACGCAACUGAUUUCGUCCAAAUCCACCAUCAAAGUAAACAGUUAUGCCCAAUUCACUUCAAUAUAUUAGUUUGUCAACUGAGGAACUGCUGCGAUUUUUUUUGUUUCCUUGGUAUUUUGGUAUUUUCCUCACCUCAAACUUAUUCCACAUGAUUUAAAUCAUCCAAACCACUCUAUAAUCCAUUUCUUUUAUUAGUUUUAACAUCUCAAUUCCUCACCUCUCUCAAGAACAAAAUGGAAACUAGGUUUUCCUUCAAGAUCAAGAAUCAAUCUCUUAAGUCUAAGAUUUCCAAAGAACAAAUCAAGAUUCGAGCUCUAAUUUUCAAAUCUUGUAAUCUAAGUUACGUGGGGUUUUCCUAAAUUACCUGGGCAUGGUGAAAACAUUUUUAAUGAUGUUUUGAAUGUUGAGAAAUCAUGAAUCUGUGAUGGGUUUUGAAAUUAUAUUUACAAUCUAGCAUUAUGAAUCCAUUAAUGAUAUUAUUGUUUUAAUAUUGAGGCCUUCUCCCCAAAUUGAUUUAUAAUCUCAUCUAUGUAUGUAUGAAAUUGAGUUUGGAUGUUGAAUUGAGAACAUCAAUUAUUUGAAAUCCCUUUCUUGUUUAAAGAUUUUCUGUUUUCGUAAGUCAUGAUUUGAUUUGAAUGUAUUUCUGUGAAGUAUGUUACAAAUGCCUUAUGAUUGUUAAGACUUGUUUAUGGUUUUGAAUUGAUGGGAGGUUUUUUUUUUACAUGUUUAUAAAUGUUGAAGAUAUAUAAUGAAAGAAUUGCAUGAUUUGUCAAAAAUACAUGACCACCACAUGUUUGUUGAAAUGUUGGAAAGAGAGAUUCUUGAAUAAUUUGAUAAAUGUUGUGAAGUAUGAAUCUUCUUGAAUUGCUUGAAGUAUAGUGGUCUAAACUUUAUGUUUUGAAAGAGAAUGCUGUAAUAUGAUAUUUUUAUGGCUCAUAAAUAUGACUUGUAAGUCUUGGUAUGAUGAUACCAGUUCAGAUAAUGCCAUAGCAGAUUUUGAAUAGAUUAAAGAUACAGAUUUUUGCUUAGAAAGUCAGAAGUUGAUUUCAAAACGAUGCAUGUUUAGAAUAGACUAAAACAUGGGCUAAGAGAUAUUAGGUGGUUACCCGAAGAAGACAUGAGCCAUAAAAUUCAUUUGCCUGAAACCAUAUUUUGCCGAUACGAGUUGUUAUGUUACCCAAAAGGGAGAUUGUACGUUGGCGACGACCCUGUGGCGUAUUAGAUAAGCAGAUACUCCAACCCUUGCGGCAAACUUGGGUUGGAGGCUUGGCCUCUGAGUUAAGGGCGAACUCCAUAUAUGAUACAAGUAUGAUCAUGACUAUGGACACUUUUUGAGCAUUUUUGACGACCACUUAAAGGAGUGCACAAGCCCAAGUGUAAAGGAGGCCCAAAGCCAUCCUUUUGGUACACUUAGGGUUUUUGGAGCCUAUUUAUGGGAGGGAUCUUUUGUCAUUUCUCUAUUUGUUUGUAAUGUUAUAUAAAUAGAACAAUGAAGGUUUUAUUUUCUUAGUUUGAUGCUUGAUAUUGUAAGAACACUCCCCUUAGAGAGAGAGACUCCAACCGAAACUAGGGCCUAACACAAAGGUGAAAUCGUUUGUGUGUGGUGCUUUCUUGAUACGUUGGUGCUUGAGAGGUGAACGCCCCUCUUGUGUCAUUGUAAGAGUUAGGUGCGUGUUGAGUGUGGUGUUAAGGGUCCAAGAGUGGAAUAUGCUCUUAGGUUCUUAAGAUUACAACUUCAUUGUGUCUAACUCUUUAUCCUUGUUUCUUGUUUUAGUUUUGGUUUUCCAUGUUUUGUUGUUGAAUCUGUAGGUUUUUGUUGAUGUACCCUUGUUGUUCUUCAUUAUAUUGUAUUAAUACAGUUUGUUGGUUGGCUGAUUUCAUGUGUAAACACUUGUUAUUCUCUCCAUUCUUGUUAUAAGAAGCGAAUCCGAGAGUGGUCACCUAGAUAGUCCACGGUUUCUUUUCUUGUGGACUGUUUUUGGUGUUUGCUUUGUUGUGUUCUUUGUCAUUCUUGUAUCAAUAUAUCCCGUGGGGUUGUAGUCUUGUAGAGUGUACCACCUAACUCAGAAGUAAUAUAAAGAAUAGAAUUUCAUUGACAAGAACGUUUUAUGUUUAUCAAAGAUUUUCCCAUGUAUUUUAAACUAUAUCAUGCAUGAUGUUUCAUGACCUGCUCUCAGCUAUUUUAUAUAUAUAAAUGCAUAUAUAUUGACCCCCCCUUUCUCUCAGGAUCUGAGGCAUAGACCCGGGGUCCCGUUUCAACAAUAGAAUCAAGUGCGUCCGAAAGUGCAGUGGUGAGCCUUCUCUAUUUUAGAAGGCCUAAUUUCCUUUAGAGUUUGUUGUUUUCUUCUAUUUUAUGGUCUACUGGGGGCCUUGUCCCAGUGUUGUCUUAGACUUAUGAGGAUCAUUGUAAUGUUAGAGAUUUCGUAGAAGGUUGUUACACGUUUAGAAUAUUCAGAAUUUCCCUUUUAAAUUGUUCAAGUUUAAUAAAGUUGACCGUGAUUUCAUUUUGUUUUAUAUUUCUGCAGUUCCUCAGUAACACCCCGCAUUUCGGGCUAGAAUAUAAACCAUGACUUUGAUGCGUUAAUUAUCCCCGAGCCUUAAAUCCUAUGCCAAUUUGGUAUGUUAAUCAAUUAUGUAGUAUGUGAAUCCAUUAGAGGAUGAAUUUAGACCAUAGAGGUCCUGCAACUCAAGGACGAGUUGAAACUUUUUCGAUCGAUUAAGUUUUAGUGGAUGUUGUAAUUUGUGUCAGCUUCCAUCGACCAUAACUCUCUGUAUAUGUCGAAUUAGAGAGACUAAUAUGUGUCAAAUGAUAGGUCUUCGAGUUAACUUUCUAACUAUACCAAUUUUGCUAAAAUUCGACACCCAAGCAAGAAGUUAUGGAUUUUCAAAGUAGAGCGCGUCGCCUAACCAAUCGCGCGUAGCCACUGGAAUGGAUGUGCGAUACACAAUGUGGCGCAUAUCUUAAUCUAUGCGAUACACAAUGCGGCGCAUACCUUAAUAUAUGCGAUACACAAUGCGGCGCAUACUUUAAUAUAUGCAAUACACAAUGCGUCGCAUAUAUUAAUCUAUGCGAUGCAAAGUGCGGCGCACACUUGUGGUUUCAGGUGACGAAAACACUUCGUUUUGAGUUAUUUUAAGUACAAUUUAGCCCUUACAGAAUACAAAAUCAUCCUUAACCACUCAUAAACGGAUUUAGGCCUAUUAACAACAUUGAAGCCUCCCAUAAGAUCCCAAAAUUCAUCCUUCAAGAACUUAAGAGGAGAAGCAACUAGGGUUUGAGAAAAUAAGCUUGAAGGUUUGAUCGCUCCAAAACUUCUUCGUGAAUUCUUCACAACUAAGGUACGCGGGGUUUGUCAUAAAAACUACAUGGGCUUGAAAUUGUUAAAGCAUGUAUUUAAUGGGGGUUUUGAAAGCUAUAUUAUUGAUUACUUAUUCCAAAAGUUUUAUUAUUGUGAUUGUUUUGGCCUUGUGGCCUUUUCCCCCCUUAAAUUGAGUUUUACAUCUAUAUAUAUAUGUAUAUAUUAAGAGAUUUUGAUUUGAGACUAUGUUUUGUGUUUAAAAGAAAGAGAUGCAUGUGUUUACUUGAAGUUUGAGGAAGAGAUUCAUUGAAUUGAAUUGAUUUUUUGAAAUGCUAGUUGCACCACUUGUGUUGAAAUACAGAGAUUUAUGAUAGAUAAAAAAUGGCUCAGAAAUUAGACUUGCAAGUCAAUGGUAUGACGAUACAAUAUGUAAUUAUGCCAUAAUAGAGCAUGUUUUCAGAAUAUGUUUUCAGAGUAUGUCUUCGGAAUAUGUUUUCAGAGAAUGUAUAUUUUCAUAGAGUUUUAAAAAGGGGCUUAAAGAGUGUUAGGUGGUUACCCGAAGAAGGUGUGAGUUCAAGUAACUCUUAUCCCGAAAUCGUAUUUGCCGAUACGGGUAGAUCAUUAUUGUACGGUGACGACGGCCGUGUGGCGUAGUAGAGUUAGAGACUCCGACCCUUGUGGAAUACUUGGGUUGGGGCUUAGCUGCCGAGUCAGUGACAGUUUCCAUAUAGCCCAUGGAAUUUUCAAGAAUUGUAGGGUAUACCACCUAACGCAGAAAAGUAUAAAGAAUGUCAUAGAUUUCAGAUGUUUUUCACAGAGUUUCUUAAAGAUGCCCAUGAGAUUUCCUACUAUACGCUUGUUUAUGAACUGUUUUAACUGCUCUCAUAUAUGUUUGUUAUAAAUGAUUAUUUUUGGAUUAGCUCUGCGUACCAGUACUUUUGUGCUGACCCCCUCCCCCAUCCAACCUCUCAGGUUCUGAGGAUCAGUCUAGGGGUUCAGAUAAGCAGUAGAUAGUCUGACUUGCAGAUCAGACUGUGCAGUGGUGAGCCUUCUUUACUCCAGAAGGCCUGCAGAUUGUUCAGAGUAUUAUUAGUAGUUAUAUUUUGGUCUACUGAGGGCCUUGUCCCAGUUUCUUUUUUAGACAGCUGCUUAUGUUCUUAGUAGAGAUUUCGCAGACUGAUGUCAGAUAUUACUAUUUCAGAUUUGACCAUGUUUUCGUAUUAAAUUUCAAUUCCGCAUUAUCUUUUGUUUUAUGAAUGUUGUGCAUGAUUACCAAUAGAGAAAGGGUAUUCCGGGCCUUCAUGGUUCGGGAUACUCGUCACGGCAAGGACCUUGGUUCGGGUCGUGACAUCCUCUUUGUAAAUGAAUGGUGUAUGUGAUUGCAAGUUAGAAGGACUCUGAGGCCUUCAUGGUUCGGGAUCCCCGUUACGGCCAUGGCCCUGGUUCAGGUUGUGACAUAACUAGAGCUAGAUAAUGUCUUUCAAAAGGUUCCUAAGUCGGAUUUUUUCUUGCCGAGGGUCUAAUCAAAACAGUUUCUCUACAUCUGUGGCAGGGGUAAGGUCUGUGUGCACUCUAUCCUUUCAGACGGGCAUAUUGUUGUAAGGUUCCUUGUUUGUGUUGACUAUGAAAUUAUUGUGUUAUAGCCUUCUGUUAUAUAUAGGCUUCGAUUAAAUAUGGAUGAACGAGCAUCUCUCGAAAAGUAAUCUUUUUACAAUCUUUCAAAAUGACAUAGAAUACAAGAUGUCAUGAGAAAAUAAAGCUAUAUAUUAGCUAUUAAAUAUAACAAAAGAAGAAUUUAGAAUCACAAGAGAAUCCAAAAUUUAAAAUUUAUCGAAUACUAAAGGCCCUCAAGUUUAAUAUAAUAAUGAUAGUAAUUGUGUUCAAAAUAAAUUAUUUUCUAGACCUUACAAAUAGAUAUUCAAGUCUCUGGCAAAAGCUAUUGGGUUCAUGUGUUAUAGUGUAGAUACACCUCUGCUUGUUACCUCCCAUCACGAGCAUAGGUAUCAGGCGAUGUUCGAGCUAACUUGGAUGCACUUUGGACUUAUCGUUGCGUACUUAAUUAUUACCUUCCUAGUUUUGGAUUCAUAGAGAAAGCUUCUGCCGUCACUCGAUUGAAGCUUCAGAUUCGCUUCCAUCUUCUUCCUGAGAAGCUUCAGAUUUGCUUCCAUCUUCUUCCUGAGAAGCUUCUGAUUCACUUCCAUCUUCUUCCUGAGAGUGGACAUUACAAUAUUUAGUUGAAAGAUUAACAUUUGGGGGCAGGUAAAAGGAAGCUACUUCAAGUGACGAACAUAAAUAAGUAUCUGAAUAUUACUAUUACUGUUAAAUUAAGAUGGAAAGAGAGCAGUAGAAUUAAUUAAUUAUAUAGUUAGCUAGCGCCACAAGACAAACCUUAGAAAUGAACCUCUGAUGUAUCCAUUCAUUCAGAUCAUCUACUUUCACCUCAUUAUCAUUGUUCACAUUUUUGAGACUCGGCGUCCUCACCGUUCCCUGUUGAAUAAAUGUCUUCAUUUUAGGGCAUUUACGAAUCUCCACUUCUUUAAGAAAUGGAAAUUCAAGAGCACGCUUCGUCAGAAAGAAAUGCUCAAGCUUUGGUAGCUUAUCGAGGCUCAGCCCAUCCAACAUGGGAAAUAAAGGCUCAUUUGUCAUGAUUUCUUCUCCUUGUUGUUCCUCUUCAGCUAUCACUUCUUCCAUUGAUUGGAAGUAAAAUAUCUUUAGCAUUUGGAGAUUCAGAAGACCUCUGGCCACAGAUGGAGACAUCAAGUUUCUCAGUUUUCCGCAAUCCCAUACUAUCAAUAUUUCAAGCUUACUGAAGUAGGCAGCUGGAAGUUGGUGAGAGAAUAGAGCAGUUAUGUUGUUUGCCGCACAAAUAUAUAGUUUUUCCAAGCUGGGACAAGAAGCCUGCAAACGUUGAAGGAAUGAAGUAUCAACUCAAUUUAGAUUUAGCAUUAAUCUGACCUAUAUUAGUUGGUAGUGUUUUAUUGUUGUAUAGAAAACUGGUAACUUUGAAAGCUGAAAGAAUGGAGAAUUUAAUGUAAAAUGAAAGAUGAAAGAGCGGCAAUGUAGAAUUUUAUAUGAAAGUUGUAAAGAUAUGGCGGCCUAAGUCAGCACAAAAGCUAGCUCAAGGAUUUGCCAAGCCCAUUUGUACCAGUCCAUUCCCUAACUAAUGUGAAACUCUAAUCCACUUUAACAGGCCAAACUACAGUGUAGACUGUGAGCUCAAACGGGAUGGACCUGGUUCUGAUACCAUGUAAUGGGCAAGGUAUGGAGAAUAACUUGAUAUCUCAUUCCAAGAGGUAAGUAAUAUAAUACAUGUACAUGAAGUGCUAGUUAAGGAAAGAAAUGCUCCCUUAGUCCCAUUUUUGUUGUCCACUUUUCCUUUUACACCCAUAUUAAGAAAUCAUAAAUAAGAAGGUAGCUCACUAAUUCAAAUCUCUCUUGAUGUAAGAUGGACAACUCAUAUGGGACAACUAUUUUUAGUAAGGUGGAUAACUAAAAUGGGACAGAGGGAGUAAAAGAGAUUCUUACAAAUCUGCUAUUUAAAUAUGUUUACAUUCCUAUGAAACAGUCUACGUUCAUUCUGUAACACGUGCCAAGCAUCAAACAUGACUUUGUGCAUAUAUUUUUCUCCAACUUUUAAUCAAGUAUUUUCCAAUUUCUCACAAAUGACUCCUGAUGAUAUUUUAGAAUAAUGUCUACAACAAAAUGGCACCAUAAAGAAAUGGAAAGAUAAAAUGAUCAGACAGUCCACUUCUUGACUAUGAAUAUAUCUCUUUAACAUCUACGUAUCUCAUGGUCUCCAUCUCAUCAAAUUUUAUUGUAUUUUUUUGCAGAUACACUUGAAGCAUGUUCAUCUAUUGUGCUCAGUCAUAAGCCAACACACAGGAAGAAAACACUAAGUGAUAAGUUGAGGAGCCAAAAGUGCUUAUUUAGCAAGUUGAGGUGUUUACUCAACUAUUUUAAAAAGCAUCUUCAAAAUAGCAUUCUUUAACAUCUUUUAAAUUGACUAAGAAUGCAAGAUGAAAUGAGAACAACAAAUCCACAUAUUAGCUGUUAAAUAUAACGAAAGAAGUGUUAAUGUCCUUAAUUUUGAUAAUUGUUAAAUUGUAUGUUGGGAUCUGGUUCCUGAAGAAGUGUGAUGAAGCUGCAACUACUUAGGGAUCUGGUUGGGCGCAUACACAUCGUUGUUACAGUCAACUACACAGCUGGAAGAAAGUACAAAAGUUGGUAGAAAAGAAGUUGCAUCCUUCCUUUGCUGCACCCCGCUUUUGAAACCUUCCAGCUUCUUAUUUUCAUUUUCCAAAGAUGUGAAGUUGCGCCUAUAGAAAAUCAAAUACCCAAUCUGUCGCGCAACUGGCAGUAUCAAGUGUUCUGCUACUGGGCUCAAAAUAGUAGAUAAGAUUUCCAUAGCCAUCUCCAUAAUUAAUUCUUCACUGGCUAGUCUAAUAAAGAAAAAUAGCCUCUUGUGUCUUCCUUUGAUCCUCUGAAUUCUACAAAUUUUCUUUUUUUAUUCUUUUGUUGACUCGAUUUACAAGGAAACAAAGGUAGAAAAAGGAACUGUCGGAUCAGAUGGAAAUGAAAGCUAAGGGAAUGGAGCAAGGAGAUGAAAAUGGUUGGAGUAAGAAUCAGUAGAAACAGCUUGAGAGUAUUAAGAAGAAAAGGGAGCGUUUGGAUGAGAUGAAAAUGGUUACAGAUGACUUCAUUUAUAUACACUCUUGGAUUAUCUCACAAUAAUGUUAAUUAAAUAUUGUAUUUAUAGUCUGCUCUUAGUUUUAUGUGUACUACAAUAUUUUAAAGGGCAGUCCGGUGUGUCUUGGAGUGGUUCCAUAGUUGUUGGCUUUGAUAAUUUUACUUUUGAGUUUUCACAAUAAUACGUCCAAUUUGUUCAUAUUAUAACCAACAAGAGUGAGAAGAAUGACGAUGUUACAGCAACUGGGUUAGUACAUAAAGCAUCCAAUUCUUCUAGUUGAUAGAUACAUGCAUAAAAAUACUAUCCACCAAUCCACUACCAAACCAAUAAUCUGCUGCCCAUGACCUCUUCCUCUUACAAUUUUUUGGAGUCAAAAUCCACAGACAUAUAAAGAAUAAAUUCAUGUGCAUCUUGCGAUAUGCAUUGUGGUCUUUAAUUUCUUGUAAAACAGCUUGUUCGAACACAACCAACUUGUUUACUUGAAUAGGUGUUCCACAAUACAAUAAAGCAAGUGGUAAAGUCCAUAAUUUGGCCAAAACGAAUACUCCCGCCGUUUCAAUUUAUUUAUUUAGUUUUGACUUCACACAUAAUUUAAUAUAUGAGUACCAAAAGCCUUAAAAAGAAUUUUAUAUAUGGAUGAUACCAACCAUAAACAGUGGUAAACACUUCUGUUAAUUAAAUGUUACUUCACGUAAAACUAGGAGCAGCCUCCAUAGUUGUUGACUUUAAUAAUUUACUUUCAAAUUUCUACGUAAUAAAAAGGCUCAAAUAUGCCACUGAAUUAUUAGAAAUGACUCAUUUAUGUUUUCCGUUAAAAGUUGAGCUCAUUCAUGCCAUCGCCGUUACAUAACCAACUCAUCCAUGUCAUUACUUUUUAAUGGUGGCUUUCAAAAACUGCUUUGCCACAUGGCCUUUUAUUAAAGGUCCACGUCAUUAUUUAAAAUAAGGAAAAAGGUUCAAAUAUGCCAUUGAACUAUCAGAAAUGACUCAUUUAUACUAUCGGUUAAAAGUUCAGCUCAUUCAUGCCAUCGUGGUUAUAGAAUCAUCCCACUCAUGUCAUUACUUUUUAAUGAUGGGUUUUCAAAAGCAGUUUUGUCAUGUUCCCUUUUAUUAGAGGUCCGCGACAUUGAUUAAAAUAAGUAAAUAUUAAUUUCAAAUAUCUUAGACCCAUUAAAAACAACCAAUUCAUUUAACAUAACCCGAUCCACACCCAUUAAAGUAUUUUUUUUCCUACAAUAACUAUUUUUCUGAUCAGAAAUAUAGUGAUUAAUGUAUAUUCUUUGUCUAUUUACGCUUAACAGAAACUUCAAAAAUUCUAUCCUACAGUAACUGAUUAGUUUAAUUCCAAUGACUCCAAUAUAUACUCUGAAGUUACAAGAAAAUAAGUCAAUGAACGAUUAGGCAAGCAAGGAAAAGAAAGAGGUGUAUCAAUAGAGCUUCUCCAUUCUCCCAUCACAAAUUAGGGGAGAAUACAUUAUUGAAAAAUCAUUUCCAAAUAACGACUUAAAAGGAGUUGUUAUCCCAAUUAUCCCGCCAUAUAUAUGGGAUAACUUCUCCCAUCACGAAUUCGUGGAACAUACAUUGUUUAAAAAUCAUUUUCAAAUAACAACGUAAAAGAAGUUUGUUAUACCAACUAUCCCGUCAUGUAUAUGGGAUAACUUCUCCCAUCAUUAUGGUAUAUAUGCUCGAAUAAAUAAUUCCGAUACUAACUAAUUUUUGAUAUUUUAAAUUAAUAUUGAUUUAUUUUAAUUAAUGACAUGGACUUCUAAUAAAAGACUACGUGACAAAACUAUUUUUAGAAACCCAUCAUUAAAAAGUAAUGGCAUCGGUGAGUUGAUUUUAUAAUAGUGAUGGCACGAAUGAGCCGAGCUUCUAACUGAUGACAUAAAUAAGUCAUUUCUGAUAGCUCAAUGGCAUAUUUGAACCUUUUUCCUUAUUUUAAUUAAUGAAGUGAACCUCUAAUAAAAGGCCACGUGGCAAAGUUAUUUUUGAAAACUACUGUUAAAAAGCAAUGGCAUGGAUGAGCUGAUUUUGUAACGGUGAUGGCAUGAAUAAGCUCAAAUUUUAACGGAUGGCAUAAAUAAGUCAUUUCUAAUAGUUCAGUGGCAUAUUUAAGUUUUUUCCCUUCUACAUGUAAUACUCCCACUUGCUACCAAUUUAACAUUUUGCAAAGGAAAAAAUUAACAAUUUCAAUUUGUUCGUAUUAUAACCAACAAGCACGAGAAGAAUGAUAUUGUUACAACAACUGGUUUAGUACAUAAAGCAUCGAAGAAGUCACAGAAAUAGUUACAACAAUUCAUUCAUCACACCCAUAAUUUCUCAUAUAUUAGGAUUUAGCAACAGUGAUAUUUCAAAUGAUAUUUUGUAUAUUCAAUUUUGUGCAGUGAAUCAAACACGCAACAAGAAAUAAUUUCUGUAUUACUAAUCUUUAUAUAACUUAUUCCUACAUAACUAAUUCCCGCAUUAUGAUUCAUGUAUAACUUGUCUUUGAACCAAAACGUCCCCAGUCAUGAUAAAUUUCCACCCUCUUUGAAAACAUUCCCAAAUUUUCGGUGUCACUACUUUUUGAUCUAACUGCUAAAACGUGAAACUGCUUCUAAAGAGUUCCUUGCACAAGAACUAAUUUUGAUGGGUUCGUAAGAAUAAUUUCCACUACAACCAAGAAUGUAAAUUUGCUACGACACACUCCAACUUCACAGGAGUCGUCCUAUUACCCUUGAACAAAAUUUUAGCAUAUUUUUGUCAACCUUUUUAGCUGAUGUGACACUUUUAAUGCGGACCUCAUUGGGUGACAAAAUAUGCUAAACUUGAGUUCACGGGUAAUAGGACUCCUGUAAAGUUGGAAUGUGUGUUGCAACUUUGGUCAUACUUCGAGAGGGUACUGGAUGCUUAUCCCAAUGGUUUAAGUCAAACGACUUUACUGUUAUUUGUUUCAGUUUUUUAGUCCAUAUAUCUAGUCCAUUUGCACCGUUUUUCAUUAAAGGAAAGCCCGGACAUUAUUUGCACUUUGUGCUUUUGAUAACACUAGUAAUAGCUAAAAUCUAGAGAAUAAGCUAAUCGUGCUUAUGCAUGUUUGAAGUUCCAAUUUCUCACAUCUAAUUUUUAUCCCUUAAUUUUUUAAUAUAAAGCUCCCACAGCGUAUAAUUUUUUUUACAUGAUGGUUUAAUAGCUAAAACAAUUCUUCUAUUUGAUAAAUAAAUGCAUAAAAAUAUUAUCCACUAAUCCACUACCAAUUUUCUGGAGUCAAACUCCACACACAUGUAAAGAAUAAAUUCAUGUGCAUCUUGCAAUAUGCAUUGUGGCCUUUAAUUUCUUGUGAAACAACUUGUUCGAACACAACCAACUUGUUUACUUGAAUAGGUGUUCCACUAUACAACAAAGGAAGUUGUGAAGUCCAUAAUUUGACCAAAAAGAAAACUCUCAUCAUUUCAAUUUAUUUGUUUGGUUUUGACUUGACACAAAAUUUUUCGAACUAGAUAAUUUGACCAAAAAUAAUAUUAAAAGAUAAGCCAUGUUAUACCUACAUAAGACAUGGUAAACACUUCUGUUAAUUAUAUUUUACUUCACACAAAACUUGGAGCAGCCUCCAUAGUUGUUGACUUUAAUAGCUUACUUUCAAGUUUUCACACAUAAUACUCCCACUUGCUACCAAUUUAACAUUUUGCAAAGAAAAAAAAAUUAUCAACAAUUUCAAUUUGUUCGUAUUAUUACCAACACAAAUGAGAAGAAUGAUAUUGUUACAAUAACUGGUUUAGUACAUAAAGCAUCGAUGAAGUCACAGAAAUAGCUAGAACAAUUCAUUCAUCACGCCCAUAAUUGCUUAUAUAUUAGGAUUUAGCAACGGUGAUAUUUCAAAUGAUAUUUUGUAUAUUCAAUUUUGUGCAAUGAAUCAAAUACGCAAUAAGAAAUAAUCUCUGUAUUACUAAUCUUUAUAUAACUUAUUCCUACAUAACUAAUUCCUCCAUUAGGAUUCAUGUAUAACUUGCCUUUGAACCGAAACGAACCCUUUCUGUUAAAACUUAUAAGGCGGAAGGGUGUGCUUCUAAAGAGUUUGUCACACAAGAACUAAUUCUGAUGGGUUCGUAAGAACUAACGAUUGCAUAUACUAAACCACGAUGAAUAUAUCUCUUAAACAUUUACGUAUAUCAUAGUCUCAAUCUCUUCAAAGAAAGGACACAAAAUUUUGUUGCUGCCACACUUCGAGAAUAAAAAAUUUCUCAAUUUUUAAGUAAAUCUGAAGAAAGAUUUACGUAAAACGACUUUAUUCUUCCCUCUGCUAAGUCUCCUAUUUUCCUUAUCUUCAGGAUAAAAGAGGUAGCAAAUUCUUUUAGGACAAUUUUAUUUUCAUAUUUUACAAGACAUUCAAGGAUGUAUAGGUUUUUGCAGAAAAUUAUUACUACAUAAGCAUCACAACUACCUGUCACUUCCCACUAGCAAUGUAUGCUAGGUAACUUUGUCCAUCAAGACUAAGACAGAAUCAAAGAAUCACCCAAAUACACACACGUACUCAAAGGUAGUUCCUCAAUAGUUGAGCUCGAUUUUUAUUAUGGGGUUGUGUUUUAUGCUAUAAAGAUUGUACCUUUGGUGUAUAAUUCUCAUGUUACUUGUUUAUUUAUUAAUAAUUGUGGUGUCUGGGCUAGCUUUUGCGCACCUCGACUAAAUUAUUUAUCACUUCCCACUAGCAAUGUAUAUUAGGUAACUUUGUCCACCAAGACUAAGAAUGGAAGAAUCACCCAAAUACACACACACACUCAAAGGUUGUUCCUCAAUAGUUGAGCUGGAUUUGUUUAUGGGGUUGUGUUUUAUGCUAUAAAGAUUGUAUCUUUGGUGUAUAACUCUAGUGUUACUUGUUUAUUUAUUAAUAACUGUGGUGUCUGGGCUUACUUGUGCGCACCUCGACUAAAUUAUUUAUCAGGAUACCCAUCGAUCUUUGGUGUAUAACUCUAGUGUUACUUGUUUAUUUAUUAAUAACUGUGGUGUCUGGACUUGCUUGUGCACACCUCGACUAAAUUAUUUAUCAGGAUACUUGCCUCUUCCCACUAGCUAUGUAUAUUAGGUAACUUUGUCCACUAAUAUUAGGACAGAUUGGAAGCUAGUUCCUCAAUAGUUGAGCUAGAUUUUUCAUGGGGUUGUUGAUUUUGCUAUAAAGAUUUCAUCUUGCUUGUGUGCACCUUGACUAAAAUACUUAGAAUGACUACCCUUGCAGCAACAAUAGAUAUUAGGUAAUUUUGUCCACCAAGGCUAGGAUAGAUUGGAAGAAUCACGUAGUGUUUAUGUGUCUGUUGGGAUUUGAACCUGAGGACCGUAGUUUCGGUUCUCAAUUCACUUCAUUACGUAUUGCUAAUUGAAUCACUUUUGUCCUUGUUAGUUUUUUUUGUGUACAAUUUUUCUUCUUGUUAUGGUAUAAAGAUUCUAUCUUUGAUGUAUAAUAGCUCUAGUGUUGCUUAAUUGAAUCACUUUGUUCUUCGAGCCCCUUCCCCCCACCUGCGCACACACACCCACACACAACUGUUGUUCCUUAAUUAUGGGCUUUUAUUGGAUACUAAUCUUUGUAAUUUUCUUUUGGAUACUGAAAUUCCUUCAUGCUCUGCUAAUUUUCAUUUGAAGGACUCAACAUUUGAAUUCGAGAGGAAAUGUAAUAGGCCGAAGAGAUAUGACAGGAACGUAACUGAGAACACUUUGAAGGCCAUCAAGAAAAUUGAUAAAAUCAGUGUCUAUAGGGAGGAGAGACAUAUUGCAAAGAGGUUCCUUAGACUGUGCUUCACUAAUUUCCCUUACUUUUUAUUUAUCAUGUGGCUUUUCUUGCUAUUAACAUUACUUGACAAACCAUACAGGAUGAAAGGAAAGAAAGCCAAGGACUAGAGAGAAGCAGCGAAGGAGCUCGAGCAGAACAUUCACUUAGUCGAAGCUCCUGCUGCACCCAACAAAGAGCCAUCACUUACACUGCCUGCCAAGGUCCCGGUUACACAAAAGCUGUCGAGGAAAAUCGCAUGGAGGAAUGAUUAUUUUGCUUCCUAUACUCUUACGUUCUCAAACUAAAACACAAAUCAUUUCAUGCUUAUUUUUACGGAAUGUGUAAUGUUUUGCUUUCCCCAACUUCCUGAAUUUGUAUGCUUUCGCAACUCAGUCUCGCGAGUAUUGAAAUACUCUUACUAUAUUGAUCAAAAAGUAGAAAUUUUGAACUUCCCAUAUGAGGAUUUGGAUGAGUAACUCGAGCCAUGUAAUAUGUCUUUCACAAGGUUCCUAGUUCGGAUUUUUUCUCCCUGAGGAUCUAAUCGAAACAGUCUCUCCACCUCUGAGGCAGGGGUAUGGUCUGUGUGCACUCGGCAUAUUGCUAUAAGGUUCCUUGUUUGUCUUGACCAUGAAAUUGUUGUGUUACAGCCUUCUGUUAUAUAUAGGCUUCGAUUAAAUAUCGAUGAACGAGCAUCUCUAGAAAAGUAAUCUUUACAAUCUUUCAAAACGACAGAAUGUAAGAUGUCAUGAGAAAAUAAAUCUAUAAAUUAGCUAUCAAAUGUAACAAAAGAAUUUAGAAUCACAAGAGAAUUCAAAAUUUAAAAUUUAUCAAAUCCUACUGGGCCCUCAAGUUAAAUAUAAUAAUGAUAGUAAUUGUAUUCAAAACAAAUUAUUUUCUAGAAAUUACAAAUAGCUGUUGGGUUCGCGUGAACCCAUGAGUUAUAGUAUAGACCCACCUCUGCUUGUUACCUCCCAUCACGAGCAUAGGUAUCAGGCGAUGUUCUAGCUAACUCGAAUGCACUUUGGACUUAUCGUCGAGUACUUAAUUAUUACCUUCCUAGUUUUGAAUUCAUACACAACACUUUACCUUCUGCUGUCACUCGAUUGUAACUUCAGAUUCGCAUCCAUCAUCUUCCUGAGAGUGGGAGAUUACAAAAGAACGACAUUACAAUAUUUAGUUGAAAGAUUAACAUUUGGGGGCAGGGAAAAGGAAGCUACUUCAAGUGAUGAACAUAAAUAAGUAUCUGAAUAUUACUAUUAGUAUUAAGAUAAGAUGGAAACAGAAUACUAGAGUUAAUUAGUUAUAUAGCCAGCUAGCGCCACAAGACAAACCUUAGAAAUGAAUCGCUGAUGUAUCCAUUCAUUCAGAUCAUCCACUUUUACCUCGUCAUCAUCGUUCACAAUUUCGAGACUCGGUGUACUGACAGAUCCCUGUUGGACAAACGUCUUCAUUUCAGGGCAGUUAAAAAUCUUCACUUCUCUGAGAAAUGGAAAUUCAAGAGCUUGCUUAGUCAGAAUGAAAUGCCCCAACUUUGGCAGAUCGUCAAGUAACAGCUUUUUCAACCGGGGAAUUAAGGGCUCAUUAGUCAUGAUUUCUUCUCCUUGUCGUUCCUCUUCUGUGAUCACUUCUUCCAUUGAUUGACAUUGUUUUAUCAAUAGUGUUCGGAGAUUCAGAAGACCUCUGGCCACUGACGGAGACAUCAAGUUUCUCAAUUUUCCAGGCCCCCAUACUUGCAAGGUUCUAAGUUUGCUGAAGUAGGCAGUUGGAAGUUGGUGAGAGCAUAGAGUAGUUAUGUUGUUAUUAGCCCCAUCGAUUUGUAGCACUUCCAGGUUGGGACAAGAAACCUGCAAACAUUGACAAGGUAUCAACUCCAUUUCUGAUGUCUUGCAAAUAAUUAAUAAAAUUCUUAUUUCUUGUGUGUCUUUUAGUGUUAUUUUAUUAUUACAGUAAGUUCAAUCAUUUUUAGAUUAAAUCAUUAGAUAUCAAAAAAAAUGUAAAUAUAUGAAUAUACAAUAUAGAAAUUAGUUGUAUUAUCCAUUUAACUAUGAAUUUGACCAUUCUAUUUCUAAUAAAAUGCAUAAACUAAUAAAUAUUUUACUUGAGAAAUUGCCAAAGAAAUUAUUUUUUCUUAAUGAUCAAGUAGAAAGUAUAAACACACCUUUUCAUCAAAAAGAGGAUGAAAAGUGUCCAUUCAUUUGUUCUUUCACUCAUAUUCAUAUUUUUUCAAGAUAUUUUCUUCGAAUUUGAGAUAAUGUAUUAUUGGUAAUUUUUAAAAUUGAACAAAGUUUAUCAGUUUUUGGAUUUCAUAUUGACUUUUAUGUAUUUGAGUAUUAAAAUUUGGUCAAGUUUGAAUAUGUACACCAUUGCAAAGUUAUUAUUAGCCUUAAAAAAUAACUACUAUGUGUUUAAUGGUAUAUAUGUAUUUGUCAAUUUGCCCGUUACCACUAAACUUUUAUUGAUUUGGUAAAACUUUAUUUAAUAACUCCAUAAAAUUGAGAUUGAAAUAAUGUUCAUGUGACAAAGGAACAAAACACUUCGAAAAAUUGGGUAUAGUUGAUUUGGUUUGAUUUUGAUAAAAAGUGAACCAAUUUGUUCCAUGUACACAUAGUCUCUUUAACCAUGCAUUUAAAAUAGAGGCAUCUUUUGUAAGAAAUUCCCAAUGGCUACUCUAUUAUUCUUCAAUAGAAUUUCAAAUUAUAAGUUGAAAAAUACUUUAUUAAUUACAAUAAAACAAACACGAUAAAGAACUAGGUAUGUCAUUGUAUAUAAUUUUAAAAAUAGAUAUUAUCUUAUAUUAUAAGAGGGAGUGAGCAGCUCCUGUUUGUCGACCAUUCAGUUGCUUGCUCCAUGAUUUUUCUAUAUCACCCUUAAUUAACUAUUUAUUAUAUGUCAUUUACGUAUUAAAAAAUUAUUAAUAUUUAAUAAAAAUAAGUAAAAUAUACAUUUUGAUAUGUUUGUUUCAACUGCUUCAAUCAUAAUUUAAGUCAUCUAAGUAUUAAAAAAUUAAUAUUAAAAACUUAUUAUAAAAUCAUCUACGUAUUAAAAAAUUAACAAUAUUUAAUGUUAAACUAACUUGAUGUCUUAUAUGACGCCACUUAAUUAUUUUUCCACAAGUAUUUUUUAUAGUAAUUCUACUAUAUCACUUCUAAUUAAGUAUUAUAAGUCAUUUAAGACAUGUAUGCUUACCUGCUUCAAUUGUGUUUUUUCUAUAUCACCCCUAAUUAAUUAUUAUGGUCAUAGAAGCAAUGUGCCACUUAAAUUGGAAUAGAAGAAAAAAUAUUAUUAAUCACAAUAGUCAACAAGUAAGAAAUUGAAUUAUUUAAAAAUAUAAUUGACUAACAAUACUACAAAAGUUUAGACAAGGAGAUUAACAUAUAUUGUUUAAAAAAUUACAUAAAAAGUAUUAUAAAUUAUAAUAGUUAACCACUUAAAAUAUCUAAAAGAAAAAAAAAUUAAUCUCCUAUAUAUUCCAAAAAAAUACGUAAAAAAAUAAUAUAGAUCACAAUCAUUAACAACUUAAAAAAUUCAAAAGAUAUAAAAUAUUUGAUUUACUCACAAAAUUAUAUCAAUGCCACAUAAAUUGAAAUAAUUAAAAAUAAUUGAUUAUUAAUGCCAAAAAAAAUUGAAAAAAAUAGUAAAAUGCAUUAUUUGAAAAUUACAUAAAAAUAUUAUAAAUUACAAUAGUUAACAGCUUAAAAUAUCUAAAAAAAAAUAAAUAAUAAUCUAUUACAUAUUUCAAAAAAUACUAUAACUAAAAUAAUCGACAAAUUAAAAAAUUAAAAAGAAAUAAAAUAUUUAGUUGACUUUCAAAAGUAUAUGUUAUAUAUUUCAAAAAAUAUAUUUAAAAAAUACCAUAAAUCACAAUAAUCAACAAAUUUAAAAAUUAAAAAGAUAUAAAAUAUUUAACUAACUCUCGAAAUUAUAUCAGUAUCACUUAAAUUGGAAUAGAAAAAUUAUUAUAAAUUAAAGUAAUUAAAAACUUAAAUUAUUUUAAAUAUCUAAAAUAUUAAUUCAUAAAAACCCUUUAAAUAAAAACUUUUUCGUGUAGAAGCAAACCUUUUCAUUAAAAAGAGGAGUUGAGUCGGUGAUAGCAUCGUUGGCUCUAGGCCAGAAAUUUUGGAACUCUCGUAAUCCCAAGAAAUGCAUUGCCCGUAACAGAGGGAACUCAAUGCCCUCAACAGCGUCACUGCAAAAGUGUGUGAAGCAUUGCAGACCUCGAAGUUCCAAGCGACAUAAAUUGGGGAACUUGAUUACGCCACGUCUGGUAUGUGUCCUUCGAGAGAUCCCCUCUUCUUCAUCAUCAGGGCAAGCCAAGGACACACAAAAAAGAUGCCGUAGAUGAUCACACGCUAAUACCUCCAACAUUUCGAGUUUGGGGAAUGGAAUGUUAUUCUGACAGUGGAUAUUCAAUGAAUCACAACGAGCCAGCCUGAGAUCUUCCACAUGCUGCAACUUGACCACUACAUUCUUGGAGCCCUUUCCUCUUGACUGUACAAAAUCGCUAUUCCUCAACAGGAGGCCGAUCCAAUCACCCAAUGGGGUGCUCUCGGUGACCUCUAGAUCGAUAAUCUUGUUGUAAGUUUCCAUGAUUGAAGUAUCCAAGUAGACUGAACCUUCUCCACCCACUUUAAGAGCGUAUCGUGUCAACUUGGAGGAAAGGUCCAAGUUACUGUAAAUCACAUCUACGGAACAUUUAUCGAAUGUCAGUGCAGUCAAUCUCGAUAACGAUUCCAGCUCCCUCAAUGUGGAAUAACUACAAUCUUCUACUCCAGCCAUGUGUAGUUCCUCCAAUCGAACUAGUCUUGAUAAGACCCCUGGUGAAAUCCUCAUACGUUUUCUAUACCCAGGAUUCCAAUACUCUAACAUAAUUAGGUUGAUCAAGUUUCCUAUUUCCACUGGAAGCUCUUCUAAGUAAAAAUAUCUGAUGCUGAGAAUUUCUAAAGAGACUAGUUCCCCAAUAAUGGAUAUGUCAUCCAACCUUAGAUUAUUAAGACAUAGAGUCCUCAGAUUUGACCACCUCUGAAUGGAUAAUGGAAAGGGCAGAAUGGAGUCUUUAUCAUAUCCACUCAGGCUUAUGACACUGAGUUUACUCAUUCCACCAAAAAAAUCAUCCUGCAAUUUGAAACCCUCUUUGAAACGGAGUUUUAACAUCAGAAGCUUCAGUCGUGGGCAAGAUAUUGGUCUGGGAGGCUCAUCAAAUUUAUUUGCAACAAUUGACAUGUGACUGUAUUGCUCAUAAUAAGAGUCUUUUCUCGGGAACUCUUCUGAGUUCACAUUGUGAUUUACCAAAAAUUUAUGCUCACCCUCAGACGCAGUAUAUAUAGCCACGUCCCGGACCACAUCAUGCAUUUUGACAUAUUUUUUGUCUGAACCUUUGGAUAGCAAGAAACAAUUUUUCAAUGUUUCUAACAGAUUAGACACCCUAUUUCUUGCACGUUCUAAAUUUUCGAGUUCCGAAAAGAUGCCAAGUCCCAUUCCAUAUUUAAGUAAUUCUUCGGUCCAAAUAUCACUAUCUUCCUCAAACAAGGAACAAAGCAAAAAGACAUACCUAGCUUCAUCACUCUCUAAGUGAUUAUAACUUAGCUUCAGAGGUUGAUACACCUCUUCAAGCACUCUUGGGAUAUUUUUUGGUGCUGCUUUUCUUAAUUCUACAAGGGCAUCAUCCCAUGAAGGCUUGGUUUUAGGCUUUAGUGCUCCUGCAACAGUAACAAUUGCAAGUGGCAGCCCCUUGCAUUCUUUGGCAACUUCUUUUGCUACUUCAGAAAGAGAGGGAUCAUCAGCUGAAUUACCGGCUUUCUUCCUAAAAAGGAUCCAUGAUCCUUUUUAGGUAAAAUUCUAACUUCAAUGAUUUUUUGAGCCUCCAUUAUGACACAAACAUUUUGGUCACGCGUCGUCAAUGCCACUUUGCACUGAUGGGCGUGGUCGCUGCCACUGGGAAUUCCAAGCCUCUUUAGAUCAACAACCUCCCAAACAUCAUCCAAAAUUACAAGGACGCUACUGCCCUUCUGCUUUAACCUUGAACGCAGACGAUCUCCACGGUGCAACAAAUCGUCCCCUUUUAAUUCUAGACCGACUCCUUCGGAGAUUUCAUCCUGUAUUUUUUUAAUGUUUUUUUGUUGUAGACUGACAGUUACCAUGACAACAUAAUCAAACAACCUUGUUUUUUUUGCCCUUGCUCUUACUUUCUCAGCCAGUGUUGUUUUACCAACACCACCCAUACCACAUAUCCCAACAACAGUGACCUCCUUAUCUCUCAAAGCUUCCAUGACCUCUUCCUCCUUCUGUUUUCUGGAGUCGAACUCUUCAUCACUACUAGGUAUAGCUUCAAUUUCAACUGCAGAUGGUGUUGGACAGGAGGAAGGAGCAUAAUCUUUGCCUUCAUCUUGAAGACCAUUCAUAGCCAGUGCAAUUUCCUUAGCUUUCCUACUCAGCGAGUAAUGUGACUUCAAGUUUGGACACCAACCGUGGAAGCAGCCUCUUUCAACCUCAACUCUACGUCCUAGUAAAUCCUCCACCUCACAGUAGCUUUAUGAACAUCCUUUAACCAAUUCUCAAUAUGGGGUGGCAAGCUUUUUAAGUUUCUCUCGGCAGCAUCCUUUCUUUGCUGCACUCCGCUUCUGAAACCUUCCAGCUUCUCAGAUGCAUUUUCCAAAGUUCUGAUGUUGCGCCUAUAGUAAAAUAAAUAUCCAAUCUCUCGCGCAACUGGCAGUAUCAAGUGUUCUGCGACUGGGCUCAAAAUAAUAGAUAAGAUUUCCAUGGCCAUUAAUUCUUCACUGGCUAGUCUAAUAAAGAAAAACAGCCUCUUGUGUCUUUCGCUAGAUCCUCUGAAGUCUGAAUUCUACAAUUUUUUUAUUUUUUUUAUUUUUGUGGACUAGAUUUACAAGGAAACAAAGGUAGGAGAAAAUGAGUGCUGAGGGGGAAUGAAGCAAGUAGAUGAAAUUGGAUGGAGUAAAAUCAGAAAGUAAAUGCAAGAUAGGAAAAUGAAAGCUAAUAUUGGUGUACUACUGUUAACUCUACCCUACAUGGACCUGUUACUAUUUUGAAAGCAAUGAAUUAAAGAUAACGUAUUCAGUAGCCCAAAAUUAUUAUCGAAGUUGCUAGACACUCUUCAAUAUUACAUGAGUGUUAUUAAUCUUUGAACUUCAUUUUAGUAUAUUUUUAUCACCCUUUUGUGCUGAAAUAACAUAUUUAUUAAAUAAAAAUGAGGCCCAUGUCAAAGCUAUCACAUCAGCUAAACAGAAAAAUAAAAAUAAACCAAAAUUGAAUUGCAAAGUUCGUUAUAGUUCAAGAGUACUAGAUGUUUUGAAUUAUAAACAAGAAACACAUGUUUGUCUCUUGACAUUAACCUACCCUAUGAUCCAUAGUGCAAUAUUUGCUUUUGGAAUUUUCCCUCCAAUUGAUUGAGUCAUUGUUCUCUACUAUUGAAGUGAAAAUACCACAUUCCCAGUUAUUCAAAUACUCCCUUGAAUGGUAAUAUGACAAUGAAAGGUGAAAAAGCAGGAAUAGUAGAAGUGGGAACUAGUGGUGAUUAGAUAACAUUUCAAACUGGCAGACAUAGAAAGUAAUGUUUGCUUUUGGAAUUUUGCCUCCAAUUGAUCGAGUCAUUGUUAUCUAUUAUUGAAGUGAAAAAUACAACAUUCUCACUUCCUCUUUCUUUUUUUCCCCUUUCUCAUUUGUUAAUAUUGCUUCUUGGAUAAUAAUAUUGUUUAUAAUAUUUCAAAUAGCUAGUAUAGUUUAGUACUAACCCUUUUUCUGCUCUGAAAUCUGAACUCUGCUAAGUAUUACUGUUUCUUUUUUAUUCACUUUUUUGACUGAUUUUCUUAUUUUUGAUAAAAGAAUAACCCAAUGCACUAAAUCUUUUGUUAUGUGCGGGGAGCGGGGAAAGGCCAAACCACAAGGAUUUUAUUCAAUAAAUUUUAUAGUAUGCAGUUUUACCCCACAUUUCUGCAAGAAGCUAUUUCCAUGGCUUGACCGUUGUUGGGUUCAAUUGGUGUGAAUGGAAAAUGGAGGGAUACAACCCUUCGAGAAAAAGACACACUAUUUAGGAAAAGGGGUGAUUGUUUGGUCAGUUGUGACUGUUCAGAAAAGACAUGUUGUUUCGGAACAGACAAAUAUGACUAUUCCGAAAUGAUACACCUUUCCGAUGAACUAUUGCGUCCUUUUCGAAGAGGCACUUCAUGACUAUAUAAAUGUACAUUUUUCCACAGGUUUAGUAUGAAAAUUUCUUCAUAGAAAAAAAUAUUUCUCUUGCUUCCAAAACUCUGUAUGAUUAUCUCCCGUUGAGUGAGUUCGAAGAAAACUAAAAAGUUUGAGGUAUCACAACAUUCUAGUUGUGUGAAGCCAUUUUAUCCUAGAAGGAAAAUCCACAACCUCGAGUAUUUGAGAAAAAUUAUUUCUUAAGGACACUCCGUAAAUUCGGAGGACUUGGCUUAUUCUGCUUCAUCUUUUUUCUUUAAAAUAAAAUAACACACUUCUUAGAUAGUUCAUAUUAAACUUGUGUUGAAGGUGUUGGAAAACUGCAUAAGUGUUCUUGAUUUAAUCUUGAACUUGUGUUGAAGUUAUUUGGGGUUUUGAGCUGUAGGUGACAAAAGAGUUUUAAAAUGAGGUGUGGUGACAAAAGUCUUAAUUAUUGAGUGGAGGUGACAAUUACUUUAUUAUGGAUUAAGAAAGUUGUGAAAGUUUCAAAAUAACCCUCAAAUUUUUAAAUUUACACUUUGAUUCAAAUGUUUACCCAUAUAACUGAAAACGGAGGGAGAAAAAGGCGUCUUUCUCUCUUUUUCAUUGUUGUUUUCUCUCUCUUAGCGAUUUUUGUUGUUCAUUGUUGCUGCUGCUUUAUUCAUCAUCUUCUGCUUCAUUAUCAUCACCUUCUACUUCAUUAUCAUCUUCAUCUUCUUCUUGUUGACCAUUUGUUGUUGUUGUUGUUGUUGUUGUUACUGUUGCUAUUUGACCAAUUUCUUAGGUCAAAUUUAGUUUCGAACAUCACUUUCCACUUUGGCAUUACUUCAUAGGAGACCUUGGUAAGUCAAAUUAUGAUUUUUAGUUGAAUUUAACAUCUGGGUAACUGGUAUUGUAUUGUUUUGAUAGAACUCGAUCAUGAAUCCAACAUAAGAUCCAUCUGUUUAAACAGAUAAAUAAUCUGUUGCGACAGAUGAUACGCCUGUUUAAACAGAAGACUGAUAUAUUGGAUUCAUGUUUAAACAGAUGGAUUAUUUGAUGCAAUAUAUGACCCAUCUGUUGCAACCGAUUAGUUUUCUGUUGCGACAUAAUAAAUAUCUGUUUCAACCGAUUGUAACCUGUUGUAACAGAACUUGAACACGAUUCCAACAGAAGUAUUAUUUUUUGUAACAGGGUAAAUAUCUGCUACAACAGAUUAAUAACCUGUUGCAACAGGUAAGUCAUCUGUCGCAACAGGUUAAUUAUCUGUUGCAACAUGUCACUCAUCUGUUGGAACCAGCUUCAAAGGUGAUUUAGUACUGUAACGUCAAUCCCAUUAGGCGCAUCAUCUGUUGUAAUAGAUAUUCAGGAGAGUAACAUAAAUCCCAACAGGUAAGUAAUCUAUUGCCACUGAUCACUUACCUGUUGCAACAGAUUACGUAUAUGAUGGGAUUCAUUUACGAUACUAUAAAAUCACUAUCAACUUUUUUGAACAAAUAACUUUAUUUAGGUACCAACGAUGGAGGGAUCAAUAACAAUAGGGGUGGAUUGUCAUGGUCAAUGGAUCAAGAAGAAUAAUCGAUAGGUAUGGCAUUGGAAGGAGGGUGAAAUACUAGAGACGAUAGCUAUGAUAGUCCAAAGUGAUGUUUCGUAUGAUGAUUUUGUGAACUUAAUCAUCAUCUUUUGUAGACUGAAUUGUCAACCGGAAUAACUCACCAUCAGCUAUAUGCACAGCUCUUUUGAAAAUCAGAGGGUGCUGUCUUUCAAGAUAACCGAUCAGGUUCGGUUGCAUGGUUAUCCAAGUGAUUCAACCAGGCCGGUUUUAAGGGUGUACAUGAUUGAAAAGACGAGAAAGAAUGAGAAGGACGAAGAAUAACAAAAAUAUUUCUUUGAUGAUAGGUUGGAUGAUCUAUACAUGAAUAUUUCAGAUGAUGAUCAAACACCUAUGCCCGGUGAUGCGACUAAUACGAUGUGCAGUUCUUCUCAAUUGACACAAUCUGAAAAUCUUCAAGACGACGGGAUCGGCUUUUUUAUUGAAAUGUCAUUCAAGGACAAGAAUGAACUAUCUACCACUUUGUUUAUUUCUUGCUUGAAAAAAUAUUUCAGAAUAAAGAAGGUGAUUAAUUCGAGCUGUCUUUUGCUUCAAAUGUGCUAAUUCGAACUGCAAGUGGUGGCUGAGAGCGGUGAAGUACGCAAGUUCUGACCGAUUCGUCAUUCAUAAACAUGAAAAGCAUCACACAUGUGGUUCGAAGAACAUCUCUAGGCAAAAUCUCUACGCCACGGCAAAGGUCCUCGAUGAAUAUUUCAGGAGUAGUUUCCCCGAUGGCAAAGGCCCUUCAACAAGGGUUAUGGCCAAUCAACUCCUUGCGGAUUUGGGUGUCCUGGUCAGUUAUUGAAAGAUAUAUACUUCCAUGGGGAUUGCCAAGGACUUGGUUAGGGGGACACUCGAGCAUGGGUAUGCAGUCCUGGAUGCCUACCGUUACAUGAUUGAGUCCAUAAAUCACGGAAGUAAGACGGCAUUGCAUCUGGAUGAAAACGGAAGGUUCAAGUACUUUUUUAUAUCCUAUGGUGCUUGGAUUCAAGGUUUUCGACAUUUGAGAAAAGGCAUAGCCGUCGACGGUACCUUCUUGAGGAGCAGGUAUAAUGGAGUUCUGUUGGUGGCAGUGGCGCAGGAUGCGGAGAAUCACAUUUUUCUUGUCGCUUUUUGUGUAGUGGACAAGGAAUGUGAUGCCUCUUAUGGAUUUUUUUUUGAACAACUGCGAAGUUGCGUCGAAGAUACCGAAGAUUUAUGUUUUGUAUCGGAUAGGCAUCCAAGUAUUCCAAAGAUGGGUUCACUUUUUUUCACUUUUGCUUUGGUUGUUGCAUCAAGCAUCUUGGAGAGAACAUUCGAAACAACUAUCACAACGAAAGGGUCGUCACCCUUUUUUAUAGAGCAUCUAAAGCAUAUAGUAGAGAGGAGUUUUUAGACCAUUUCAAUCAAAUAACGGAUAUGAAUCCCAAGGCAGCAGAAUUUCUCGUACGUGUCAGGUUCGAGAGAUAGAGCCGGGCAUUCUAUCCCGCAGAUAGGUACAUUCUUAUGAAUUUAAUGUCUUGUUUGAUUUACUAGUUUAGUAUGAUGUCGUACUAAGUGAUUCAUUAUUUCUUUUGUAUAGGUACAAUAUUAUGACAUCAAACAUAGCUGAAUCGGUGAAUUCAUUGUUUGGCGAUGAAAGAGAAUUUCCCAUCAAGGCUAUGUUUGAAAAAUUAAGCAAGAAGUAUAGCAAAUUUUUUAACGAAAGGCGUGUGCAAUUCAAGUGCCCAGAAAACAGAACUCGAUUUAUUCUCGAAAUCGAAAAAAUAAUAUCAACGAACAUCAGUUUGGGGAAUAGGUUAUUAUCUCAUAAAAUAGCAGAUUACAAAUUCAGCAUCACCGUUUAUGGCGAUGCUGCCACGGUCGAUCUUCAAACAAGAUCAUGUACGUGCAGAGUUUUUGACUUGGACAAGAUACCUUGUCCACAUGCUAUGGCAGCGCUUUGAGCUCAAUACGGUCAUAAAUAUGGACCUGAAGUUUACGAGCACUUUUCUCAAUAUUAUUCGGUGGAAAAAUAUGAAAUGGCAUAUAGUAGGCAUAUUACUCCGGUGCCUCCCGAAGAAUCUUGAAUUGUUCCUGCAGAGCUUAUGGGGAGAUUAAUACCUCCUCCAUAUAUUGACCCAAGAACUAUCAAAUCGGGAGGAAAGUCAUAUAACAGGAGGCGUGGAGUUGGAGAAUCAUUUUCAUCAAGAAGAAACAAGUGCUCCAUAUGUAAGUGCGCUGGCCACAAAAGAACUACUUGCCCGAAUCGUAAUCCACCAUGAUAGUGAUUGAAGAAACUUGUGUUGUUGUUUGUUUGUUGUGGACUUUUAUAUAUUUAACUCAUUGUUGUGAACCUAAUAUCUUUUUUAAUAACUUGUGCAUCAAUAAAAAGAGGCAAGACAUGAACUAAAUAAUACAGCAGACCACAAAUACUCUUAACAGUUCCAUCAAACUGGAAUCUUUUCCUUCAACAGAUGAAAAAUCUGUCAAAAUAGAUGGAUAAUCUGUUGACAGAAAACCAACAGAUGACCAAUCUGUACCAACACAUGGUAUGAAAGAACUCAAAAGCCAAAAUUGUUGGUGCUACUGGAUUCAACAUUGCUCCUUGCCUCCAACCGUCGACAUGUUAACAUGUAUGUAUAGAAGAAAUAGACCGAAUGAAAAGUGAAUAAGAAUAAAAAAGCCAAAGUCGACUAAAAGUAAAUUUUUCAUUAAACAAAAAAUAACAUACAUUCAAUAUAGAAAAAUUAAAAUGCACAUGCUAAAAGAAAAAAAACACAUUGUAAUUAUUAUUAUUAUUAUUAUUAUCAUCAUCAUCAUCAUCAUUAAUGGCAGCUGGUCAAUCAACUCGCACCAGUAGAGCCCUCAUUAGCCUCUGCAUCUCUCUGAAUAUCGUUGCUCUCACAGCGACCAACUCCCUCUAUAGGUCAUUAACCUGCCUCUGAAGUUCCCUCACCGUGUCGCACAAAAUAGCAAUGUCUCAAACAGGAUCAGCCAUAUCUAGAACGUGCAUACAUGAAUUGACAAAUGUAAAGGAAAAAGUCUAAAUGCAAUACAACGAAUACUACAAAUUGGUAGAUUCACACCGGAGAAGAAAACUUACCUCAACGAGAAAGGAAUAUGCUUUUUUGAAGAAAAGUGGUUGAAGAUGUCACACGAAAAGAAAAAGUGCACGAAAUAAAUAUAGUUUAGCAGAAAGUAGAUUCAAGAAUAUGAAGGAGGGACCUAUUUAUAGAGGAUUGAAUCUGGAUGUGUAAGGACAAAAGGCACGUCUGUCCAGCUUCAUUGUAUUAUGUGAAAAGUCACGACUUUUUUCUUUUUGAUUAAUUAAUAAUAAUAGUUCUCACCAUUUCAAAACGGCGACAGCCGGUAUAUUAUUGAGCAGUUGCAACAGAAAGUUGGGAUUAGAAUCUAUUGCAACAGAUGGUCCGUAGUCUGUCAAAACAUAUUUAUCAUCUGUUACAACAUAUGGAUUAUCUGUUGCGACAGAUGUCCAUCUUUUGGUGGAGAUUUUUAAAUUCUUCCAAAAGUUGAUUCACCAGUUGCAACAGAUGGAGAUAUCAGUUCAUCAGCUAUUUUGAAUGUGUUAGAUAAAAUGUCACGACUCUUUACCUCUUUUUUAAGAGUCAUGACAUGCGUGGAGAUGAAUAAAAAUUAUCUGGUCUGUCACAAAAGAUGUACCAUCUAUUGAAACAUAUGUGUUGCGACAGAUGGACCAUAUGUUGGGGGAGAUAUUUUGAUCUCUUCCAACAGCUGAUUCAUCAGUUGCAACAGAUGGAUAUUUCAUUCAUCGACUAUUUUGAAUGUGUUGAAAUAAAAAGUUAUGACUCUUCACACCUCUUUUUUAAUAGUCAUCACAUGCGUGCAGAUAAACAACACUGUCUGACAAGUCCUGAUGGGGUAGGAAGAAUAAGGUGCGUGCAAUGGAUCCACUUUCAUGCGUGGGGAGUUAUGUACAUAUUAUUGAUCAGGCUACCAUGACAGAUACACAUAAAGUGCAAUGAUUUUGUGAAUGCAAUUUUUUACCGGUUAGACGCUGAUCCUUCAAACAAGAUCCUGCAUUGUACAGUUUAGUUUGAUAGGUGCGAACUAAUAAGGACAAAGGGUUCCAAGACGGUAGUAUCGAUACCCCGCUACAAUUUAAUGACGGUCUAUGCUCAUGUUUUUGGGUCAGUUUGGGGAAGGGUUUAAGUUUUUGGUGGCAGUGUAAAUAUCCAAUAGUGAUUGGAUUGAUUUUAAUGGCGCAAUGGACUUCUUGAAAGGCCUCUGAAGCCUCGCAAUGCAGCAUACAAUGAUGGAACCAAUAGAAAUUCCCCUAUUCUAGAUUUAUAUGGAUGGGUUGUUAGAGGAGACUUUUAUAAAAUAAAAGGCACUUGGGAGAAUACCCGUGCGGGAAGAGGGAGGUUGAGAAGGCCAUAUAUCAUCUCAGUCCUUGUUUAAGAGGAAACAUAGGGUAGGAAGGAAAAGUGUAGCGAAUUGGAUAUUGAAAUUGACAUGAAAAAUGGAAAAACUGGAUGUGCUGCGAAUGUGAAAGUGUAUCCAAAAGUGAAAGUCCAUCAGUUGUUGAAGAAAAAAGUGAAUGGUCAACAGGUCUGGAGCUGGACACUUCGCUUGAGAAUGCAACUAGCGAGCGUGGUCUAAACGAAGACCCACAAAGUGCAGGACCAGAACUCUAAGAAAGAAGCUUCACGAGCAUGGAAGGUGAUAAGAUUGUCGGUCAGAAUUGAAACCUGAACCAACAACUCCUGAAUUAAAAAUAAAGGUAGCCAAGGUGUCAAUUUCUAAAGUCUAACUUGAAUGCCAUGCCUUCUGUUUGUGGCUAUGAUCAGGUCAAUGGCAGUAGAAUCAAAAAGGUCCAAAGUUGGGCUCAAAACCCAUGCCUUAUUGUUUCCACUACCUUUGACUUGACCAGAGCCAUAAAUAGAAGACAAGGCAUGCAAGUUUAACUUGAGAAAUUUUCACCUUGGCUUGAUCCCGUAUUUUAAAUUCAGGAGUUAUUGGUUCAAGUUUCAAUUCUGACCGAUAAUCUUACCACCUUCUGUGCUCGCGAAGCUUCUUCCUUAGAGUUCUGGUUCUGCACUUUGUGGGUCUUCGUUCAGGACACGCUCGCUAUUUGCAUUCUCGAACAAAGUGUCCAGCUCCAGACCUUUUGACCAUUCUCUUUUUUCUUCAACGACUGAUGGACUUUCACUUUUGGAUACACUUUCACAUUCGCAGCUCAUCCAGUUUUUCCAUUUUUCAUGUCAAUUUCAGCAUCCAAUUUCGCUACACUUUUCCUUCCUACCCUGUGUUUCCUUUUAAACAAGGACUGAGAUAAUAUAUGGCCUUCUCAACCUCCCUCUUCCCGCACGGGUAUUCUCCCAAGUGCCUUCUAUUUUAUAAAAGUAUCCUCCAAUAACCCAUCCAUAUAAAUCUGGAUCAGGGGAAUUUCUAUUGGUUCCAUCGUUGUAUGCUGCAUUCCGAGGCUUCGAAGGCCUUUCAAGAAGUCCAUUGCGCCAUUAAAAUUGGUCCAAUCGCUAUUGGAUAUUUACACUGCCGCCAAAAACUUGAACCCUUCCCCAAACUGACACAAAAACAUGAGCAUAAACCAUUAUUAAAUUGUAGUACGGUAUUGACACCACCGUCUUGGUCCCUCAGCCUUACCAGUUCAAACCUAUCAAACUAAACUGUACAAUGCCAUAUUUACUCUAGCCUUUAAUGCUGGCCGGGAAAAAGUAGAUCCAGUUUCACUUUCUUUUAUCCGCAAACAAGAGAAAUACAUUUGAUGUCAAACAAGAUAAGGACAAAAAGAACAUUACAAAAGGAUAACACAAAAUUGAGUGAAUCAACAGAUGACCAAUCCGGAUUUUUGAUGCAACAGAUUACCCAUUUGUUCAACCGAUGAGGCAUCCGUUGCAACAGAUGGAUGACAUGUUGGAACAGAUGGUUCAUCUGUUGAAAUAAAUCAAACCAGCCUUGCUACUUGGUUUGAUAUCUUCAAAUAGUUGUUCCGUUUAUACAAAAGGGUAACACAAAAUUGAUUGAAUCAACAGAUGACCAAUAUGAUACAACAGAUUACCCAUCUGUUCAACUGAUGAGGAAUUGUUGUAAUAGAUGGAUGACAUGUCGCAAUGUAUGGGUCAUCUAUUAGAAUAAAUCAAACCAGCCUUGCUUACUAGUUUGAUUUCUUCAAACAGCUGCUCCAUUUGUUCCAACAGCUGAUUCAUCAGUUGCAAUAGUUGAGGAAAUUAUUGCAACACCAACAACAACAACAUCACCAACAAAUAAACAACACCAUAUGUUCCAACACCAUCCACAACACAAACGUCAUAUGUUCCAACACAACCACUAUUCCCAACAACAGCACCACUAAAGUACCAAACAAAAAGACAUAAAAAAAACUAUCCUGACAACAAGACUUUUUAAGUUCUCCCAACAGAUGACUUUUUUGCAUAUUUUAAUAAAAUCAUUGGUCCGUUCAUUCAAGACUUCAAGUCACCUUUCCUUAAAUUUUCUCAAUAAAUAGGAAGCUGGUAAUGGGUAAAUCAUUAAUAGCAGCAGAUGUAAAUGUCUAAUUUAAAUGACAUACAAAGAAGAAGACGAGAUGAAAAGAGCAAUAGUGAACCAUACCUGCAAUGUCAAAACAGCAAAGGGAUCAGAACAUCAAGUUCAGUCGAGAAAAUAUCUUGAUUGGUUCAGAUCCGAAAGGAUCCUCAUCUGAAAGAAAAGAGGAAAGAGGGGAAAAAAGGAAAGAAAGAGAAUUGAGAAUUAAAAAGAGUGGUGAUACAUACAUGAGUUGAGUAGGGGUUUUAAAUUCAUAAAUAAUUUUUGAGGGGCACGAGGAGACGGUGACAUUGAAAAGACCAGACAAGACUACCCAUUCAAGAGAUUUUUGAGUUAUCCAAGUAGUACGGAUUACUAUCUUUUACCGCCUUAGUAUUUUAACUUUUUUUAUCUCGAACAAAAAAUACCUUAAAUUGCUUUAAAAAAAAGAGGAGCUUAAAAUAUUUAAGUGCAACAGAUGACAGAUGACAAUUUCUGAUUGGAAAUUUCCAAAGCUCGGUUAUCUGUCGCAAUAGAUGACUUAAUCUGUUUGAUAAUUUACAAUUGAUUUUUAAUUUGUUGCAAUAGAUUACCUAAUAUAUUUGAUUUAAUCCAACAGAAAUAGCAUCUGUUGCAAUAGGUGUAACAUUUGUUUAUAUAUAAUUUCAAUUGAGUUCAAAUGUUAGACUAAUACCUUAAUCUAGGGCCGGGGUGGGUUCUCAUAGGGUCAGCUACAACUUCAAUUGAGUCUUUUGGCAAUUGCAUGAUGAGGCGGUAUUGCGUUCCUACCGACCAGAGAUGCCGAUCGAUCACUUUGAGCCAAACCGAUUCUUACAACCUCAAAUGUUAGAAUAAUACCUUAAUCUAGGGUCGGGGUGGGUUCUCAUAGGGUCAGCUACAACUUUAAUUGAGUCUUUUGGCAAUUGCAUGAUGAGGCGGUAUUGCAUUCCUUCUGACCAGAGAUGCCGAUCGAUCACUCUGAGCUGAACGGAUUCUUACUACCUCAAAUAUUAGACUAAUACCUUAAUAUAGGGCUAGGGUGGGUUCUCAUAGGAUCAUCUACAACUUCAAUUGAGUUUUUGGGCAAUUGCAUGAUGAGGCGGUAUUGCGUUCCUCCCGACCAGAGAUGUCGAUCGAUCACUCUGAGCUGAACCGAUUCUUACUACCUCAAAUGUUAGACUAAUACCUUAAUCUAGGGCCGGGGUGGGUUCUCAUAGGGUCAGCUAAAACUUCAAUUGAGUCUUUUGGCAAUUGCAUGAUGAGGAGGUAUUGCGUUCCUCCCGACCAGAGACACCGAUCGAUCACUCUAAACCAAACUGAUUAUUACUACCUCAAAUGCUAGACUAAUACCUUAAUCAAGGGCCGGGGUGGGUUCUCAUAGGGUCAGCUACAACUUUAAUUGAGUCUUUUGGCAAUUGCAUGAUGAGGCGGUAUUGCGUUCCUCCCGACUAGAGAUGCCGAUCGAUCACUCUGAGCUGAACCAAUUCUUACUAACUUAAAUGUUAGACUAGUACCUUAAUCUAGGGCUGGGGUGGGUUCUCAUAGGGUUAUCUACAACUUUAAUUGAGUCUUUGGGCAAUUGCAUGAUAAGGCGGUAUUGCGUUUUUCCCGACCAGAGAUGCAGAUCGAUCACUCUGAGCCGAACUGAUUCUUAAUACCUUAAAUUCUAGACUAAUACCUUAAUUUAGGGCCGGGGUGGGUUCUCAUAGGGUCAGCUACAACUUCAAUUGAGUCUUUGGAAAAUUUCAUGAUGAGGCUGUAUUGCGUUCCUCCUGACCAGGAUGCCGAUCGAUCACUCUAAGCCAAACCAAUUCUUACUACCUCAAAUGUUAUACUAAUACCUUAAUCUAGGGCUGGGGUGAGUUCUCAUAGGGUCAGCUACAAAUUCAAUUGAGUCUUUUGGCAAUUGCAUGAUGAGGCGGUAUUGCGUUCCUCCCGACCAGAGACACCGAUCGAUCACUCUGAGCUGAAUUGAUUCUUACUACCUCAAAUGUUAGACUAAUACCUUAAUCUAGGGCGGGUGUGGGUUCUUAUAGGGUUAGCUACAACUUCAAUUAAGUCUUUUGGAAAUUUCAUGAUGAGGCGGUAUUGCGUUCCUCCCGACCAGAGAUGCCGAUCGAUCACUCUGAGCCGAACCGAUUCUUACUACCUCAAAUGUUAGACUAAUACCUUAAUCUAGGAUCGGGGUGAGUAAUAUAGUUUCAAUCGAGUUCAUAUGUUAGACUAACCCUUUCGGGAAUUGCAUGAUGAGAUGGUUAAAAAUUACCAUAUCUUUUAUAACUUUUGAAAAUAAUUAAGAUCAAAUUGGACCAAAUUAACAUUUUCAAAACUUGUCAUUCUUUUCCAAAAUACAAAUCAACCUAGACAAAACGUCUCAUAUCUAUUUCUCGCUCUCUUCUCUCUCAUUCUCACUCAACAACAGUACAGAUAACAACUACUCAACCCUUCACAACAGAUCACUUUUCUUCUCAUUUGCAAACACAUAGGUCUUAUUUUCGACUUCAUUCUUUCUUGUAUCAGUUGUUUUUCUUUAUCUUCGUAGGUAACAGGUAACAAAUUUCGAGAAGAGUUCUAUAUAUGUUAUUUUUUUCUAAAAUAUAAUGUCUUUUAAGUUAAUGAUGAAAAAUAAAACUUUUUGGUGUAUUAUCUUUGAGAAUGGGUUUACAAUUUUGAGUUUUGAUGGUAAAAUCGUAGGAAGAACUCUAGAAAAUCCUAUUUACUGUCGCAGUGUUCCAUUGAUUGUUGGGGUAUUAUUGGAUGGUGUUUGAGGUGUUAGUGUUGGUGUUGGUGGUGGUGGUGGUGGUGGUGGUGUUUGUGGUGGCUGUCGGUGGUUUCGGUAUUCAUGGUGUUUGUGGCAUUGGGUGGUGGUGUUUAUUACUUUGUGGUGGUUGUUGGUGUGUCUGUAUUGUGGUGUUUGUAAUGUAUUUUUAAAAUUUAUGCAUACAUCAAUUUGUAAUUUUUGUUUUUCUGUUGUUUGAAAGUAAAAUAUGUCUCCCAAAAGAAAAGAAAGUGAAAGCGGAUCAACGUCUCACCACCUAAAAAAAGGGCUACUGUACAGAAGGAUUUGGAGGAGGAUCUUACCAAAUAAUCUCAGACAGGGAAAAGUGAAGCUGAAGAGAGAUAUGAAAACAAUGUUGAGAGAGGUAGAGAAGGGUCUGUGGAUGUUGAUGAAGAAAAUGAAAGUGAGAAAGAGAAAGAGGAUGAUCAUCAACAUGAUGAUAAUGGAUCACCAAUGGGGCAUCAAUUAUUAUCGACGUCCUAGCAUGAUCCUAUCAAAACUUUUAAUAUUGAUUGGUUUCAAGUUGCGAUGCUGAUAAAUGAACUAGAAGCAGAACUAAAACUAACUGGUGAUGUUGUACUUAAAUGUCAGAUGGGGAAUUUUAAUAAUUUUAGGAAAAUUAUGAAGAACGAAAACAUAGACGGGCUUUUUAAGAAGAGCCGCUUUGGAUGCUUUCUUGAGCUGUCUGAGGACCCCCCUCCCUAUUUCCAUUUCCCUUCGACGAUGGUAUAUGGUCUUCUCAAGCACAGGAUCAAGUAAAUAGGGGAUGAUAAAGAUCCGGAGGAGGGGGCAAAAAGAAGAUGGAUGAAAUCUGGAUAAACUACUAUGGCAUGCCGGUUUGCUUUGGCUUGCAAGAGUUUGCCAUAGUGACGGGCUUGAGAUUCCAUCGACCAGAAGAACCACCCCCACCCCUCAAAAGAUCCAAGGCAAGAAAACACAAGUAAAAAAUAGAAGGGUUGUUUGACGUUGCUCUAAGUGGCUACAAAGCAUCGGAUUUGUUAAUAGAUCUCGAGGAUAAAACCAUACCAGAGCAGUACAGGGAGCAAUUGUGCUUAGUUUGGUUUACCCAUUCGGUUUUAUUGGCAAGAGACGACAACAAGGUCAUAGAAGAUGAUUUGUUGGUGCGUGCUGAGGAUUUUGAUAAAUUCAACAAUUAUCCCUGGAGAUAUGACAGCUUCUACUUAACUGUCCCAUAUUUACUGUUAAAGCUAUCCUCAAAGACGAACUCAUUAUACGGCUUUCCUUGGGCUUUCAUGGUAAAAUUAAAAAAUGAAUCACUAUUUUUACUCAUCCAUUAAUUUAUGUUGAAUAUAAUUAUUACGACUAUUUUUUGCUUGCAUCCUUUUUACAUUUUUUAGGCUUGGGCAUUGAAAGUCAUUCCUCCCCUCCGAAAGCAGUUAUGGAUUACUCGGAGGAGGUUUCUCAUCCAAGGAUGUUUAGGUGGUUGGAUGCAAAGAGCAACACCAAAAUCAAGGAGGCUGAUCUCUUUAACCCUUCGGAUGAUGCAGUACGUCUUCUUCAAAGUAAAGAUAUUGAACAGAUGUGAUAUCUGAUGCACCAGAUGGGAAAUCUGUUUUGACAGAUUACCCAUCCUGUGCCAACAGGUCCAACAAAUGGAUAAUCUGUUGAGACAAACAAUUGAUAUAUUGCAUCAGAUUACCCAUCUGUUGCUUUGGUUCUGUGAACCCGACUCCUAAUAGAUUAACCAUCUACUACAAACUAUGCAACAGAUGGGUUAUCUGAUGCAACAUAUUAUUAAUCUGUUGCAGAAGUUGACUGUUAAUAUGUUAACCCAACUAUGAAAAUUAUUAUAUUAUAUGAUUUAAAUGUAUCUGUCUUUUUUUUUUCUAGGUUGUUCAUCUAUGGAUCGUGCCUACUGAGGAGGAGUCAUUGAUGACUUCUUAUAUUACUCUUGGUCAUAUUGAUAUUAUAGUAGACCCAAUGGUGGAUUUAAAAAGGAAGGAAUUGGCUGAAGCAAUAGCCAUAAGAAUAGCAGUUAGGCAAGGUCAGCCUAAUGUUGAGGCUCUUCAUGACCAACCUACUAAGGCUGAUUCGGGUGCUUCUUUGGAUGGAGUUGUUGGUGUUGGUGGCAGGCAUGCUGAUGCUGCUACCACUCGUGAUGAUGUGCAUGUUGAUGCUCAAGAAAAAAUAAUUAUGUUUGAAAACACCCCCUUUCACCCUUACACAGGUCCCUCUCACCCCUCUUCGCCCUCAUGUUCUCGUUGCGAAUGCGAAGAGUGCAAGGACAACCAGGAUAAACUCUUUGAAAAAGCAGAGGCUAUCUCUAAAGCUGUCGAGGAUUUCAAAUCCAAGAGGGGUGUCAUACCAUCCAAGAAGUUGAGGGAGCGAUACACUCCUACAUUGUUGGUUAGGAGGAAGAAAAGAGCAAUAACCGACGUACUCUCCGGUCGAAAACCAAAAAUAAUUGCAGAUCCUACCUAUAAAAAAGUUGUUGAAGUUCAGGGGCCAUUAAAGAAGAAGAUGGACAUAUACACUAAACUUGACGCCAAAGAGAAGAGGGAUAUGUGACAGGCCAAGAAUUCCAAGCCAGGCGCACCAGAUUACCCAAGGCCUCCCUUUUCCCCCCAAGACUUCCAAACUAUGACAGAUAUGCGUGCGUAUUACGAGGACAAGGAAAGUUUACUUUUCCUAACCCAGCCUUCUAAUCUAAUCUACCCCAUGAGGAAGCAGCUACGCAACAGAUGUAAAUCUGUUGCAACAGCUGGAUAUUCUGGUGCAACUGGUAGUGGUUCUGUUGCAACUUAGUAUCCAUUUGUUGCAUAAGUUGCAUUGGAUUAUUGAUUCAGAGAACCCUAUGCAACAGAUAGACCAUCUUUACAAUUACUAACCUAUUUAAAAACUUUCUUCUUAUAUCACAGUAUGUUGACAAAAUUCUCUGCCUCAUGAGGGAAAGACAGUUAGCGUACCCGGAAGCUUAUGACACGACCGAUAGGAUAAUGGACCUCAACUUCUGCAAGAAGUUCAAGAAUAAGUACGAUCAACUCCAUUGUGAUGCGUCAGCCUGUGGCGUGUGACUUGAUUUCUUAGUUUCUAUGUUGGACUUGGAUAAAGAAGAAAUGAUAAAAUAUGUUGGGGGGAUAGGCCAAAUCCAUACGGCAAGAGCUGGACUGAGGAAAAAAGGAUUCUUGCAGUCAUUAGCAUGAGCGUCAUAUAUUAUCGGGCUGUUGAGAUACUAAUCGAGGAGGGAAAGAUCAAUGUUUAUGAUAGAAACUUACCUCUCGUAGAUAAGCUCGAACUUUUUUUCCUCGUGGAGCCACUGAUAGAGCUGUUUCCUAUCUUGUUGAGGGAGAGUAAACUGAUGAAUCAUUUGCCAAAGAAAGUGUUGAUGAAGAAAUCAUGGGAUUUUGUAGGUCGAAACAAUGGCAUGAUCCUUCCAAAAAAUGAUGGCGGUUGCGCGAGCGGCUCGCACACCCUUGCACAUAUUGAAUGUUUGCUGACCGGCACAGAAAUGGCUGAGCCAACGACCUUUUUGUACUACAACGUUGUGGCAAACCUGCAAGAGGUCUGGGCUUAUAGGGUACUAACUGGACGCUUGGAGCCUCUAUAUAUCAAAGAGCUUGUGAAAUAAGAAUUUUUUAUUUCAAGUCACACUUCACUUUACUUUAAAAUUUUAAAUUAAAUGUACAUGUAGUGGCAAUAAUUUUUCCCUAAUGAAUGAAAGUUGAGUUUUUUUAUAAUGCAAUAGAUUGUCAAUCUGUUAUAAAAUGUAUUCUAUCUGUUCUGGCUGAUAGUUUAUCUUUUGCAAUAGGUUGGUCAUUAGUUGCAUUAUGCCGAUGCUAUUUUUUUCUAUCUAAUCUAGUCUAAUUUGUUGCAACAGCGGGAAAAUCUGUUUGAUAAUUUCCAACAGAUGACUUAAAUUUUACAUUAUAUGCCCAAAUCUGUUAGAUAUUUUAUAGCAAUUACACACUUGAAUAUCCAUGUGCUCGACAACACCAAACCAGUAGCAAAUACACCACCAUGAAAAUUUCAGCAAUUAGGCUUGAAAAUCCAUGUGCCCAACACCACCGAACCAAUAGCAAUAAUGGCAACAAUGAAGUAUCUUCUUGCUCGAUUUUGUUUCUCUUCAGAAGCCUUAACUUUCUUCAACAAACCCCAGAUUACACGAUUUGCUUGUUAAGGGUAUCGUUCUUCAUACCAAUUAAAGUAAUCGCAUCCACCCAAUUUCUAUAAAACAAGAACACAAUUACAAGUCAAUAAUUAAUCAACUAAUUAAAUAAAAAAAAUUUACCUUUGAAAUCUUACAAGUAAAAAAACUACGACCUGAAUUUUGUUAAGUCCAGGAAGUCUUCAAUAGAGCUUCAUGACCGCAUUUACAAUAUCGAAUAUUAUCACAAAAAAUAGCGGAAUAUGCGCUCGAUAUUGUCAAGCUCAGUUGGAAAAAAAUGAAAAAAAAGAUGAAGAAAAGAAAGACCAAAUGCAAAUACUGUGAAAGAAUAUUUGGAUAGAUAAAAAAAAAGAUGACUACGAAGAAGAAGAUUUGGGAAUUUAUGGUUAAAUUUUAGGAAGAAGAUGAAUAUAUUAGACGUUGGGGAAAAAAACUUGACCGUUGGGGGAAAAAUCAGACGCCAAGUCAGCAAAAGUGCCGACCUGAUACAUUUAUGCCUAUUUUAUUUUAGGUGUUUGAACUGAACAAUGUCGAUGGGUUCCACAUUUUUUAUUUCAAUUCACUUUCACUUUUUUACUUGUGGCAAUUUCUUUAUAUCCAAUGAAAGUUGAAUUUUUAAAAUGCAACAGAUUCUCCAUAUGUUGUAACAGAUAUUCUACCUGUUCUGACAUAUAAUUUAUCUGUUGCAGUAGGUUAGUCAUCUGUUGCAUUUUGUUGGUGUUUCUAUGUAAGUCUCUCUGUUGCAUAAGUGGGAAGACAUGUUUAAUAAACUCCAACAGAUUACAUACCUGUUGCAACAUAUGUCAAUUUUGUUUUAUAUUAUAUAACAGAUAUUUUGUCUGUUGCAAUAGAUACAUUAUCAGUUGCUAUUCCAUUUCAAUUAAUAAGUUCAAAUCUAAGGAAAAAUAAAAUUCAUAGACAAAAUAAAAUAAAAUAAAACGAAGCCUUAAGAAAUUAGCUAAAAUAAAAUCAACGAAUAAAUGAGAUGUAAAAAAAAUUGUUAUGGUAACAGAUCUCAACAAAUACAUCAACAAUUUAAGUAUUGAUGCCAAGGAAUGAAUUCCUUCCUAAGGAGGGGUGAGGUUAUUACUUUGGCAGACUCAAGCUAUAAAGAUCUACUCAAUAUGGACAAGUUGUUCUUCUUCCGGUGCUAUGGAAUUCGGAUUUGCUAUUGUUUCUUAGGUACAGUUUCUAUGCUCUCAGUUCUCCGUCUUUCCAUAAAAAGUGUUGAUUAGCUUAUUGUCAAUGCUGUUCAGUAGUAGCUUCUACGUCCACCUGUAAAGCUAGAAUGGUCAAUGCUAGUCACGGAGAUACAACAAAACAAAAAAGAAUAACGCAUCUGUUCUAGCAAAUCAAACAGGUCUUCCUCCUAUUUUAAAUUGUCCCAAAUAGAUUAUAUUUUGUUGCAACAAUGAAUCACUUGUUGGGUCAAAUGCCUACAUGAGGAAGACCUAUAUGAUAAUCUCCAACGGAUUAACAAUCUAUUGUAAUAUAUGACUCAUCUAUUGCUGCAGAUGGGUCAUCUGUUGGUACAAAUAGAAUUGGUACGAAGAGCUGUUUGAUUUUCUAAAACAGACAAGACAUAUGUCACAACAGGUACUUUAUCUGGUGCAAUAAGUUAUACAACUGUUACAACAAAAAUAUAAUCUGUUUGAUAAUUUUCAGCAGAUGUGUCAUCAGUGGAAAUAGAAAUGUGUUUGUUUGCAGUUGGAAGACAUAUAUAUUCACCUUGUUUAGCUCGUGCUGCUCUCCUUUGGACAUUGUACAUUGCUCAGUGCAACAAACGGACAGAGGACUUGCAAUUUCGCUCUUUUGGAUGCUUGAUAAUGCCUUGGAAAUCACUUUUGUUCUCCUCUUAGCCACAAUCUCUAAUGGAGUGGAUGAAAAUAAAAUCCUCUUUGAUGGAAUGACACCCCUCAUAGAUGUCAAUUCCUUUAUAGUGCAGUAAAUGCAUUAAUAGCAUUAAUCACUACAUCAUGUUUCGCCCUACAAUCUUGACAUUUGCAUGCAGAACAUUCGCUGGGAGAGGCAAAAUCUAUAUAACCAAUAUGAUCAUACUCAUAAUGGUUUGUUUUAAAUACCGUAAGAGAAGCAUCAUUAGCACCAACAGUAGCACCACUACCACCAUCAACAGCUCCAUCACCACUAAGACCAUCAACAACAACAAGUUCACCCUCCAAAAUUAUUUUUCUUGUAAUGGUUGUUGCUCCAAGCAAUUCCAUUUUUAUUUUGUCGAUGACCUUAGGGUCUGAUAAAGUUUUUCCAAACCGUAAAGUAAGAAAAAAAGGCAUAUUCAACUCUCGAUUGGUCGGAACUAGCGAUGGAUGCACAAUUUAACAUAAAUCAUUACAUAUAUUAGAAUGAUGAUUAGAUCAUUCGAAAAAAUCAUUAAUUAAAAUAAAAUUUUAAUUAUAAUUAUACUUACUGCAUCCUUCAGGGGUUUGAAGAGAUCAAUAAAUUUUGUAUUUUUAUCAUUUUUGGCCGACAACCAUCUCAAGAUUCUUGGACAGGAAACUUCUUCCUGGUAGUUCACUUGUUGUCUCAAAUGAGGUAUGGCUUCAAACGCUCAAGCCUAUAAAAUAACGCCAAUAAAUCAAAACCAUUAUUGAAUAAAAAAAUGAAUGGUAUCAUAAUAAAAGAAAACAAAAGAUUUUCCAUGAAAGCUCAUGGAAAGCCAUAUAAGUUGAUUGUCUUUGGCGCCAACGGAGUCAACAAAUAUUGGACAGUCAUUUUGAAGCUUUCAUAACCCCAAUGAUAGCUAUUAAACGACUCAAGAUCCUCGGAGAGCUUUAUUAAAGCAACGCUUAUGUUGUUGUUAACGUCUCUCACCCAAAGAAUAUUAUGUACAAACCAAACCAAGCAUAAUGAUUGCUUGUGCUUCUUUGAAAGUUCUUUACCUUUCAACGCUUCUAUCAAAUUUUUAUUUUUGAAGCUUCGACCAACAAUGGACACCAGGUCAUCACGAUCGGACGACUUGCCUCCUUUGCCUUUUUUGGGUGUGCCGGGUGCUUUUUUUUUGUGUUAGAAUAGGCAUAACUUGAGAAGGAGGAUAACAUUUUAGUCCAGUAACUAUGACAAACUCCUUCCAACCAAAACAAACAGGCAUGCCCCAGUAAUUUAUCCACGCCUCAUCCAUCUUAUCUUUGUUUUCAUACAUAAACCUACGCUUGAGAAGUUCAUAUACCAUUUUUAUUUGGAAACGAGCAUUGUUGUCCUCCGGCAAAUCAAGAUAUUUCCCAAAGAAGCUAUUCCUAAAAUAAGCAUCCAAUUUUUGUUCUCGAAGUAUUUUUCUGAAGGCAUCAAAAGAUUUUCCCAUGGCUGACUUAAUCACGAAAUCACCCGUUAAAUUUGUGGCACCAUCGCACUGCGUUCUCACGAGAUAACGAUCAAUGCUGAAUGUUUUGACCAACUCUUCGGCGGAAGGGUUGUUAGCAUUUGGAUCAUCUUUUUUGAAACAUUCCUUCCCCCGUUGUUCAUCAUACUCUGCUCCUGACUAAGAUAAUGCUUGUAAAGCAAGCUCAUAGAGUGGUGAAUGUAACUAGCUGCUUCACUUGUUCCUUUACUUGAACGUGAUUCGGCUUCUGUUAUUUUGGGAUCCAUAUUAUCUAAAAUUAAAAGGAACAUAAAAAUACAUUAUAGUUGAUUAAUUCAUAGUUAUAAAGGAUAAUAGUAAAUCUAACAAGCAUAACAGUAAAGUAACAGUUCAACAUAUCAUUAAUCUGUUACACUAGGUAGUACAUCUGUUGGGCAUAUAACAAACCUGUUGCAGCGGAUGAGCAAUCUGUUGCAAUAAUGCAAAAUGUAUCACUCAUCUUUUAAUACAGAUGAAUAAUCUGUGCAACAGAUCACAACAUUGUUACAACAUGAGUGAUCUAUUGAAACAGUUAAAUAAUCUGUUACAACGAAUGAGUAAUGUGUUGAAAUAAUACAAAAAACAUCACUUAUCUAUUGAGAAAAAUUAAUGGUCUGUGUAGCAGAUCAAACAUCUGUUGUAACAUCCUCUGUUGAACAUAUGAGUGAUCUGUUGGAACAGUUAAAUAACCUGUAGCAACGUCUGAGUAAUUUGUUGUGACAAUACAAAAUAUAUCACUCAUCGGUUGAGAAAUAUAAAUGGUGUGUGCAACAGGUCACACAUCUGUUGCAGCAUAUGAGUGAUCUGUUGGAACAGUUAUCAACGAUCAAUAUUGUUUAGAUUUCUUCCAAACGGCAGAUGAAUGAUCAGUUGGAAAAAUCAUGGCUUGGACAUGUCCUGUUGGAAUAGUUGAUAGGAUUUUAUCCAAUAGAAGGUUCAUCUGUUGCAUCAGAUCAUUAAUUCGAUGGUUCUUCAGUUGCAUCAGAUGGUUAAUCAGUUGCAUCAGGUUUUUUAUACGAUGCUUAAUCUGUUGCAAUAUAUGGUUAAUCUGUUGCAUCAGAUAUAUAAACUGUUACAUCAUCUGAUAAAUCUGUUGCAUCAUAUGAUUAAUCUGUUACUUCAGAAUAGUAAUCUGAUGGUUCCUCUGGUGCAUCAGAUAGUUGAUUUGUUGCAUCGUUUGACAAAUAUGUUACAUCAGAUGGAUAAUCUGUUGGAUAAAAUAAAAAACAGUAGCACGUUUUGUUCAACAUAAAAACAACAAUUUUUACCAAGAACAAGAACAGAACAAAUCAACCUAAAUCAUUGUUUUGUUUGUAUAUAAAACACAAACAACAAAAAUCAAACUUCAAAUAAACGCAACAAACAAUAAAAAUCAUAAUUCACUUCGAAAAGAUAAGAGAAGAAAUACCAGAAAUUAGGGUUUUAUUAAGACUGCAUUUCAAAUUAAAGCAAAAAAUAUUGAAAUUGUUAACCAAUACUAUAAGAGAAGUUGACUCAAGUUCCUCGUUUUCUUCAAAACUAAAAAGGCCAUAAAUUUUUACCUGCGAAAGAAGAAAAGGAACGAUGAUGAAUUCGAAGCUGUUGUGGCCGAAGAGCAAGGAUGUCACAUCGAUUGAAGGUUGAAGAAUUCAAAGUUGUUGUGGCCAGAGAGCAAGGCUGUCACACGUCGAUUGAAGGUUUGAAGUCAAAAACGAACUCGAAGCCCAACUAUUUAUCGUCGGAUGUUGAAGAUGCCGAGGAUUGAAAGGAGAAAUUUGUAGAACUGUUGGUUGGGAGAGAGUUGAGAGAAGCUGUCAAGAGAGAGGAGAGGGAGUGGUUGAUUUGAAUUGAAGAGGGGGGUGGGUUGGGUUGAUUUGUAUUUUUGAAAAGACUAUAAAGUUUUGAAAAUAUUAAUCAAGUCCACAAUUAACUUAAUUAAGUUUUCUAAUGGUAUUUGACCCUUUAAGUUGGUCAAUAUCACCAAUCCUUCAUUCAAAGACUUAAAAGCUACCUUUUGUUCAAUUUUCUCAAGUUAUUUUGAUAUAAUAAAGAUUGUGCAUCCGAAACAACAACUAUCACCUCUUAGUCACAUAACAACAACUUUAUUAGUUAGUUUCGUUCAACUGGUUGUCUAAAUAGUUACUGUGAAGUAAAGGUGAUAUUGAAUGAAAGCAAAACAAGCAGUGGAGUUGGAUUGUUUGGUGUGAAAUGAAAGGUGAAAGAGAAAUAAUGGAGAAGUGGGGUCGAAAUGACAGCAUUAUUCCAUGAAAUUUCAAAAAAGUUUGAUUUCAUAUGGCAGAAAGAGAAAAGUAGUGUUUGCUUUUGGAAUUUUUCCUCCAAUUGAUUGAGUCAUUUGAUGUUAGUCAAAAUUAUACGUAUUUAGUCAUUAUUUGUUUUAUGUUUAAUAUUUUUAUUUGUCUUUUUUAAUUAUUGAUUUUAUAGAUUAUGCCUAAUAUUAUAAUUUGAUGUGUAAAAUUAAAAUAUGUGAAGAUUGAAGAAAUUUAGAGUAAAAAUAAAUUAAAGAUGAAAGAUUAUAUAAGAAAAUGAAACAGACAGCUUAAUAAAAUUAAUUUAUUAAAAUAAUCAAAUAUGAUUCUGAAUUUGAAUGGAAAAAAGGACAAAUCCAGUAGUCUUCCGUGUUAGUGGCACAAACAUGCAGCUACAACAGUCCGUUAUUAUUUAUCUUAGUUCAAACUCAAUUAUUUUAUUUGGAGGUUUUUUUAUACCUAUUAAUACUCUAUAAAAAAAUUUAGUUUUUACAUAACUUUUGACCUAGAGAGAGCUAAAAGCCGUCGUGAAGGUCAGGGGCGGACCUAGGUGGGUAUCAACGGGUUCACUCAAACCUAUUUGGUACUAUUCUAUUAUUACUCUCACCCACCCCACAACAUAGACCUGUCACCUCUUAUUAAUUAUUUUGAAAACGAUGACUAACCAAGAAAUUGGAGUAGUCGUCUUAGUUAUUUGCUCUACUCUCAUCCACGUUAAAGAGUAAAGGCUACCAAAUAAUCAAAUUCACGAAAUAAUUGAGACUAUCAAUAAUUCAAUUAUACAACUUAUAAUCCAAAUUUAGAAGAGAUUUUUAGGUAUUCUUCCUAAUUAAAAGUUGUGGUCCUUCAUUUAUGUGGUAUUCUCUUCGACAUAAAUUAUGUGAUGAUGUUCGUAUUUCGAGAGUCAAAACAAAUUAUUUUUUAAUCACAAUUUAUUCAUUUGUCAUUUUAAAUUAUUAAUUAUUCUAACAUAUAUUAUUUUAAACAUAGUAUUCAAGUGUGUAAAUUUCAUGUUCGGAGACUAAAUGAUUAUAUAUAUAUGUUUAAAUCUAGGGUCAAAAUUAAGAGCAAUAUUAAAGUGGCUUAAGGUGAUAGGUUGGGUGUGGGUGAAUUCUUUUUAAUGGAUCAAAACUAAAAAAAAAAAAAAAGACGUGGACCUCUAAUAAGAGGCCACGUGGCAAAGCAGUUUUUUAGAAAACCACCGUUAAAAAGUAAUGGCCUGAAUGAACCGGUUUUAUAAUGGCGGCGGCAUGAAUGAGCCCAAUUUUUAACAGAUGGCAUAAAUAAGUCAUUUCUGGUAGUUCAGUAGCAUAUUUGAGCUUUUUUCCUUAAAAAAUAAUGAACAACAUUUAAUAGAUCGCUCAAAUAGAUGACACAGCCAAUCAAACAUAUUUCAAAAAUUCAUGAUGAAAAGGAAAAGUAAUGUUUACUUUUGGAAUUUUUCCCUCCAAUUGAUUGAGUCAUUGUUCUCAAGUGAAAAUACAACAUUCUCACUUCCUCUUUCUUUUUCUUCCCCUUUCUCAUUUGUUAAUAUUGCUUCUUGUAUGAUAAAAUAGUAUUGUUUAUAAUAUUUCAAAUAGCUAGUAUAGUUUAGUAAUAACCAUUUUUCUACUCUGAAUUCUGAACUCUGCUAAAUAUUACUACUAUUUCUUUUUAAUUCACUUUUUUGAUUGGUUCUCUUAGUUUUAAAAAAGGACUGCUUGAUGCACUAAAGCUUUCGCUAUGCGCAGGGUGCGAGAAAAGUCCGAACUACACAGAUUUAUUCAAUAAACUUUAUUAUAUGCAGUCUUACCCCACAUUUCUGCAAGAGGUUAUUUCCAAGGCUUGAAUCCGUCACCUCUUGAUCAUAUGACAACAACUUGACGACAAUUGUUUGGAUUGUUUGGUGUGAAAUGAAAGGUGAAAGAGCAAUAAUGAGAAUUGGGGUCAAAUGACAGUUCGAUAACAUUUCAAAAAAGUUUGAUUCCAUACGGUAGAAAGAGAAAAGUAGUGUUUGCUUUUGGAAUUUUGCUCCAAUUGAUUGUCAUUUGAUGUUAGUCAAAAUUAUAUGUAUUUAGUCAUUAUUUGUUUUAGAGUAAUGAUUCUUGAUCUUGUUCGAUAUUUUUUAAAAGAUAUUUAAACUAUAUUUUUGAUUUAUUAUCCUAUGAAUGUUAUCUAAAUCAUUGUAAAUGUACCAUUUUAACUAAAAAUUUGAUUAUGCAUUUAGACACGCACUUAAAGCGUUUGAAUAGAAAAAAAUAUCGAUUCAACAAAUUAAAAUGUGCCAUGUGUAAUAAAAAGGAACCACUUUUUAAUUUUGUAUUUUAGUUUUUUUUUUUUCAUUUUCCAUCUUUUUUAUUUGUUUCUUCUUCUUAUUUCUUCUUCUUAUCUCCAUUAAUUUCCGUUAAUGAUGUCACUCAAUUCUCUUCCCUAUUUCUUCUCCUUAUUUUUAUGUGUAUAGUGUCAAGUUUGAAUUUGUGGAAUGUAAUUAAGUGGGACACUUGAUGAUUUUAAAGUUUAAGCAAAUAGUAGUACUUAUUAUUUGACUUAAACUAAGAAAUAUUAUUUUUAAUAGUGACAAGUAAUAUGAACAAGAAACAAUAAUUAUCUAUAACAAUUGACAUCAAUUUGUGUGGGAGGAAAAUCCAUCAUUGCAGAGAUAAAUGAAAAGUGAACCAACGGUGCACGCAAGAGUCAUUUCUUUUAUAUAUAUAUUUGUGUGUUAAAAAGUAAGAAAGAGCCGUGAUGAGUAUUUUGUGUGUGCAUAGUGUAUUAUGAAAAGAUGAGGAAGAUAACAAUGGAAGAGAAGAGAAAAAAAUAAAAAAAUAGAGCUAAUAAAAUAAGAAAAAUAUAAAUAAAUAUUUAACACGUAGCAAACUGUAAUUGAUGCGUGAUUACACUUUCUAUCUUGUGACUGAAAUUUAACGAAAAAUGGAGUAUUUGCAAUGAUUUAGUAAGAUUUGUGGGGUAAUAGGUCGAAAGUAUAGUUUACGUGUCUUUUUGAAAAAUUCGAACAAGAUUAGUAGGUCUUUAUGUAUUUUCUCUUUGUUUUAUAUUUAGUAUUUUUAUAUAUCUUUUUUUAUUAUUAAUUUUAUAGAUUGUGCCUAAUAUUAUAAUUUGAUGUGUAGGAUUAAAAUGAUGUGAAGAUAAAGAAAUUUAGAGCUAAAAUAAAUUAAAGAUGAAAGAUUAUAAAAGAGAAUUAAACAUACAGCGUAAUGAAAGUAAUUUACUAAAAUAAUCAAAUAUGACCCUGAAUUUGAAUGGAGAAAACGAUAAAUUCAAUAGCCUUCCGUGUUAGUGGCGCGACACGCAGCUAGCUAUGGCAGUCCGUUUUUAUUUAUCCUAGUUCAUUCUGGAUUCGGUUAUUUUAUUUAGAGAUUUUUUUCUACACCAGUGAAUACUUCAUAAAAUCAGUUUUUAUAACUUUUGACGUAAAGAGAGGUAGAAGCCGUAGUAAAGGCCAGAGAAAAUUGAUUUCAUCUUUUCUUCUCCUCUAUUAUUUAUUUUAUGUUUUUCUUUGGAUAAUUUAUUAUUUAUUUUUACAUUUUUCUUUGGACAAUUUAUUGUAAUUGCUCCAUGUCUAUAUAGAGCUAAACUUCUCGUUCUAGUCUUCAGUUCACAUUCCAAAACACUAUUUUUUCUUCUUAAUUUUCACUUCAUUUUUCUAUUUUGAGAAGAUUAUUGGUCAGCCGCACAUAUUUCUGAAUCUUUAUAAGUUUUAGUGACAUCAUAGUCGCCACAAAAAACCGUGACUAAAAGUGUAUUUUGCUGAAUUUUUGUUAGUUUUAGUUGCAGCAUAGUCGCCACAAAAAGUCGUAACUAAAAGUUUAUUUUUCCGAAUUUUUGUAACUCUUAGUGACAACAUAGUCGCCACAAAAGGAUGUCCUAAAAAAGUAUAUUUUUCCGGAUUUUUAUAAGUUUUGGUGAAAACAUAGCUGUCACUAAAUGUAUAUUUUUUCCAAAUUUUUUGUAAGGUUUAAUGAAAAGAAAGUCGCUACAAAAAGUUGUCACUAAAAGUAUAAUUUUCUGAAUUCUUAUAAGUUUUAGUGACAACGUAGUCGCCACAAAGAGUUGUCACUAAAUGUAUAUUUUUUCAAAUUUUUAUAAGAUUUAGUGACAACAUUGUCGCCACAAAAAACUGUCACUAAAAGUAUAUUAUCGAAAUUUUUAUAAGUUUUAGUGUGAAGAUAGUCGCCACAAAAACCUGCUAUUGAAAGUAUUUUAGUUGUCACUAAAAGUAUAUCUUCCCGAAUUUUUAUAUGUUUUAGUGACAAAAUAUUCGCUACAAAAACCUGUCACUAAAAGUAUUUUUCUGAAUUUUUAUAAGUUUUAGGACACCAUAGUCGCCACAAAAAGCUGUCACUAAAAGUAUAUUUUUCGAAUUUUUAUAAGUUUUAAUGAUAACACCGACCAAAUUGGCUCAGUCAUUUUCGUUUCACCCGUAUGACCACCCAAAUGGCCCCAACGGCCUCGUCGGGCCACCAUCACCCGCUCCACACUCCGUCAAGGGGCCACUGUUGAUUUUUGAUCCAAACUGCACCCGAACCGGGCCCACCCCGAGAACCGUGGGCUAACACCCACCGAAUUGGCUAGAAAAUGAUCCAUUCACGCCAUUUCGCUCGUUUGACCAUUCAAAUGGCCCCACUGACCCCAUCGGGCCAUCCUCACCCACUCCACACCCCGUCGGUGGGCCAUCGGUCAAUCUUCGACCCAAAUCACGUCCGGGCCCUAGGCCAACCCGAGAUCAUUGGGCUAACACCCACCGAACUAGCCCAAAAAUGGCCAGUUCGCAUUGUUUCAUUCGUUUGACCACCCAAAUGACCCCACCGACCCCGUCAGGCCACCCUCACCCGCUCCACACCAUGUCAAAGGUCUGUCAAUUGACUUUCGGCCCAAACUAUGCCCGAGCCUUAGGCCCACCACGAGAACCGUGGGCUAACACCCACCAAAUUGGCCUGAAAAUGGCCCAUUCAUAACGUUUCGCCCAUUUGACCACCCAAAUGGCCCUGUUGAUCCCAUCGGGCCAUCCUCACCCGCUCCACACCCCUUAGAGAGGCAGUCAUUUAAUUUUUGGCCCAAACCACACUUGGGCCCUUGGCCUACCUCGAGAACCGUUGGCUAACACCCACUGCAUUGGCCCAAACAUAACCCGUUCGGAGUGUUUUACCCGUUUGACCUCCCAAAUGGCCCCACCAACCCCGUCAGGCCACCCUCACCCGCUCCAACCAACUCGAGGGGUGCUAAUCGAUUUUCAGCCUAAAUCACACCCGAGCCUCGAGGCACUCCGAGAACCAUAGGCUAACACCCACAGAAUUAGCUUGAAAAUAGUCCGUUCACAUCGUUUCACUCGUUUGACCCCCCUCCCUCUCAAUGGCCCCACCGAGCCACCCUCUCUCACUCCACACCUCGUUAGGGAGCCAUUGGUCGAUUUUCGAUCCAAACCGCGCUCAAGCCCCGGACCACCCCGAGAACAAUAGGCUAACACCCACCGAAUAUGCCAAAAAAUGGCCAGUUUUUGCCAAUUGACCUAUUUGACCACACAAAUGGCCCCAACGAUCAGGCCGAGCCACCCUCACCCACUCCACACCCUGUUGGGGGACUACCGAUCAAUUUUCGAUCCAAAUCGCGCUCAAGCCUAGGGCGCACCCCAAGAACUAUGGGCUAACAACCAUCGAGUUGGCCUGAAAAUGGUCCAUUCGCAUCGUUUCUCUCGUUUGACCACCCAAAUGGCCCAGCCGACUUCGUCGGGACACCCUCGCCCACUCCCCACCCCGUCGAGGGGCUGCAUACAAAUAUUUUUCUCAAAAUCGCGCUAGGGCCUGUCCCACCCUGAGAACCGUGGGCUAACACUUAUCAAAUUGGCCCAAAAAUAUCCUGUUCGAGAUGUUUCACCCGUUUGACCACCCAAAUGGCCCCACCGACCACGUCGGGCCACCCUUACUCACUCCAUACCCCAGCGAUAGGGCACUGGUCGAUUUUUGGCCCAAAUUACGCUUGAUCCCCUGCCCCACCCUGAGAACUGUGGGCUAACACCAAAUGAAUUGACCCGAAAAUGAUCCAUUCACGUUGUUUUACCCGUCUGACCAACCAAAUGGCCCCGUCAGGCCACCCUCAUCCGCUCCACACCUUAUCGGGGGUUCGCUGAUCGAUUUUCAGCCCAAAUUCCACUCUAGUAUUGGGCCCACCCCAAGAAUCGUGAGCGCCCACCGAAUUGGUCUAAAAAUGGUCCGUUCGUGCCGUUUCACCUGUUUGACCACCUAAAUGGCCCCGUCGACCUCGUCGAGCCACCCUCACAGCUCUUUAUCCCGUAAGGGUACUAGCAAUCAAUUUUCGACUCAAACCACGCCCAGGACCCCAGCCCGCCCAAAGAAUCGUGGGUUAACACCGAUCGACUUAGCCUGAACAUGGAUCAUUCGUGUUAUUUCAUCCGUUUGACCACCAAAAUGGCCCCGCCAACCUUCCAGGACCACCCAAAUGGCCUCGCCGACCCCAUCGGGCUACCCUUACCUGCCCCAUGCCCCGUGGAGGGGCUAUCAGUUGAUUUUUGACCCAAAUCGAGCCCCAAAUCCACCCCGAGAACCAUGGGCUAACACCCAUCGAAUUAGUUUGAAAAUAGCUCGUUUGCACCCUUUGCCUAUUUAACCACCCAAAUGGCCCCACCGGGCCUUCCUCACCCGCUCCACACCUCGUUGGGGGGUUGCAGGUCAAUUUUCGGCUCAAACCGCAUCUGGCCCAUUCCGAAAAUCGUGGGCUAACACCCACCGGAUUGGCCCGAAAAUGGCCCGUUCAUGCUGUUUCGCCCGUUUAACCACCCAAAUGGCCGCUGGGCCACCUUCACUUAUUUCACAUCCCGCUCGGGGCCGCCGGUCAAUUUUCAGCCCAAACUGCGCCCAAGCCCCGGGCCCACCCCAAGAACCGUGGGCUAACACCCGACAAAUUGGCCCAAAAAUGACCCAUUCGCGCCGUUUUGCCCGUUUGACCAUCCAAAUGGCCCCGCCGACCCCGCCGUUCCACCCUCACACGCUCCAUAUCCUCGUUUGUCCAGGCGAGGUAUUCAAGAAGACACUUUUUAUCCUUAAAAAGUAGUCUUUAGGACUAUUUCCUUUUUUCCUAAGCUGGCUAACCUCUUAAUCUUGUUGUUUCUGCAAAUUAUAUCAUAAUCACUGCAAAUGACAGCUAAUCAUUGUCAAAGAUUACAUGUGUAGACUUUCACAAUCUUUAAAAAAGUGAAUAAAUUAUUGACCAAAACUCAAAGCACUUCUGCAUGCAUUAAAGUCUUUUCUCUCUUCUAUAUAAGGAGACUAGCUUCUGUUCUUUAGUUCUUGCAAUGGCUAAGCACUUUCUCCUGCUGUUACUAAUAGCAUUAGUAAGUUUCUGCUGUGUUGUAUUAGCUUUUGAGCCAAGUCCAAUGCAAGAUUUCUGUGUGGCGGAUCCUGCUAGCCCGGGUAUUGCCAAUAAGUAUCUCAUAUAUACUCCCUUCAUUCCAAUUAAUGCGUCAUAGUUCGUGUCGGUAUGGGGUAUAAGAAAGAAACAGAAACUUUGGAACUUGUGGCCUUGUGCAUAUCAUAACAUUUAACACUUCCUCAGUAAAAGUUUCAUAACAUUAGAAGUUCCAUUCUUUUUGGAACGAGUUAAAAGAUAAGUGUGUCAUAUAAAUUUGAACAAAGCCGAGGGAGUAUUAUACUCGGGCUUGAAGAUCAAUGAUUUUAUGAAUUUUCUCACUGUAUCUUUUUUCCAUUUUGUCAGCUAAGGUAAAUGGCUUAGCUUGCAAAGAUCCCAAGUCUGUUAGUGCAGAGGACUUUUACUUCAGUGGCCUACAUUUGGCUGGAAACACAUCAAACACUUUUGGCUCUAAGUUCACUGCUGUUAAUGUAGCUCAAGUUCCAGGACUGAACACUCUUGGUAUCUCACUGGCGCGUCUCGACUAUACACCAUGGGGAAUUAACCCUCCGCACACUCAUCCAAGAGCUACAGAAAUACUCAGUCCUUGACGGUUCUCUUCAAUAAUCACAAUAAUCACUCAUGGUGCAUACUCCACAUGAUAAUCACCACGAAAUCCUAAGAAACUGCACCAAGGCAACAAACAAGAAUAUUAUAUCAUAAGGCUAUGUUUUAAUAGCAAUCUUAAAACAAGAAGAUAUUUUCUGAUGCACAAUCCAUUCAAAGAAAGGCAGAGCACAAACAUUCCACUAUUCUUUUCACAGUCAAAAGAGCACUAACAUUGCUUCAUAUACAAAACCAUAUUAAGUACCACUGUUGAUGACUCAUCACUGCCAAAAUUUGUAUCGAUAGGAAUGUACUUCUUUAAGAGGAAACUUAAAAACAAAAAAAUUGAUCGGGCUAUGGCAACCAUAUACUACGAAGCAUCAUGCCUCAGAUACAAAUGACGCCAUAAUCAAGAUUCUGCUAGUUUUAACCGGGGGACAAUGUUCAUUGAUUGGAGCUCCUGGAUUAGGAGUUUGCAUGCAUAAGGCAACUUCAUCGUAGAAAUAUUUUCCCCGUUCUUGCACAUAGAACAAAUGCCAGUCUUCAACUUGUAGUUGUAAUAUCCCAAUAAUCCACAUUUUCGGCAAACCUGAACCUCGAAUGGAUCACUGGAAAUCAUCAAGCGCUCGUAUAUCAACAUACUGGCACCAUAUGCAAUCAAACAAUCACGUUCCAUUUCUCCAACACGUAAACCUCCAUUUCUACUCCUUCCUUCGGUAGGUUGUCUUGUCAUCAUAACACGAGGCCCACUCCCGCGAGCAUGCAUUUUAUCUAGGACAAUGUGUUUCAGCUUUUGGUAAUAUAUUGGCCCCAUGAAGAUGUAUGCUUGUAGUGGAAUACCAGUAAUACCAGAAUAAAUAAAAUCCUUGCCGUUGUAUCUAAAUCCAUGCUUUACCAGAGUUUCACUGAUAGCAUCAACCGUAUCUGUGUAACACCCCGUACUUUCGGGCUAGAAUCAAGACCGUCAUCCUUAUGCGUAUAGACCCGAACUAGAUGAUUCCUUGUUAAUAUAUGUGUGGUGAUCAAUCCUAUAGUGUAAGAAUACCUUUGAAUAUGAAUUGAGUUCACAAAAAUCCCGUAACUCUAAGACGAGUUGAAAACAUUUCAAUCGAAUAAGUUUUAGUGGAUGUUUAAACUUGGGUCAACUUCUAUCAACAUAAACUCCUAGAAUAUGGUGAAUUAGAGGGCCUAUUAUAUAUCAAAUGAAAGGUCUUCGAAUAAUCUUUCCAACGAUACCAAUUUCGCCUAAAUUCGAUAUCUGGGCGAAAAGUUAUGGCCAUUUUAUGACUGAGACAGUAGCAGCAUGCGAUAAGCGUGCGACGCACGCCCGAUCGCACGCUCCAAAUUUUCAGAUACGGUUUUCGCGUUUUUAAGGGAAAAAGUGGUAUUUUCCAACCCCUAUCCAGCUAUAACACGAGAUUUCAAUCCUAAAACACCAUAUUACUGAUAUAUUCAUCCAAAUUACUCAAGAACACUCUCUAGGGUUUCAAACUAAAAACCCAAAUAACUCAAGAUUCAACCGUGGGUUUUCGAAACUAAUUGAAGAUUUGGAAUCCCCAAAUCGUAGGCUUCAAGAAUCAUCCACUUUUCUCCGUAAUCAAGGUACGUGGGGUUAUCUCAAAAAUCUCAUGGGCUUUAAAAAUUCAUGUUUUCAAAUGGGGGUUUUGAAAUUACGAAUAUGAUUAUGUUUUAAACAUUUUAUGAUAUUGAUUUGGCCCUUAGGCCUACUCCCAAAGUGAUUUGCUAUAUGAUAUAUGUAUAUGCAUGCAUUCCGAAAAGAUGUUAACUUGAGAGCAUGAAUGAUAUAAAAUUUCCUCUCUUGAUGUGAAUUUGUUUUAAAUGUUCAUAUGAUGUAAAUUGUUUGAAAACAUCUUGAAGAGCUUGACAUGAAAUGUUUUGAGAAUUGAUAUGAUUUUGACUUGAAAACGAGAAGGUUAUUCAUGUUGAAUACAAUGGUUGAAUGAGAAGAAUGAUGUGAUAUUGAUAGCUUGCAAGUUGGGUAUGACGAUACCCUACAGAAUAUGAUAUGUGAUUUAAUGAGAUGAAAUUUGAAUGCAUUGAUUUUAUAUGAGAUAGGUGGAUGCCCGAAGAAGGCAUUUGAGUGUAAGGGCUCAUCGCUGGAAAUCGUGUUUGCCGACAUGGGAACUUGGUACUAUGCUUUGUAAUCUUACGUACCUGACUUUAUGUCAUUCCCAAAUUGGGACUGUGGUUAGGAGCCCUGCUUUGUGAUCUUGUGCACUAUCAUUGGGUCGACACACCCUGUUGUGUGAUCUUGUGUGUCUUCCCCUCACUUAUACUCUAAUCUCGGCGGCAACCGAGGUUUGACAGUUAGUGUAAAUGUGAUAUGAAGGGCAUUCCACCUAGCUCAGCAUGUAUUACAUUGUUGUCGAAAACAAUUACAUUACGCCCAUGUGUUUUCAAAUGAUUUGAUAUGAAACUGCUUUAUAAUGGCUCUCAACUAUAUAUUUUGUAAGAAUAUUAUGCUUUAUUUUGAUAUCUCUGCGUACCAGUACUUUUGUAUUGACCCUCUUCCCUCCCAGGUUCGGAGGCACAGUCUAGGGGUCCAGAAAAUCAGUAGAUUCCUCAGCCAGAUCUGCAGAGUCACUUGGUGAGCCUUCUAUAUUUUGAAAGGCCUAAUGUCUGGCAGUUUUAUUUAUCAUUUAUUAGUUUUGGAUCUACUUGGGCCUUUUCCCAGUUUUCAGAUAGACAUUUAUUUCAAUCAUGUAGUAGAGAUUUCGCAGACGUUAUCGAGAUGUUGUAAUGAUAUUGUGGGACAUUAUUCCCCAUUAUUGUUUUCAUAUGAUUCUUGACCAUGUUUCAAUCAUAUUGUGUAUCUUUCACAUUUCUUUAUCAUAUGGAUUAUGUGCAUGAUUACCAGACAGAUAGGGGUGUUCCGGGCCUUUAUGGUUCAGAAUGCUCAUCAAGGCCAGGGCCCCGUUUCGGGUCAUAACAAACUUGGUAUCAAAGCACGGUUCAUGGUCCCAGGGUUUCUGCAAAAUCGCUUUGGGUAGAGUUUUGUUUAUGGGUGUGUAGCGUGCCACACUUAUAAGAGGCUACUAGGCGUUUAGGAAUGUCUCUCUUUCUUCAUGUUCUAGUUCGUGCUAUAGAGUAAGAAUGUUCCUCCUUCAUACUCUAACUCGUGCUAUGGUGUUGCCCAUGCAAAAUAAACAGUUAUCCCGAUUUUUUCCUUACUCUGAUGUUAUCAGACAUGUCUCAUUAUUGGGCUGAUUCAAGUACAGAGUUUAGAGUUCAAAUGGUAUGGUUCUUUCUGAUUGAAUUAUAUAAGAGUCCUUUAGUGCUUCAGAGAGUGUAUUGGUUCUGGUGUGAACCUUGAUCUUAAUGAAAUCGUGCUUUUUAGCCUGCAGUAUUAAGAGUAUUUGGUCCUUUUCAAAAAUUUAUGUUGCAGAUGUCAUACUUAAGAGGGAAUAAUGUGUAGAAGAAUGUUAGAACUGUAUUUCUACCCGAAUAAUAGUAUGAGUUAAAGUGUUGUUGAAAAAUAAAGUCUAGUGAAGCCGUGUGGGGCUCUUUCGAUUCACUAGCAUAGUUGCUUUGGUGUCCAUUUCAUUUUCUUAUUCAAAAUGCAAAAAAAUCAAAGUCUAGUGAAGCCGUGUGAGGCCUAUUUUGAUUCACUAGCAACUUGUUGUUCUUGUGUUGGUUGAAUAUUUGUAUAGUUGAAUCUUUUUGCAUGAGAUUGAGUGGCAAUGAAGUCAUACGUCCUUGUGUGUUAGUUUAGUACAAGGAAGAGAAGGAGUUAUUAGUUAAGGUAAAUUGUUGUCUACUUGAAGUAUGAAAAUGGCUAGAUGAGCCAGUAAGUAAUAAUUAUAGACUUAUGGUUGCUUAUGGAAUUUGAAGGUAGUCUAAAUGUACGCUUGGGCAAGUAAGUGUGAUGUGAGAAAGCCGUAUAAGUAGGUAGGAUUGUAUGGGGUUAUAAUAUAAGAUUAAGGUUGACCAUGCCUAUUACGUGACUUUACCCUCCCCUUGACCCUCUUUCAGUUGGUAGUUGUAAACUAGUACUACUUGUGAGAAGGUAUGUAGCAGAUUUUUGAGGUAUUUGGAUAGAAUGUCCCAAUUUGACGGACUAGUAUAUUAUGUUGUCUUCUUCAUUGGUGGUAGAUGAUUGAUGCAAGACUAUUGGCUUGAAUUUAAUGUAGGAUGUGGAUGUAAGAAUAGUGGCUUAAGAUUAAUGAUGAAUGUUUUGUGAGAAUUGCGUGUCAGGUUGGGUUGUAAAUCAUGCUUAGCACUAGACAUUAAGUUUGAACAGUUGAUGUCCAUAAAGGUUUACGUGAUGAUUUCUUGGUUAAUGAUACUAGUUAUAUGGAAGUGAUCUAAUAGGCUUGAAUGGUAUAUGCAAUAGAUUAAGUUUAUUUGGUUAGUAACAAGGUAUGACGUUGUAUGUAUGAGGUAGAAGUAUGCCCAAGGUGAUAUGGAGUUGUGGCAUUUUCUAAGACUAUUACAUAUUGCGUGUGGAUAGUAGACAUAGUAGUACCGUUAAGUUGCUAGGUAAGGUUCCUUCUAUGAUAUAAGUUAUGCGAUUGACGGUCUAAUGUUAGAAGGUUAAGUAGUGUAGAGUGGAUUUUUAUGUGAUAAAAAAGGAGGAUGUGUAUGUAUGCUCAUGAGAGUGCGAGUUUUAGGUUGAUGACGAUUGUGUAACGCCCCAUAGAAACCGUGCGUGUGUUGCCUUACAAUGCCUAUCACUAAGAGCAAGAAACUUGAAAUUUUUCUAAGUGUUGAAAGACUUAGACUCAUUCUUAGCUGACAACCUUCGGGAUACAACUUUUCAACCUUCCCGACAUCUUGUGAUGGGGCAAGAUUAUAGUACGUCUCGGGUGAAUUUCAGAAUUUUUGGACAUCGUUAGGGCGUGUUUGAUUUUCAGAAACAGUAGCACCAUGCGAUAAGCAUGCGUCGCAUGCUCCACUGCGGUGGGAAAUAGCAUGCGGUGGUCUUCUGCAUGCCUGGGAAAUUUUCAGCUUUUAAGUUCCGUCUACUUAAGGGUGUUUUGGUAAUUUUCCACUCCCCUAUCCACUUAAACACGAGAUUAAACUCCCCAAAACCCAUAUCAAUCAUAUUUUCACCAAAAUUUCUCAAGAACCCUCAUAAGGGUUUCAACAUAAAAAUCCAAGCAGAUCAAGAUUCGAUCGUGGGUUUUCAAAAUUGAUUGCAUAUUCAGAAUCCCCAGAACAUGGGCUUCAAUAAACAUCAUUUUUCUUCCGAAACAGAGGUACGUGGGGUUAUCCUAAAAAUCUCAUGGGCUUUAAAAAUUCAUGUUUUAAAAAUGAGGGUUUUGAAACUACGAAUAUAAUUAUGUUUUGAACGUUUCUAUAAUAUUGAAUUUGGUCUUUAGGCCUAUUUCUGAAUUAUUUGACAUAUUAUAUAUGUAUAUGCAUGUGUUUCGAAAAGGUGAUAUUUUGAGAGCAUGAAUUAUAUGAAAUCCCUCUCUUGAUGUGAAUUUGUUUUGAAUGUGUAUAUGAUGUAAAUUGUUUGAAAACAUCUUGAAAAGCAUGACAUGAAAGUUUUGAGAAUUGAUAUGAUUUUUUACUUGAAAUAAGAAGGCUAAUUGUGUUGAAAACAUGUUGAAUACAAUGGUUGAAUGAGAAGAAUGAUGUGAUAUUGAUGGCUUGCAAGUCGGGUAUGACGAUACCCUAUAGAAUAUGAUAUAUGAUUGAAACAGAUGAAAUUUGAAUGCAUUGGUUUCACAUGAGAUAGGUGGGGAUACCCGAAAAAGGUGUUUGAGUGUAAGGGCUCAUCGCUGGAAAUCGUGUUUGCCGACAUGGGGAUUUGGUACCCUGCUUUGUGAUCUUGUGUACUUGACUUUAUGUCAUUCCCAAAUUGGGACUAUGGUUAGGAUCCCUACUUUGUGAUCUUGUGCACUACCAUUGGGUUGAGACACCCUGCUGUAUGAUCUUGUGUGUCUUCCCCUCACUUAUACUCUAAUCUCGGCGGUAACCGAGGUUUGACAGUUAGUGUAAAUGUGAUAUGUAGGGUAUUCCACCUAGCUCAGCAUGCAUUACAUUGUUGUCGAAAACAAUUACAUUACGCCCAUGUGUUUUCAAAUGAUUUGAUAUGAAACUGCUUUAUAAUGGCUCUCAACGGUAUAUUUUGUAAGAAUAUUAUGUUUUGUUUUGAUAUAUCUGCGUACCAGUACUUUUGUAUUGACCCCCUUCCCUCCCAAGUUCGGAGGCACAGUCUAGGGGUUCGAAAAAUCAGUAGCUUCGCCAGACAAAUUUGCAGAGUUACUUGGUGAACCUUCUUUAUUUCGGAAGGCCUGAUUUUUUGGCAUUAUUACUUAUCAUUUAUUAGUUUUGGAUCUACUGGGGGCCUUGUCCCAGUUUUCAGAUAGACAUUUGUCUCAGUCAUGUAGUAGAGAUUUCGUAGACGUUAUAGCGAUGUUGUUUGAGAUUGUGGGAUAUUAUUCCCUAUUAUUGCUUUCAUAUGACUUUUGACCAUGUUUCCGUAAUGUUAUUUAUCUUCUGCAUUUCUUUAUCAUAUGAAUUAUGUGCAUGAUUACUAGACAGAUAGAGGUGUUUCGUGCCUUCAGGGUUAGGGAUACUCAUCACGGCCAGGGUCUCGAUUCGGGUCGUGACAAAUUGAUAAUAGAAAAAUUUAAGAGUAGCGUUCUGGGAAAGCAGUGUUUUUAAAGUAUGUAUUAAGUCGUCAUAACGCCCCGUAAAAGUCAUGUGUGGAUUAGCCUUUAAUAGUGUGCUCUUAGACUUAAAACUUGAAAAUUUUCUAAGUGUAAUGAGGACUUAGAGUCAUUUUAGCUGGCAAUCUUUGGGAUACAACUUUUCAACCUUUUCGACCUCCAUUUUUAGAUUUUUUUGUUGCUUUGCGAUGGGGCAAGCCUAUAGAACAUCUCGGGUGAGUUUCGAAAUUUUUGAACAUUGUUUAGGGUGCAUUUGAUUUCCAAAACAGUAGCACCAUGCGAUAUGCAUGUGUCGCAUGCUCCAUCGCAUGGUGGCAGCAUGCGAUAUAGCAUGCAUUGCAUGCUCCACUGCAGUGGGAAAUAGCAUGCAACACAUGAUCUGCGGCACGUACUUGAGAAUUUCUACAUUUACACUCUAUCUCAUAAAGGGCAUUUGGGUCAAAUUUCACCCACAUUAAUUCGGCCUACACAUGAAAUUUGAGUAGCAAAACAGCACUUUAGCCCCAAAUUAAUAUUCUUCCUAAAUUGAAAUCAUCCUUCCCUUCCAAGAGCAUAAAUCCUAACUCUUUAGUGUUUAGAGGCAUGGAUGUCCAUGCCUAUAGUGAUGUUAGUCAUGAGUGGAUGAUUUUGGGGUUAGAGGAAGUUAUGAUUAGUAUCCCUGAAGGGGGAUGUCCCAGAAGGAAUUUAGUGUCUUUAUGUUAAAUUAUUGAGGGAAGUUUGUGUUCAUGUGUAUAUCGAUAUCCCCUAUUUCAUUGAGAAUUGUGGUUAUAGAUUGAUAAGAAGUUAAGUUCUCAAGUCUAGGAUUGUGACUUUGAUCUAAGGGGGAGAUGGUGAGUUAAGGUAGUUUCCGAAUCUUUCAUAUUGUGGCAAGUUAGGGAAGAGUCAUGAUGGACUUACUCCUAUUCAAGUAUGUUCCUCCUACUUCAGUUUAAGGGUUCAUGCCAUCAAUGUCUUAUGUAUUCAAGUCCUGCUGAUGUCUAAGGUUUGAGUUUUCGAUGUAAUUCAUGUCAUGAUUCUGAUGUCCAAACAAGAAGCAAUAAUAUACCUAAGUGACCCAAUACUCCAAGUAUCCGAGCCAUAGGUUAUGCUGCUCAUGAUCCAAACCUAUGUCUCAUGACAUGUUCGUCCCUAAGGAAAUAUGUUUCUGUAUGUUGCAAAAUCAUUCUAUGUCGGAAUUAGCCAAAGUGAUAAAGUCUAUGCUAACUCAUGAAAAAUUUUCAGCUCCUUGAAUGGGGAGCAAGCACUUUAAGUGAAAUCCUUAUCUUAGUUGUUAGUGACGUAAAAAUUUUAGCUUUAUGCCAUAUAGCUCAUGAUAUGUGCAUCCAUAUUUCUCCUUUUGGUCUGUCCUGGGGAAGCCACAAUGUGCUGUAUUCAUGCCGAACGACCCUUUACUUAUGAUCCAGACACUAGAUAUCAGGAGCACUCCAUUUCUAUUCUAUCGUAUCUUUACUUUAUGUCCCUCCUCGAGUAGUGCUAUAAGUAUGAGUGAUGGUCUGAUUAUUUUACUUCCAUUCAUGAUGUGUAUGCUCGGGUCCCUUAAUGACCCUCCAUGUGUUCAUAUGAUGGUGUUUGUCGAAGCGUAGUAGUGUGUUAGGUAUGGGAUUAGAUGUUCUUGAAGGUGAGAAAAUUGAUGUGAUUCUCGAGCUGGGGUUAUAGGUGAAAGGGAAAGGAAGGAGAUGAACUUUUGUUGUGCGAAAUAUCUAAGAAAAAAAAAUGUGGUGAAACUAUUUGUGAGAGUGAUUAAAAUUGUUAAUCUUAGUGGGGAGAGAUCCAUGUAGUGGGUGUAGUAAUGAUAGGCUUAAAUUUUGUGUUGGGUGAAUAAAUGAACCAAGGUCCCAUGUGGUUAGUGUUCCAUGAAUUAAGACUUUAGUUGUUGGAUUAUAGUGAUGAGGUGAGAUGAUCCCUGAAUGUGAUGUAGAAACAGGGUCCCGAAGUUUAAGUUAGCACCUUUUCCUCCAAGUGAGGAUUCAACAUUGAAGUAUAUUAUAGCGGGGAUCAAAUUCGUGUGGAUAGAUGUGUAUGGGGAAAAUUGUAAGUCGGGAACGAUGAGACAUGUAUUUUAUUGGUUGGGGCGUAGAAAAUUAGUGUCCUCAAGCUUUAAGUCUUUUCAUUCUUAUGUCCCGCGAGAAUCUUAAUAUUCUUAUGUUCCGCAAGAAUCUUAUCUCAUGAAUUGUACCAAUCUUAAUCAGGCUGAGGAUUCUUAGGAAGAAUUCAUGUCUUGCAAUGCUUUGAUCAUGUGCCAUAAAAUACAUGCCAAGAUCAUGUCGAUGCCAUGUUUCGUUAUCUCAUGUUUUAUGCGUUCAAGUUUCACUAAGGGUUAUCAUGAAGCUUAUUCGUUGCCUUCACAUAUUUUGUCGAGGCAAAAUGUUCAAUGAGAGACUGUGUUCUUUAUUCUACACUCUUAGAGCUUCAAAAGGUCCCUACCCAUCAUUCAGGGACGAAUGAUCCCAAGGGGGAGAUAAUGUAACACCCCGUACUUUCGGGAUAGAAUCAAAACCAUAAUCCUUAUGCUUACAGAGCCGAACUAGAUGAUUCCUUGUUAAUAUAUGUGUGGUGAUCAAUCCUAUAGUGUAAGAAUACCUUUGAAUAUGAAUUGAGUUCACAAAAAUUCCCUAACUCUAAGACGAGUUGAAAACAUUUCAAUUGAAUAAGUUUUAGUGGAUCUUUAAACUUGGGUCAACUUCUAUCAACCAUAACUCCUAGAAUAUGAUGAAUUACAGGGCGUAUUAUAUAUCAAAUGAAAGGUCUUCGAAUAAGAUUUCCAACGAUACCAAUUUCGUCUAAAUCCGAUAUCCGAGCGAAAAUUUAUGGCCAUUUUAGUGACUGAGAUAAUAGCAGCAUGCGAUAAGCGUGCGACGCACGCCCUAUCGCAGCUCCAAAUUUUCAAAUACGGUUUUCGCGUUUUUAAGGGAAAAAGUGGUAUUUUCCAACCCCUAUCCAGCUAUAACACGAGAUUUCAAUCCCAAAACACCAUAUUACUGAUAUAUUCAUCCAAAUUACUCAAGAACACUCUCUAGGGUUUCAAACUAAAAACCCAAAUAACUCAAGAUUCAACCGUGGGUUUUCGAAACUAAUUGAAGAUUUGGAAUCCCCAAAUCGUAGGCUUCAAGAAUCAUCCACUUUUCUCCGUAAUCAAGGUACGUGGGGUUAUCUCAAAAAUCUCAUGGGCUUUAAAAAUUCAUGUUUUCAAAUGGAGGUUUUGAAAUUAUGAAUAUGAUUAUGUUUGAAACGUUUUAUGAUAUUGAUUUGGACCUUAGGCCUACUCCCAAAGUGAUUUGCUAUAUGAUAUAUGUAUAUGCAUGCAUUCCGAAAAGAUGUUAACUUGAGAGCAUGAAUGAUAUGAAAUUUCCUCUCUUGAUGCGAAUUUGUUUUAAAUGUUCAUAUGAUGUAAAUUGUUUGAAAACAUCUUGAAGAGCAUGACAUGAAAUGUUAUUGAUAUGAUUUUGACUUGAAAACGAGAAGGCUAUUCAUGUUGAAUACAAUGGUUGAAUGAGAAGAAUGACGUGAUAUUGAUAGCUUGCAAGUCGGGUAUGACGAUACCCUACAGAAUAUAACAUGUGAUUGAUUUGAACAAAAUUUGAAUGCAUUCAUUUUACAUGAGAUUUAGGAGCCCUGCUUUGUGAUCUUGUGCACUACCAUUGGGUCGAGACACCCUGUUGUAUGAUCUUGUGUGUCUUCCCCUCACUUAUACUCUAAUCUCGGUGGCAACCGAGGAUUGACAGUUGGUGUAAAUGUGAUAUUUAGGGCAUUCCACCUAGCUCAACUGCAUUACAUUGUGGUUGAAAACGAUUACAUUUCGCCCAUGUGUUUUCAAAUGAUUUGAUAUGAAAUUGCUUUAUAAUGGCUCUCAACUAUAUUUUGUAAAAAUAUUAUGCUUUGUUUUGAUAUCUCUGCGUACCAGUACUUUUGUAUUGACCCCCUUCCCUCCCAGGUUCGGAGGCACCGUCUAGGGGUCCAGAAAAUCAAUAGAUUCCUCAGCCAGAUCUGCAGAGUCACUUGGUGAGCCUUCUAUAUUUCGGAAGGCCUGAUGUCUUGAUGUCUGGCAGUUUCAUUUAUCAUUUAUUAGUUUUGGGUCUACUGGGGGCCUUGUCCCAGUUUUCAGAUAGACAUAUGUUUCAAUCAUGUAGUAGAGAUUUCGCAGACGUUAUCGAGAUGUUGUAUUGCGAUUGUGGGACAUUAUUCCCCAUUAUUGUUUUCAUAUGAUUCUUGACCAUGUUUCCGUCAUAUUGUGUAUCUUCCGCAUUUCUUUAUCAUAUGGAUUAUGUGCAUGAUUACCAGACAGAUAGGGGUGUUCCGGGCCUUUAUGGUUCAGCUCGUCACGGCCAGGGCCCCGGUUCGGGUCGUGACAAUCUGCAUGACCACUGGGUUAACCAAAAGCACUGCCAUAAUGAAACCUACCACAUGAAACUCCAGCUUUACUUCCAAGAAGCUCUAUCAUCUUUCCCACUGUCAUUCGGCUUGGAAAUCCGUGAGGAUUCAUAAUAAGAUCAGGGCAAAUGCCACGUUCAGAGAAUGGAAAAUCUUCCUGUUGUACAAUGGUGCCACAGACUCCUUUCUGUCCAUGUCUACUGCUGAACUUGUCACCAAUCUCAGGCCUGCGGGUAUGACGGAUCAUAAAUUUGAUGCUUAAAUUGUUGUUUCUAUCAGAGUAAAGAGCCACUCUACCAAUGACAGCUGUCUCCCCUUCAGGACCUUUAUAAGUUUGUCUACUUGGCUUGUAUGCACUAUCAGGCCAGCCCAUAGGAGACGUGACUGGUGUCCUCGUGACUGUAGGGGACUCCUUGUUGAUAUAGAUAUCAUGAGGUCGGAUGAUUUCUCCUGGAGCAGCCAAUCCAUCGUCAUCCAGAAUCUGCAUUCUAUCAGUUUCAUAUCCUUGACGCUGUGGUUUAAUUAUUCUAUCUGAUGUGCCAUUCUCAUACGUCUGACAUAUGGCUGAGUAUUUUUUCAUCACUAUGCAACGCCCUAAACCUCGAUCUAAAGAAGACUUGUUCAUUACCAUUGCAUCCUCUAUGUCACAGCCACUAUAACUCAUCACUGCAACAGUGGCAUUCUGACCAGCCCCUAAUUUAUCAUACCCAACCAGCUCGACUGUUCUUGUUGUCAGUUAAGGGCGUUGAGGAUACACCAAAAGGUAGAGCAAACCGUCAAUCCUAUUCAACUGGUUAUAGGCAAUGUUUCCCAUAGCUUGCUUACCCAUAGCACACUGAUAGGUAUUCCUAGGGGACUGAUUGUGAUGAGGAUAAGGUAUCAAACCGGCACAAACACCUAAGAUUGUGAAAGGCUCAAUCUCAAUAUGUGUCGUCUCUGGUGUCGCGUCCUUUUCGUAUAGAGCAAUCUGAAAAACAUGCAUUUUUGCAGUCAGUUCUAGCGUAACUAAUACUCUUCAACAUAAAAUGCACUUUUCAUUUGCUUGAGACGGACCAAUGUGUUGUUCUCCUCGUUGACAUCAAGAUAUUCUAUCAAACCAUCCCUUAGAAAGCUGUCGAAGUCGCGCACACCAUCCUUCAAUAAAUAAAAUUAGAUCAGAUGUGGAAUUGACAUGAAAAUAUACAAUUCAGAAGGACGAUCCAGGGGUAAGAUGACUACCCUCAACUCUCUCAUGUGAUGCUCUUUAAUCCUGGAAACACCUUUGUCAGCAAUGACAAGCGGGCGACAAACACGUCCACCAUCUGAAGCAAUGUAGACACAGCGCUGCAAGAGAUUUCCUCCAACUUAAAUAUAAUCAUUCAAAUCUUACUAAUUAUUCACCAUAAAAUUUCAAAUUAUAAAAGCAAAGAGGGAAAAUGAAAUAUUUUGCUAACAGCAUCAGUAUGGUUGAACAACGCUAACCAAAACCUACAAGAGAUAUAAGAAUUUGUCUGUAAGGCUCCUGAUACAGAAGGAACAAUUUUUUAGACCUUGGAAUAUCUAUGCUCUUUCCAUUAACAGAAACAAAUCAAAGACAUGGGACCUCCGAUCUCAAAAAUAUAUCCAGUUGCUCAAUUCAGCCUCUCAAAUUUCAGUUGUCCCCUUUCUUUGAGCUCCCCCUUGCGACAUUACCCUUACCAACCUUCAGUUUUAAUUUAAUUUUUGAGCAAAACUUCAGUUAACAGCCCCAUUAGUUCUUUUCUUUUUUCAGAUAAAUCAACAGACCGUAUGCACAAUAAGUACAACACAAGCAACUGAAAACGUUAUCUUAAUAUAUGCAAUUUGGCAGCAGUAUGUUGUGAAAAUUGUUCAGAUUAUUUUGGGAUUUUCUCUAUAAUAUUUUGUUUGUCUACUGCCUUUGUCCUCAAUUUAGUGCAAGACAAGAGGUCUUUCUCAUGGAUUAUAAUAAACUAAGGAAAAUGUAGAGGAGAAAAAGAAGAGAAUAAAUAGGCUUCGAUUCGAAGAAGAAUGGCGAAAUUGUAGUAUGGAGAGAGAAAUAGAUCAGCUUUUAGAAAGAAGUGAGCUUCGUUUUGUACAUUUGAAUAAUAGCUAAUAUCAUUAACAUCUUUUGGUAUACCCAUGAGUUUCUGAAGGAUGAGUGUCUUUUGAAAAGAACCAUUUAUUUUGUAGGUUCUCUAUCAUUGGUAUACUUCUUGUACGUUGAAGAUUUUUCCAUAAUUAAUGAAACGUAACAUAUCUGAUUUAAAAAAUAGGAAAUUAUAAUAACUGUGUGAAACAGUGGCUAUUUCACUUCCUCUGCAUAUCAGUAAAAGUCAACCCACUAAACACACUCAGUUUGAGUUCAUCAGAAUGAUAAAACAACUCCCUGUAUCAAUGAAACCUUUUACUCGAUUAAAAAAUAAAAGAAGAACUACUACUACCCAGAAUAAGUGCACCAAUGAAUUAUGAAGACCAACAUACAGUAAGGGAAGUAUGAUUCUCCUCAUUCAUCACGAUCCAAUAUUCAAGACUACAAAUUCUCAAAAUUUUCUGCUAGCAUAGAACUCCAAAGUUAUCAGUAUUAUGGUACAAAAGCAAUCCCUAAAUAAGAUAUAGGCCAAAGAAAGAUGCAGAACCUGUGAUACCAGCAGGGUUCACCAUGCUGAUCCUAACCACAAAACAGUUUUAACUUUUUUUUUUUUGGAUAAAGUAAGGUAUUUCAUUCACAAAAGGGCAUCAAGAUGCAUAGUUACAACUUGCAAUGAAAGAAAAAUUGACAAAAGAAACUGGAAUGAAGAAAACGGAAAUCCCUUUACAGUAUGUCAAUCAAAGACAAGGAACUAAGGAGCGCCAGAAAAUGUUCGGUGCUAGAUACAUUAGCCAAUCUGGACCAGCAAAAGAGUAAGAGUAGACAUCUAGUUUUGCGAGAGUGAUUUCGAGUUGAGGUUCCAGCAAAACACGUCCUAUUCCUGUCGUUCCAAAACAGUUCUUCGAGAGGAAAAAAAAAGAGAUAACACUCAGCAAAUUGCAUUUAGGAAAUUAAAACCCCAUCAACUCCUGCUGCACAAAUUUUUAACCUUAACAAGCUCGUAGUCACAUAGAAGAAAUCAUUAUCCCUGUGUUUUUCUUUUUGAUUGAUUUUUUUCUUAUCAAAUUAAGAAAAGAAUCAGGCUAAUAUAAGAAGAAUUAGAUUAAUAUACUAUAUCUAGAUUGCACAUGAUAAUAUACCCAUAAUUAGAAAUCCUAAGGAUAAAACUUUCAUAUUCUCAUCUAGAAAUCCUCAUAAGGAGCUGUCUUUAUGUUGUUAUCACCAGUUCAAUAAGAGUUUAACCUUUUCCAUCACUUGUUCCUACUAGGAAAAACAAACAACUAAUACGUAGCAUUCCACUGGUAGAUUAGUUUACAACAACAACAACAACAUACCUAGCGACUAGUGUAAUCUCAGAAGUGGGAUCUGGGAAGGGUAGUGUCUAUGCAGACCAUACCCCUACCAUGGAAGGUAGAGAGGCUGUUUCCGGUAGACUCUCGGCUCAAGUAAAAGCAUUUCAAAGAAGUUCGAAAAAAGAAAAAAUGGGAGUGAAGAAGCCAUAACAAAAUACAAAUGCAAGCAUGACAGAACAUUCUUAAAAGGGUACAGUAACUCUAACACAGGUAGAUUAGUUUAAUUUUAAAUUUUUAUGUCGUAACUAUGUUCAAAACAUUGGGAUCUAUAAUAAUCAAGUGUAAAAUCUCAGAGUUAAGAAAUAGACAAACAAAAAUUCAGGAUACUACUUGUCCGACUUUAUUAAACACUAAGAUACCAGGCGGAAGAAACAUAAAUAAUAAAGACUGUACCAAAGACAUAAUAGGGCGCUCAUCCUCAUCUGUCGUAACAUGAGUCAUCAACGCCAAGUUUUCCACCAGUCUACACACUUCGCCUUCUGGGGUGUCACAAGGGCAAGCAUGCCGAACUGGCUAGGUUGCAGAGCUCUAGGACCACUAACUUUUCGAAUUGUGGUGAGAUCUUUGUCAUGUGACCCAACGAUCCAAUGUAUGAUAACCUAGCAACAACCUGAGUCAUGCCUUUCCUGUGCAUCCUAAAUCGUUUUACAUCCCAAUUGCCUGUAGAUAGGGUUCUCUCCAGGCCCUGAGUAAUAUAGUCUUUGACUAUGUAUUGAGAAAUGUCCAAACGGCUGGAGCGACUUGGCCUGGCAAGAAGAGCAUCUAUUGUCUUCCUAGCUUCAUCAUUCAACGUCUUGAACAAAUCCUCAAAAAGGAGAGAUAGCAGCUGACUGGAGAGCUCCAAUCUUUUGUUCCCCACAUAGUCUUUGUCAUCCAUUGCAUCCUUGUUUAAGAUUGCUUCCAUCAUGCGCCUCAUCAUUACUGCAACAUAUAUGCAUUUUUUUCAGAAAUUAUGCUGAUGGACAGGAACAUUUGCAAGAAAUAUGUCACGAAGAAUACUCAAAGCUCGGGUUCCCUUCUCAACUGGACCAGUAGAAUAUAAAGGCAUUUUAAGCAUCUUAUCACUUUCGAGGAACUCCAGUGCUUGCUGUUGUGUGUACAACUUGAGAUCUGCAUACUCCUUGAUUGAUGGCAAAAGCAGAGCACUCAGCCAAGUAUCUCUUCCUAUCAUUUGCACAACCUUUUGAUCGCUCUCCAUUCCCAUGGCCUUCAUGACAACCAUUAUGGGGACCUUGGUUUUGAACAUAUUCAACUCUAAGUAUAUCUUCUCUUUUUCCAUUUUUAUAAUCGUUUUGCUUUUUGUUUUUUCUGUGCUGCGGUUACAGAUGCUUGAACACAACCUUUUUUAUCUGUAUCGAUGAUUAUCCUGUUCUUCGAGAGCUGCUCUUGAAUUAAAAUUACCUUCUCAGUGCCUUUGAUUACAAAAUAUCCUCCCGGAUCAAGUGGGCAUUCUCCAAGUCUAGCUAGUUCAUCUUCAUCUUUCCCAUAAAGCAAAACAACUGCUUAGCAUAAUUGGCAUCCUUCCAAUGAUAACAUUCUUCUUUGUUGACUCUACUGUCUGCCCAUGACUUCCCGUUGUGUACCUGAUGGUGACAUAAAUAGGUGCUGCAUAGGUUCUGUCAGAGAGUCGGCAUUUCUGCGGACUUAGUUUCUCAGUUACAGCAUCAAAAAUCAUUGAUGGUUCCCCAACGUGGACAUCCAUGUAACUAAGAUAAAUAAUGGGGUCCAAUGUUGAUCUAAUCUCCUGAUUCGCUCGGACAAUCUUCUUUAUUUCCGUCUUAACAAAAUAAUUGGAGUCCAAGUGUUGCUUCAACAAUCCUCUCACCUUUAGGAAUUCUGGAACAAGUUGAAACUUGUCCACCAAAUUCUUAAUGAGAGAAGCAAGGUGCUGCUUGUCAAUUCCGUGGCUCGAGUCGUCUGCCGUACUGGACAUGGUAGAAUCAUAACCCAUACCUGCUGCCAAUCAAUUUUCCAGUAGAACAAAACCAGAAACAAUGAGAUUGUAGAAGCAGCGAGGAUGAGAGCCGAAACACGGUAAGAUGAUUUAUUUUCCCCUGCCACAAAAAGGUAUACAGCACGAUUAGUUCGGGGCUAAUUCAAGAGCGAUUACACAACAAUAUACAAGUAAAACUAUCAACCAUCACUAGCAUCUUGUAUUCAGAAAGUGACAUGUCCAAGUAAUGAAAACGAUGUACAUAUACAUACACAAGUACAAGUGGCAUUUUCCUUACAAAUUUCUGCUUUACUACAACCACAUUUCAAGCUUAAAAAUUUCAUCGCUCGCCAUUUUAACACGGUACCAUUUAGAGAAUCAUAUUAUUCCUUGGCAUCUAUCUGCAAUCCUACCAUCUAGAAAUACAACAAGAAAUACACUAAAAGUGAAAAAACAAACUAGCAUGUUCGGUACUUGGGCAAUAUAUUGAAUUUCAUCCAAUUUCAAGACAUCCCUUUUUUUCUCAUCUCCAACACAAUUAAGGGUUGUUCGGUGGCUGGUUAAAAUUAUGUAGGUAUUAUUAAUGUAUGUAUUAGUUAUGCAGGUAUUAAUUAUUCCACCUUCUACGCCACAUAAGAUAAUACACCAAUCCCUCAUAACUUAUACAUGUACUCCCUCAAUUUCAAUUUGUUUAGCCUAUUUUGACUUGACACAAAGUUUAAGAAAAUAAAGAAACAUUUGAAUUUUAUCGUCUUAAAUUAAGAUAUGUCAAAUGUACCAAAAUGCAAUAAAGAAACAUUUGAAUUUUAUCGUCUUAAAUUAAGAUAUGUCAAAUGUACCAAAAUGCACUUUGAAGGGCAAAAAAAAGGGCAGCUCGGUGCACUAAAGCUCCCGAUAUGCGCAAGGUCCGAGGAAGAUCCCCACCACAAGGGUGUAUUGUACGUAAUCUUACCUUGCAUUUCUGUCAGAGGUUAUUUCCAAGGCUUGAACCCGUGACCUCCUGAUCACAUGGCAACGACUUUACCAAUUACUCCAAGGCUCACCUUUGCCAAUUACCAAAAUGCACUUUAAGAGUUACUAAAAUGGGAAAGGGUCAUUCUCUUUGAAAUGGACUAAUAAGGAAAGCAACAACAACAACAAUAAUAACAUACCCAGUGCAAUCCCACAAGUUAGGUCUGAGGAGCGUAGAAUGUACACAGACCAUAUAACUAUCUCUUGGCAAAAGACCUUCAGCUUAAGUGCGGGUUUCUAAAUUUGCAAACAAAAUGUCGUACUAAUUUUGUACAUGAAUAACUUAUUUCCUAACUAGCUACCAAAACAAUGUAUUAAUUUACUCAAAAGUUAAUACAUGAAUAAAUAACCUUGUUUCUUUACUAGCUAUCAAAUAACGGGCAGCCAGGAGCUAUUUAAGUAUUUCUAUUUAUUAUUACUUCCUAGAUCCUAAUUUAUGUGGCCUUUUCUAGAUUUGAGAUUUAAAUAAAUUUGUUUUUAAACAUAAAUAUUUCACAUACUUCUUCUGUUUUAUUUUACUUAGUAAAAUUAUGAAAUUAAGAGAACUUUUAUUAUAUUUUUUUUUCUAUCCUUAAUAUUACGUACUCCUCGUUUCAUUUUAUGUGUUGCUAUUUGAUCUAAUACAAAGUCUAAGAAAUAAAUGAUGAAUUUAUAAAGUUUACGAAAUUAUACCUCCUAAAGUUACUUUAAUAUUUACCUUUUAGUCGUCUUUUUUUAUUAAGUAGACCCGGUAAGAAUAAAAUGGGAUGAUGACAUUAAAUAAUUGUCAAAUAAGAAAAAGUGAUAUUCUUUUUAGGACGGAUCAAAAAGAAAAUGACAACACAUUGAAAUGAAACGGAGGGAGUAACUAAAUAAUGGAGUGUAUUGACUAAUUCAAUUUGGUUUAAAAAAAUUAGUCAAAUUGACUCUCAUCAUACGAAACACGACAAAUAAAAUUGAGUAGAGAUAGUAAUUUCACUAAAAUGAUUUCUUAUUAUCAAAUAUUUUAAUCCCUAUUGUCAUAUUUUAUGAGAAAUACUCUAGUUGUUUUAAUUUAUGCGGCACAAUUCAAAUUUCACAAGUCAACUAUUUAAUUUUGACUUCGUGCUCAAGCGUAAAAUCUUUUAAGUUUUUGAAAUAAAAUUUACAUAUUUGCCGAAAAUGUGGUUUGUCGGGAUAUAGUUGCAUUAUGCAGGGUAAAAUAUGGAGUAAAAAUGCAUGUAUUAGCAAUGCAGGGAUUAAACUGUUUACUUCCCAGAUGAAUUUGACAGCACCAUAUAGGAUCAAAGCAAGUUUGACAAUAUUAAUAUUGUUAAAGGGCAGCCCGGUGCAUUAAAGCUAUCGCUAUGCGCGGUAUCCGGAGAAGGGCCCACCACAAGGGUGUAUCGUACGCAGCCUUACUUUGCAUUUCUGCCAGAGGCUGUUUCCAAAACUUAAACCCGUGACCUGCGAGGGAGCCUUAAUGUUUGGCAAUGUUAAUAUUGCUAGAGAACAAAUAAUCAAACAAUUGAACACACAGAAUUAAAGCAACCAAGCUAAGUGACAAAUAACACACUUCUAAAAAAAAAGGCAACCCGGUGCACUAAAGCUACCGCUAUGUGCACUGUCCGAAGAAGGGUCCCACCACAGGGGUGUAUCGUACGCAGCCUUACCUUGCAUUUUUGCAAGAGGCUGUUUCCAAGGCUUGAACCCGUGACCUCCUAGUCACAUGGCAGCAACUUUACCAGUUACUCCAAAGCUCCCCUUCAAAUAACACACUUCUAAAGUUUCUAUAUUUGCUGUUGCUUUAGAAAUUUGAUUGAAUCUGGGAAACAAUAGUUUCUAUAGCUGGUUCUGAUCCGAAAACUGAAUUCGCAAUGCUUAUAACACCAGCAAUAGCAAUAGUAUUUCCAUAUCCCACGUUGCGUUGGUAGUGAACAAGUCCAACUGGAAAAACAACCGUAUUGCCUUUACACCUACUAAUUCAGCAGAAACGAAAUGAUGUCAUGGAUCAGUGACGAGUAUCUGAAUCAAACUCAGUUUCCGAUUCCUGUUGAAAAGGAUUUAAUCCGAGUGUCAUCACUCGAGUCUUCAUUUUCAUCCACCUGAGAAUUGUGUGACUGUGUAUCCUGUUUUGAUUUCUCUACUUGUGUGAAUUUGAACAUCUCUGGCCUGCACAGGGAUUAUGUAACUAAGUGAAAUGACCAACUACGUGAAAUCAACACCAAGUAAAACACACACUCAGCGGAGUCUGACUAUUGACGUGACUUUUGAAGCACGCGUACUUGGCCAUGAUAGAGAACCUGCGUAACAAGACAUGCCACUUUUCUACCUGAUUCGGUAAGCUUCUUCUCUGCCACUCUCAUCCACCACGACAAAGUUGCCUAUUGAUAAAAUAUAGGCAUGCUCUUUUGAAAUUUAGCUGGAAAUAUUGCUAAUGAUGUUUCACCUUUGGCAUCCGUUACUUGAAUAAUGUUGGAACUUCGAAGGUCGACAACCUGUAUAAUGCUUUGUCCUUUUUGAAGACUCAAAAAUUCUUCAUCCACACCCCUUUUCAAAUUCUCUCCCCCCCGCCCUCUCAUGCUUCUUCUUUCCCCAAUUGGAACACACACUGCAGCAUUUCCAUAUGAACCUUCAAGGACAGUGAGCAUCUCAGUAGCUCUUGGAUGAGUGUGGAGAGGUUAAAUCGAUGGUGUAUAGUCAACGUGCACCAGUGAGAACCAAGUGUGUCAAGUGAUGAUAUUUGAGCUACAUUGACUAGAAUGAACUUAGAUCAAACUGUGUUUGAUGUAUUUCCAACCAAAUGCACGCGCGCAUCAGUGAGAUACCAAGAGUGUUAAGUCCUCUUCUUCGACAGACUUGAGAUAUUUCCAAGCUAAGUCGUUUUACUUUAGCUGAAAACAACGGAAAAAUACAGUGAGAAAAUUCAUGAGAAUCAUCCAUCUUCUAGUCCUAGUAAGAGGAUUAUGAUACUCUCAUCGCGAUUUACUGAUUUGCAAUACAUAAAUCCUGUAUUGGACUUGGUUCAAAAGCUAACACAACACAGCAGAAACAAAGUGUUAUCAAAUUCAGCAGAAACAUGACAGUGUGAUUCUUGAAUACAUUUGGUAGAUUAUGUACGCAUGAUGCAGUUUCUUCUAUCUCUUCACAUGCUAAGCACUGACCAUUCCGCGAUCUAUAUAAUAUACAUAGAAAUGGAAGGACUUAGACGACAUAGGAUCUGUUAGAUUAAGGGUCAAUGCUAAACUUUUUACAUACAAUUGUUGCUAUAGUACAAUAGUUCAGUAAACAUUACGGUUAAAAAGGGUUCAUGUGAUGUUAUAAAUAAAGUAGAAGAAGAAACAUAAGGACGACAAAAAGUUAACGAGAAGAUAAUUAUACUGCUGCUUUUCUGAACAAACUCCUAUGAAUAAAUAGGAAGCAUCAUGCUCUCCAAACACAUAUGAAACUACAAUCAAGGUUCCCCUAGUUUUAAUCGCGGGACAAUGUUCAUUGAUUGGAGCUCCUGGAUUAGGAGCUUGCACGCAUAAGGCAACUUCAUCAUAGGAAUAUUUUCCCCGUUCUUACACAUGGACAAAAUCCAGUCUUCAGCUUGCAGUUGUAAUAUCCCAAUAAACCACAUUUUCUGCAAACCUGAACCUCAAACGGAUCACUGGAAAGCAUCAAGCGCUCGUGUAUCAACAUACUGGCACCAUAUGCAAGUAAACAAUCACGUUCCAUUUCUCCCACACGUAAACCUCCAUUUCUACUCCUACCUUCGGUAGGUUUUCUUGUCAUAGUAACACGAGGAACAAUCCCACGAGCGUGAAUUUUGUCUAGGACCAUGUGUUUCAGCUUUUGGUAAUAUAUUGGCCCCAUGAAGAUGUACGCCUGUAGUGGCAUACCGGUAAUGCCUGAAUAAAGAAAGUCCUUGCCAUUGUAGCUGUAGCCAUGUUUAACAAGAGUUUCGCAGAUAGCAUCAACCGUGUCUGCAUGACCACUGGGUUCUCCGAAAGCACUGCCGGAAUGAAACCUCCCACAUGAAACCCCAGCUUUACUUCCGAGAAGCUCUAUCAUCUUUCCCACUGUCAUUCGGCUUGGAAAUCCAUGAGGAUUCAUACUAAGAUCAGGACAAAUGCCACAUUCAGAAAACGGAAGAUCUUCCUGUUGUACAAUGGUGCUACAAACUCCUUUCUGCCCAUGCCUGCUACUAAACUUGUCACCAAUCGCAGGCCUACGAGUAUCACGAAUCAUAAACUUGAUGCUUAAAUUGUUUUUUCAUCAGAGUGAAGAGCCACUCUCUAAACGACAGCUAAUUCCCCUUCAGUACCUUUAUAAGUUUGUCUACUUGGCUUGUAUGAAGUAUCAGGCAAGGCCGUAGGAGACGUGCCUGGUAUCGGCCUCGUGACUGUAGGGGAUUCCUUGUUGAUAUAGAUAUCAUGACGUCGAAUAAUUUCUCCUGGAGAAGCUAUUCCAUCAUCAUCCAGAAUCUGCAUCCUAUCGGCUUCAUAUCCUUGACGCUGUGGUUUAAUUAUUCUAUCUGAUAUGCCAUUCUCAUACGUCUGAUAUAUGGCAGCGUAUUUUUUCAUCACUAUGCAAUGCCCAAAGCCUCGAUCUAAAGAAGACUUGUUCAUUACUAUUGCAUCCUCUAUGUCAUAGCCACUAUUACUCAUCACACCAACAGUGGCAUUCUAACCAGCCCCUAAUUUAUCAUAAUUCAUACCCAACCAGCUCGAUUGCUCUUGUUUUCAGUAAAGGGCGUUGAGGAUACACCAAAAGGUAGAGCAAAUCGUCCAUCCGAUUCAACUGGUCAUAGGCAAUGUUUCCCAUAGCUUGCUUACCCAUAGCACACUGAUAAGUAUUCCUAGGGGACUGAUUGUGAUGAGGAUAAGGUAUCAGACAGGCACAAACACCUAAGAUUGUGAAAGCCUCAAUCUCAAUAUGCGUUGUUUCCAUUGUGGCCUCUUUUUCAUAUAGAGCAAUCAAUGAGUUGUUCUCCUCGUUGACAUCAAGAUAUUCAAUCAAACCAUCCCUUAGAAACCUGUUGAAGUCACGCACACCAUCCCUCAACUCUUUCAUAUGGAGCUCCUUGAUCCUGGAAACACCUCUAUCAGCAAUUACAAGUGGACGACAGACAGUCCACCAUCUGAAGCAAUGUAGACGCAGUGCUGCUUUUCAUUCACAAAAAUGCUUACAAACUCUCCGAUUUUACCAGCCCUUUAUAGCUUCCUCAUAGAAUUAGCAAAUCUCUGCGAACUCUUGUGCUUGCCUAGCAUAAGUCCAUUUAAUACAAUGAGAUAAGCAGUAGCACUGUUCCAUCAUGUAAAGUUCAGUUACAUGUCACAGAAAUGAAGUAGGAAUUUUACUUACAGAAUUUAGCACAAACUGAAAAGUUAAAUUUCGUUGUGGUUAUUAACACAAAAUGCAACAAAAUAGGAAUAUAAACAUGUCUAAGAUCGGGACUUUUUUAGGAACACUGUUCCGCCAAGUACCUGCAACCUCCCACCAUUAAUCGUACCAGGUAAGUCGGUUCAUCAAGGUGGACGGAGAUACCACCUAUCCUACUUCAGUACACGCUUAAAUAUCAGGCGGGAAAAAUAUAAAUAAAAAAAACUAUACCAGAGAAAUAAUAGGGCGCUCAUCCUAAUCUGUCGUAACAUGAGUCAUCAAGGCCAGGUUUUUCACCAAUCCACAGGCUUCACCUUCUGGUGUGUCACAAGGACAGAGCAUACCAAAGUGGCUAGGUUGCAGUGCUCUAGGACCCGCUAACUUUCCUAGACUUCUCGAAUUGUGGUUUGAUCUUCGUCAUGUUGCCCAACGUUCCAAUGUAUGAUAACCUAGCAACAACAUCAGUCACGCCUUUCUUGUGCAUCCGAAAUCGUUUAACAUCCCAGUUGCCCGUAGACAGGGCUCUCCCCAGCUCUAAAGUAAUUCUGUUAUAUUUCUUUAUACAAUAUAAAAUGUCCCGAGCACUGGAGCUAGCAUCAAAUGCCCUCUUAGAUUCAGAAUUCAUCGUCUUGAAUAAAUCCUCAAAAAGGAGGGAUAAAAGCUGACCGGAGAGCUCCAGUCGUUUGUUCCCAACAUAGUCCUUGUCAUCCAUUGCAUCCUUGUUUAAAAUUGCUUCCAUCAUGCGCCUCAUCAUUACUGGAACAUAUAUGCAUUUUUUGCAGAAAUUAUGCUGAUGGACAGGAACAUUUGCAAGAAAUAUGUCACGAAGACAUAUGACCGGAGAAAUAAGAAGUAUAUCUUUUUCUUUCUCCAUUUUUAUAAUCGUUUUGCGUUUUGUUUUUUCGGAACUACUGAUAACAGAUGCUUGUACACAGCCUUUAUUAUCCGUAUCAAUGAUUAUUCUGUUCUUCGAGAGCUGCUCUUGAAUUGAAAUUACCUUCUCCGUGUCAUUGAUAACAAAAUAUCCUCUGGGAUCAAGUGGACAUUCUUCAAGUUUUGCUAGCUGUUCUUCAUCUUUCCCAUAUAGCACGCAAGAACAACUUCUUAGCAUAAUAGGCAUUCGUCCAAUGAUAACAUCCUUCUCCGUUGAUUCUUGUUUUUUCCCUUUCAUUGUUGUUGUGUAGUCGACUGUGACAUAAAUUGGAGCCACCUAGGUAAGGCUAGAUAGCCGACAUUUCUGUGGACUUAGUUUCUCAGUUACACCAUCAUAAAUCAUUGAUGGUUCACCAAUACGGACAUCCCUGUACCUAAGAUUGUGGUGCAGAAGAAUAAAUACAAAGCUUAUAAAUUCGUAAUCUUUGAAAAAUCAAACAAUUAGUCAAAUAGGGUAAUUAAAAGUGUGAAUUAUCUCAAAUCUAUUUUUUUUUUGACUUAAUCUUAGUUUCAGUUAUGUCCAAUCCAACUAUAUAAUAGUAAUAAUCUAUCAAAGUUCUCGAGUUUUGAAAAUUUGAAGUGGAGCAAGAAUUUAAAGUUUAUACAUCUAUGUUAUUUAAUUCUAAAUCAAUAUGUAUAUAUUCAAUGGAAUUUUCUAGACAAAUAUACAUUUUUGGACAAAAGCCAUUGAAUUCUGUUGAAUUUGUAACUAUAUUCCAACCAAGGGCAGAGCUAGCAUACACUGAGGGGUUCAUCUGGACCCCCUUCGACGAAAAAUUAUACUAUUUAUAUAAGAUUAAAAUUAUUUUUUACGUAUAUAUAGUAGAUGUUGAACUCCUUUCGAUUAAUUUGUAUGUGCAUCUUUGAACCUCCUCAAUAAAAAUGACACUGACACGGAUUCCAACUCCCUAUCGGAAAAAGAAUCGCCUUUGUGAGGAGCGUUUUACCAUUCGCUUUGAGACUUCUGUGUGAAUCCAAAUAUAAUCGAACCUCAAUACGGAUACCAGACACCAAAUUAAGUGAAAUAUAUAUAUAUUUAAAAAUGAGUCUCUCUCUUCUUUUGGAAAUUCUUUAAUCCCAAAUUUCCCCAUGUCACGUUUUUAAGUUCGCAAAAUUAAAAAAUAUUUUGGCACAUAAUAAUAUGGUUAGUUUACCACUACAAGUUUCAAAUGUUUUUUACUUUUUAAACUUCAUAUUAAGUUAAAACCAAAGAAAUAAAUUGAAAUCGGGAAGUAAAAGUAUAAUCUUUCCGUGUUAGAAUCAACAAAUACAUUUUGAUUUUCCUUUAAUUAUGGAAAAUCUUUUUCAAUACUUUAUGCUAAAAUAUUUAGACUAAAUAUUGAUGUUUACGUGUAUUAUUUCAAAAAAAAAAAAGAAAAAAACUUUUAAGUUAAAGAAAUUUGAAGUUGUUAAGAUGUUACUUAAUUUAGAAUAAUUAUCACACUGCUAAUAUUUACUAGUACAUUUGUUUUCUUGCCAUUUUUUAACAAAUAAGAAAACAAAUAUUUACUUCGAAUAUCACAAGAUAUAUAGUACUCAUAGAAAAAGCAAAAUUUCCUUCUUUUUUAUUAUGGCGUCUGAAAUUGUCAAUAAGAAAGAAGGAAAAGCAAGGCACCUUUUUCCUAUAUACACUAAAAAAAAGACGUUACAAAUAUACAGGGAUUCAGGUAGAAUAUUUCAGAAUUAAUUAUAUAUAAUUACUAAUAAUACAUUGUUCAUAAAAGUGAGACAUUUGUCAAACUAGGCUUCGAACGUAAUUUACACCUUCAAAACUAGCUAAAAGAUAGGACGAUUCCCAAUCAGUAGUCCAAAACAUUUAUCAUGAUCCAUUGUGGAACACUUUCCAUAGCCAUCUCCUUAAUUAAUUCUUCACUGGCUAGUCCAAUAAACAAAAACAGUCUCUGAAGUCUGAACUGCCAAAGUUGUUUCUUUUUUUUUUUGAUGUUUUCGAUUAGAUUUACAAGGAACAAGGAGAUUAAAUUUUGUUUUGGAGUAGGAAUUAAUUAGUUGAAAACAGCUUGAGAGUGACUAAAAACUCACACUUACUUUAAGGGCUCUAAGGGGAAUAGCAUUAUAAUGCCAUGAAUGAUACUCACUCUGUUUCAUUUUAUUUAGUAUAUACUUUAAUCGAGCGCGAAAUUUAAAAAUUUAAAGAAGGACACAUUGAUGUUUAUCAAAUCCUUUUUCUUAUUUAGCAGCUACUCUCUCCGUCCCAUUUUACUUGUCCCAAAUUUUCUAAUUUGAUUUCUCAUUUUACUUGUCAUUUUUCACAAAUUAAGAAGAGACAAUUUUUUUUUUCAUAAUUUACACUUUGCAUUAAUUACUUUUUCUUCAAAUUAAAAUUAAACAUCAUUUAAUAGGGAUACUAUCGUAAAUUAGCCAUGUUAUUAAUUAUUUUUCUUAAUCAAUAUGUCAAGUUAAUCUAGAACAAGUAAAAUGAGACGGAGGAAGCAUUUAAAGACAUAAUUUCACUUUUAUCAUUAUUGAUCUCAUUUAUAAGGUAUCACUCAAUUAAAGAUAGUAGUCUAUUUUUUAAUAAAGGACAAUUUAGUAAAUAUUACCAAGUCCUUCCUUAUUUCUUAAAUUUCGUACCCAAUUAAAUUAUGCCACAUAAAAAGGAACGGAGGGAGUAAUACAUAUAGACUUACAUGGACUUUUUAAUUAGUACUACCUCUAUUGUUACUCUCUCACCCACUCCAUAAUUUUUUAUUUUAUUUGUUUGAUUUUAACUUGAGACAAAUUUAAGAAGACUUUUCAAACUAGAUAAUUUGACCAAAAAUAAUAUUAAAAGAUAAGCCAUGUUACACCUACAUAAGGCAUGGUAAACACUUGUGUUAAUUAAAUGUUACUUCACACAAAACUAGAAGCAGCACUUUAAUAGUUCACUUUCAAAUUUUCACAUAUAAUACUCCCACUUGCUACCAAUUUAACAUUUUGGAAAGAAAAAAAUGUAUCAACAAUUUAAAUUUGUUCGUAUUAUAACCAACAAGAAUGAGAAGAAUCAUAUUGUUACAACAACUAGUUUAGUACAUAAAGCAUAGAAGAAGUCACAUAAAUAGCAAGAACAAUUCAUUCAUCACGCCCAUAAUUGCUCAUAUAUUAGGAAUUUAGUGCACUGAAUCAAGCACACAACAAGAAAUAAUUUGUGUAUUACUAAUCUUUAUAUAACUUAUUCCUACAUAACUAAUUCUUGCAUUAGGAUUCAUGUAUAACUUGUCUUUGAACCAAAACGCGCCGUUUAUGUUAAAACUUAAAAGGGUGUGCUUCUAAAGAGGAUGGAGUUUGUUAGACAAGAACUAAUUCUGAUGGGUUCGUACGAAUAAUUUCCACUACAACCAAGAAUGCGAUUGCAUAUGCUAAACCACGAUGAAUAUAUCUCUUUAACAUUUACGUAUAUCAUAGUCUCAAUCUCUGCAAAGAAAGGACACUAAAUUUUGUUGCUGCCACACUUCGAGAAUGAAAAUUCUCUCCUAUUUUUUAAUUAAAUGAUCUGAAGGAAUAUUUAAGUAAAACGACUUUAUUCUUCCCUCCACUAAGUCUCCCAUUUUCCUUCUCUUCAGGCUAAAAGAGGUAGCAAAAAUCUUCUAGAACAAUUUUAUUUUCCAAUGUAUAGGUUCCAAAUACGCACACACACACUCAAAGGAUAGUUCCUCAAUAGUUGAGCUGGAUUUUUUUCAUGGGGUUGUGUUUGAUGCUAUAAAGAUUGUAUCUUUGGUGUAUAACUCUAGUGUUACUUGUUUAUUUAUUAAUAACUGUGGUGUCUAGGUUAACUUGUAUGCACCUCAACUAAAUUACUUAUCCGGAUACCUUCCACUUUCCACUAGCAAUAUAUAUUAGGUAGUUCCUCAACUCUAGUGUUGCUUAAUUGAACCACUUUGUCCUUGUUAAGUAUUUUGGUGUAUAAUUUUCUUCUUGUUGUUGUCUACCCCACCCCCACAACUAUUAGUUCCUCAAUAUUUGAGCUGAAAAUUUUUAAUGGGUUCUGUAUUUUGCUAUACAGAUUUGAUCUUUGGCGGAUAAUAACUCUAGUGUUGUUUAAUUGAAGCACUUUGUCCUUGUUUGUGUUUUGAUGUAUAGUUUUCUUCUUGUUAUUUUCUGUUAUAAUGAUUAUAUCUUUGGUGUAUAACUUUAGUGUUGCUUGUUGAAUCACUUUGUUCCUUUUAGUGGGUUGGUUUUUAUUGAAUUACUGCAUUGUUGUGGUACAGAGUGGAAUUAGGGCAAUAUAACAGGACAACACAAUGAGAUUGGAAAAAUGCUGGUUUUGUUCCUCAACUAUAUAUCCAGGCCAUGGUAUUCAAUUUGUCCGAAACGACGCAAAGGUAGAAUAUUAAUCUCUUUUCCCUUGUUGAUUUAAGUCACUUUAAUUUGGUUUUCAUUACGUUUCCAUGUUAUGUACUUGCCGUAGUUAGGUUUAAGAAAAUGGUACUUAAUUUUAAGUUUUGAGUAUAAAAUAAGUAGAUUUUACCAAAAAAUUGACUUAAUUUCAUGCUAUAAUGCAUACUUUCUUGUUUGAGCUAAUAAUAAACUUUCACGAGCACUUGCAUUUGAUCCUAGAGCUCAAAAGAUGCAUUCAUAAAUUGAGCUAAACCAUUUCAAUGUGCCAUUACUCUGCGUGAGCUCUUGGUUAGGAUAGCUUGAGCUAAAAUUACUAGCGGAAAUGAAGUGGGCCGAGUUGCUCGGACUCUUCAAAAAUGUUGCCGCACCCGUGUCGGAUCUUCCAAAAAUGAACAGUUUUUGAAGGAUCUGAUAUGUGCACGCAAUGACACUUUUGAAGAGUCCGAGCAACAAAGGAAGCAGGUAAGUCGUGACCUUUUAUUCAUGUAAAGUGUACCUUCACGAAGCCAAAAUUGAAACUCAUUCAUAUAGGUCUCCAGUAAGAACAGUUCACUCCAUCUAACCUAGCACUGGUAGAGUUGUGGACUAAACACUUAAAAUAUUGUUUCAGAAAAUGAAUUGUUCUGAAUUCUCCGCUGUUCAUCAAGUAAAGGAAAAGUUCUCUGUUUUCUCGUUGUGCAGAUCUUUCGGUUCUGCAGGUCUAAGUGCCACAAGAAUUUUAAGAUGAAGAGGAAUCCACAUAGAGUUAAAUGGACUAAAGCAUAUAGGUGGCUGCAUGGAAAGGACAUGACUCAGGUAAACAGGGUACCCAAUAUUAUCUAUGUGCUUUUAUUGGAUACUAAUCUUUGUUGUUUUCUUUUGGAUACUGAAAUUCCUUCAUGCUCUGCUGAUUUUCAUUUGAAGGACUCAACAUUUGAAUUCGAGAGGAAACGUAAUAGGCCAGAGAGAUAUGACAGGAAUGUAACUGAGAACACUUUGAAGGCCAUCAAGAAAAUUGAUAACAUCAGAGUCUAUAGGGAGGAGAGACAUAUUGCAAAGCGGUUCCUUAGACUGUGCUUCACCAAUUUCCAUUGCUUUUUAUUUAUCACGUGGCUUUUCUUGCUAUUAACAUUACUUGGCAAACCUUACAGGAUGAAAGGAAAGAAAGCCAAGGAGCAGAGAGAAGCAGCGAAGGAGCUCGAGCAGAGCAUUCACUUAGUCGAAGCUCCUGCUGCACUGCUUAUCAAGGUCCAGGUUCCACAAAAGCAGCCGGAGGAAAAUCUCAUGGAGUAAUGAUUAUUUUGCUUCUUAUACUCUAUUCUCAAACUAAAACACAAAUCGUUUCAUGCUUAUUUUUGCGGAAUGUGUAAUGUUUUGCUUUCCUCAACUUCCCGAAUUUGUAUGGUUUGGCAACUCAGUUUGGAUUGAUCAAAAAAUAGAAAUUUUGAACUUCCCAUAUGAGGAUUUGGAUGAGUAACUAGAGCCAGAUAAUGUCUUUCACAAGGUUCCUAGUUCGGAUUUUUUCUUGCAUGAGGGUCUAACCAAAACAGUAUCUCUACCUCUGUGGUAGGGGUAAGGUUUGUGUGCACUCUACCCUUUCAGAUGGGUAUGCUGUCUAAGGUUCCUUUCGCCUCUGCCAUCAGAGUUUCUUUUAUGUACUUGUUUUGAUCAACAAAAAUGUUGCGAUGUGGUGGUUUAGUUUCUGUUGUUGGCUUCCCUGCACUUGUGUUUAUGCAAAAGAAAAACACAAAAGAGCUUUUGGCCAACUGUUGAGAAAAAGUAUAACAUCCCAUCAGAAACAGUAAGAUAGCUAUAUGGGCUUCGAUUAAAUAUGGAUGAACGAGCAUCUCUCAAAAAGUAAUCUUUACAAUCUUUUAAAACAACAUAGAAUGUAAGAUAUCAUGAGAAAAUAAAGCUAUAUAUUAGCUAUUGAAUAUAACGAAUCAAAAGAGAAUUCAAAAUUUAAAGUUUAUUGAAUCCUAAAGGGCGCUCAAGUUUAAUGUUGAUCAAAUAAAAUAAUAAUAAUAGUAAUUGUGUCCACAAUAAACUAUUUUCUAGAAAUUACAAGUAGAGAUACAAGUCUCGGGGCAAAUGUUGUUGGGUUCACGUGGACCAAUGGGUUAUAGUGUAGACCCGCCUCUGCUUGUUACCUCCCAUCAUGAGCAUAGGUAUCAGGCGACGUUAUCGAGCUAACUUGGAUGCACUUUGGGCUUAUUCGAGUACUUAAUUUUUACCUUCCUAGUUUUGGAUUCAUAGACAACACUUUAGCUUCUGUCGUCACUCGAUUGAAUCUUCAGAUUCGCCUCCAUCUUCUUCACGAGAAGCUUCAGAUUCCCAUCUUCUUCCCAAGAAGCUUCAGAUUCGCAUCCGUCUUCUUCCUGAGAAGUUUCAGAUUCGCUUCCAUCUUCUUCCUAAGAAGCUUCAGAUUCACUUCCAUCUUCUUCCUGAGAGUAGAGAUUACAAAAAACAGACAUUACAAUAUUUAGGUGAAAGAUAAACAUUUGGGGGAAGGUAAAAGGAAGCUACUUCAAGUGACGAACAUAAACGAGUAGGUAAAUAUUACUAUUACUAUUAAGUUAAGAUGGAAAAAAGUAGUAGAGUUAAUUAGUUAUACAGCCAGCUAGCGCCACAAGACAAACCUUAGAAUUGAACCUCUGAUGUAUCCAUUCAUUCAGAUCAUCUACUUUCACCUCAUCAUCACCGUUCAUAAUUUCGAGACUUGGUGUACUCACAGAUCCCUGUUGGACAAACGUCUUCAUUUCAGGGCAUUUACGAAUCUUCACUUCUCUGAGAAAUGGAAAUUCAACAGCACGCUUUGUCCAAAAGAAGUGCCCCAGCUUUGACAGCUCGUGAAGGCACAGCUUUUCCAAUAGGGGAAACAAGGGCUCAUUACUCAUUUCUUCUCCUUCUUCUUCUGCUGCUGUGAUCACUUCUUCCAUUAAUGAGGAAUUUUCUAUCUUUAGUUCCCGGAGUUUUAGAACACCUCUAGCCACGGAUGGAAACAUCAAGUUUCUCCAAUUGCCACACUUACUGUCAAUGCUACAAGUUUGCUGAAGUAGCAUGGAAGUUGGUGAGAGUAUGGAGAAGUUAUGCUGUCAGAAGUAAUGACAUACAGCACUUCCAGACUGGGAGAAGAAACCUGCAAAUACAAAAAUAAAAGUCUUAUCUAACAUCAAGGUAAUUAGUUAUACGGCGACAUAAGACAAACCUUAGAAUUGAACAUCUUCUAUUUCGUUUUAUUGAGAUCAACUACUUCCACCUCAUCGUUAAUGUUCACACUUUCGAGACUCACAGCUCCCUGUUGGGCAAACAUCUUCCUUUCAAGGCAGCCAUCAAUCGUCACUUUCUUGAGAAAUGGAAAUUCAAGAGCACGCUUUGUUAAGAAGAAAUGCCAUAGCUUUGGCAGAUUCUGAAGCUCCAACUCUUUCAACAGAGGAAAUAAGGGUUCAUUAUUCAUGAUUUCUUCUCCUUCUUGUUCUUCUUCUGUGAUCACUUCUUCCAUUGAUUGGCAUUCUUUUAUCCAUAGUUUUCGAAAAUCCAGAAGACCUCUGGCCACUGAUGCAGACAUCAAGUUUCUCAAUUUUUCACAAUACUGUACUUUUAAGGUUACAAGUUUGCUGAAGUAGGCAGUUGACAGUUGGUGACAGCAUAGAGCAGUUAUGUUGUUGGCGUCAUAGAUUGAUAGCUCUUCCAGGUUGGGACAGGAAACCUGCAAAUAUUGAAUGGACAACUCCAUUUAGAUUUAGCUUUAAUUUGACUUAUAUUAUUCGGAAGUUGGUGAGAGCCAAAUGUUGAAGGAAUGAAGUAUCAACUCCAUUUAGAUUUAGCAUUAAUUUGACCUACAUUAUUUGGUAGUGUUUUCUUGCUGUGUAGAAAACUAGUAACUUGAAAACUGAAAGAGCAGCAAUGUAGAAUUUAGUAUUGAAAAUGAAAGAUCAGAGAGCGAAAAUGGAGAAUUUGGUAUGAAAAUGAAGAAGUAGCAGUGUUGAAGAAUUUGAUGUAAAAUGAAAGCUUAAAGAGCAAGUUGUAAAGAUAUAGCACCUGGGCCUAAGCCAGCCCAGAAGCUAGCUCAAGAGGAAAGGAUUGCCUAAGUCCAUUCCCCAACCAAUGUCUGACUCUAAUCCACUUUAACAGGCCUAACUAGAGCAUAGACCGUGAGCUCAAACGAAAAUGGACCUAAUUCUGAUACCAUGUAAUUGACAAGAUAUAGAGAAUAACUUGAUAUCUCAUUCCAGGAGGUAAAGCAAUAUAAUACAUAUACAUGAGGUGCUAGUUAAGGAAAGUAAUACUCCCUCUGUCCUAUUUUAGUUGUCCACUUUUCCUUUUACACGCAUAUUAAGAAUUCAUAAAUAAGAAGGCAGUUUACUAAUUCAUUCCUUAAGUAAGUAAAAGAGAUUCUUACAAAUCUGCUAUCUAUAUAUGUUUACGUUCCUACAAAACAGUCUAUGUUCAUUCUGUAACACUUGCCAAGUAUUCAAACAUGACUUUGUGCAUACAUUUUUCUCCACUGAUGAUAUUUUAGAAUAAUGCCUACAACAAAAUGGUCAGCCAUUCCACUUCUUGACUACUUAAAACUGUCUACAUCAACACCCAAGCAAUAAGACCGUGACUUCCUGAAUGCACAUAGAAAAAGUAAUUCCAUAGACUAUGAAAACUUGAUGUCUCCAUCACAGUAAAUUUUAUUGUAUUUUGUUGCAGAUACACUUGAAGCAUAUUCAUCUAUUGUGCUCAGUCAUAAGCCAACACAUAGGAAAAAAACACUAUUAAGUGAUAAGUUGAGAAGCCAAAAGUGCUUAUUUAGCAAGUUUAGGAGUUUACUCAAAUAAAAGAAGUAUUUUAAAAAGCAUCUUCAAAAUAGAAUUCGUUAAGAUCUUUUAAAAUGACAAAGAAUGCAAGAUGAAAUGAUAAAAACAAAAUGCACAUAUUUGCUGUUAAAUAUAAUGAAAGAAGAAUUUAGAACUAGAGGUAGAUUUAAAAGUUGAAAUUUAUAAAAAUCUUCAAUCUUGUGAUCCUAAACAUGUCACGUGGAAACUUAAAAUUAAAAAGUUGCUAAAAAGGAAAGAGGUCAUUCUUUUUUAAACGGAAGGAGUAUAUGAAGAUUACUAUUAGAUUGAAGGGGUGAAAACACUCCCAAACUUUGCGCGAAAUGUUACUUUCAUCCCCGAUCUAUGCCUAACACUUUAAACAUCCCUAUGUUUGACUAAAUGAACAUAAAAAUAAUAAUUCACACUAAGUUUGAAAGUGUUUCCACCACUUCACCAAGAAAGAGAGCAGUAGACCAAGGGUCUGUUAAUGCAUGACACAAAUAUGUAUAGCAUUUCGUUAUAAAGCGGCACAAAACAAACCUUAGAAUUGAACAUCGCUUUAUUGAGAUCAACAACUUUCAGCUCAUCAUCAUCAUUCACAAUUUCGAGACUCGGUGUACUCACAGCUCCCUGUUGGACAAAUGUCUUCAUUUCAGGACAGUCACGAAUAUCCACUUCUUUAAGAAAUGAAAAUACAAUAGCAUGCUUAGUCAGAAUGAAAUGCCCCAGCUUUGGUAGAUCUUUGAGGUACAAGUCUUCCAAUCGGGGAAAUAAAGGCUCAUUACUCAUGAUUUCUUCUCCUUGUUGUUCCUCUUUUGUGAUCACUUCUUCCAUUGAUUGGCAGGAUAUUAUCCAUAGUUUAUGGAGGUUGAGAAGACCUCUGGCCACUGAUACGGAGACAUCAAGUUUCUCAAUUUUUCACAAUUUUCUACUUUCAAAGUUACGAGUUUGCUGAAGUAGGCAGUUGGAAGUUGGUGAGAGCAUAGAGCAGUUAUGCUGUUAGCCUCUUCGAGUUCUAGCUUUUCAAGGUUGGGACAAGAAACCUGCAAACAUUGACAAGGUAUCAACUCCAUUUCCAAUGUCUUGUAAAUAAUUAAUAAAAUUCUUAUUUCGUUUGUCUUUUAAUGUUAUUUUAUUACAAUAAGUUAAAUUAUUUUUAAACUAAAUCAUUAGAUAUCAAUAAAGUCAUCUAAAUAUUAAAAAAUUAAUAAUAUUCAAUGUUAAAUUAACUUGAUAUCUUAGAUGACGACACUUAAUUUUUUUUCACAAGUAUUUUUUAUAGUAAUUUUGCUAUAUCACUUCUAAUUACUCGUGGUUAUUAUAAGUCAUUUAAAACAUGUAUUACGACGUACAAAAAGUUCACGCCCUUCUUUAUCUCUAAAGAUAGGGUGUCCUAACCAUCCAACCGCUAUUCCAUCCCCGUUAUCCAUUGAACCUGCUCUGAAUAAUCCUCCUUUUGCCGGAUUAUUGCCGAUGUAAUCAUAAAAAGCUAAUUUUUCAGGAAUUUUAGACCAGGCUUCUGAUAAACUUUGAUUUUCUGCUAGCCCAGCACUAACUCUUCGAUAUAUUUCUUGCUGGAAGUACCCCUGAUCCCAUUGAUAACGAGUGGGCCCU